UAAUGUUUUUUAUAUUUAGUCCAAGGCACUUUAAAAUCCUAGAUAUGCCCCUGAACGCGAAAUUCACAACCCAAAACCGAACCGGAUUAUGAACUCGAACUAAACCAAAUCGAAUUUGAAACCAAACCGUAACGAACUGAAAUAAUUUCCCAACCUAUUUGGGUUGACUUCUUAAACUUGAAUGGAUUGCAAACCGAAUCAAAAACUGAAAAAAUCGAAUCGAAAACCAAAAAUCCCACCCGUACUUAUGAUUCCUUGUGCCUCUAGACCUCUUCUUACCAAAAGCAGCAUACUAAAGUGUAUAGUAAAUGCUCAUUUUCUAGGUGACAUGGCUCAAGCAGGUCUAAUUGUUCAAAAAUUGAAAAUAAUCAGAUCAAAUUUGACGACCCAUACCCAUUUAUUCGUGUCAUCUUCAUAUUGGGUAAUCAGGUCAUGUCAAAUUUUGUUAGCUCUACGUACAAUUGUCAUAACUCAAAAUAUUUCACUUUCUCCUUGACAUUAUUUAUACAUCAUUUAAUUUACAAUCAGAAUUUUAUUUCAAAUGUUACCAAGAGAUAAAUGUUAUGCGGUAUACGAGUGUUUCUGUUUUUGGCUGCAAUUUUUCAAUCUAACCAAAUGUGUAUAUUAAUAUAUCUCUUCUAAUUAUCAGUAAUUCAUAAAUUAUACUAAAAUAAAGGGAAUCUAGUCCAUUGCCGAAAAAAAUAAUUGGGUUGCAUCUGCUUAUAAAUAGUUGGGAUAUCAUUAGAUAAUGGAAAGCGAUAUUUUGGCCUUCCAUCAAAUCCGUCUUCUCAAAUGGGUUGUCUAAAUUGGCCCACAUUUCAAAGUUAAUUACUUGUAAUCUGUCAGCAGCAGGUAACACCAUUCUUCCUUGGAAAAUGCUAGCUACCCCAAGUCAAGGCAUGGGUCAGACUCUGAAAGCAAUAAAUGACGCCGUUUCAAUCCCCUUUUUUUUCCUUCCAUUAUCCCUCAAACGACGUCGUUUUAGCUUGGUUAAGGCAAAAUCAACAACAGUCCCAAAUUGCUCUCUUGCUCUCUGUCUCACAACAGCCUCAAAUUGUUUUCUCUUUCUCUUCGUCUCACAGCCCUUUUAUCCUUCUAUUUCUCUGUUUCUCUUCCCCUUCGUUUCACAACCACCAUCACACAUGCCCAACUAGUUGGAUAGUCUUCUAUUCACUGCAGAAAGCUAACUAGUUUCCCUAAUAUAUAUAAGAAAAACUAAUUUUUCCAAAUUCAAGUAAAAUUCAAGCUUCGAAAAUAAGCCACUGCCAAAGAAGAGAGGACCUUAGCUACUAGGAAAGCCACGUAAAAUCGAAACUCAACUUUCAAGGGUAGAUGCCGAAACUCAAUCUUCAGUUAGAAAAUUUUCGCAGCUACCGUAAAUGCCGACACUCAUCCUUGUUCAAACUUUCCUUUUUGUCUUUUGGUGGUGCCGAUGGCUGGGUAUAUGUGAUGGAACCCUGUGUGAUGGUGGUUGUCAGGCUGAUGGCUAUCAGUGUGGUGGGUACCGAUGAUUGGGUACACGUGAUGGUGGCUAUGAAACGAAGGGGAAGAGAAAGCAGUGGUUUUAUAGAGAAAUAGAAGGAAAAAAGGCUGUGAGACGAAGAGAAAGAGAAAGCAAUUUGGGCCUGUAACAAUUUUACCUUAACCAAGCUAAAAUGAUGUCGUUUUGGCUUGAAUGAAAGGAAAAAAAAAAGUGAUUGAAACGUCAUCAUUUAUUGCUUUCGGGAUUUGACCCGGGGCAAAUAGUAGAACUGUUCUUCCUUACGAGACACAAAUCUAUUAUUUUAAUUUUUUCCUUAUUUUUAAUGCUACACGUGCCAAGCUAACCACCUUUCCUUGUCAUAUCAAAGUUCCGUAUGACAUGAUUUUUGUNNNNNNNNNNNNNNNNNNNNNNNNNNNNNNNNNNNNNNNNNNNNNNNNNNNNNNNNNNNNNNNNNNNNNNNNNNNNNNNNNNNNNNNNNNNNNNNNNNNNCGUCCUCAUAUUUUUACCCUAUCUAAUAUUUAAGAAAUGUCUACUCCACUCAUAUUUUGAAAGGGAGAAGAUUAUCUUCACUCAAAUUGAUAAAGGAAAUUAAACCCUCAUAAUACAUUGUGUGGAUUCGAACCUAUGACCUCACAAUUAUGAGAUUUGGCUUCUAACCAUUGGGCUAAAGCCAGAUGGCUCCCUUUACUUGAACUUAGGUAACAUGGCACCAAAUUUAUUCGCAGCCAGCCAAUUAAGCUUACGUUAAGGGGGCAAAAGAAGCACUCUAGGAUGUAAUUUCGCCAAUACACUUAAUUUGAGUGUGGGUAAAUUUCAAGAUGCUAAACCCCAGGCGUAAUUCACACUAAUAAAAUUCAUAUGUUGUUUAUUAUGGUAUCAAAAACUCAUGCCUAUAGUCUAGGAGUGUGGGCAAGAUCACUUGAAUUUUCUAAACUAGUCUUACAAUUAAGUAAUUAAAAAAAAUAAAACCAGAAAAAAUAAAAUGUAUCCAUUUCAUAUGCUAAGGAAAGGUGAACCCUGGUAGUAAGCAAAAAAAAAAAAGAAAAAAGAUUCAAUGAGCAAUAAACAGUAAAAAUACGAAAAUCAACACCUAGUCCAAAGAGAAGGAUAACCUUGUUGUAUGUUGUUCCUGUUGAAAAUUCGUCAAAUAAUAAGAUGAAUAUAGAAGUUAAUUUUUUUAAUCACAAUUUUACGUUUUUUCCAUUAAAUUUUUAUUUAAUUUUGUAAUAGACUAUCAAACUUUAUAGUCUAUCUAUUAUAACCCCUGCUGUUGGCAUCUUCAAUUUUAUAGAUUUUAUAUUAUAGCCUAGUCAAAUUUGUAUUUUAUUUUUAUCGAAGAAUUUCACAGCUCCACGAGUGAUAACGGAAAUACUAUAAUAUUUGCAAUAUGUGUGUGUAUAAAGUCUCAAUCUGGUCUAGAAUCCAGUACUUCAUUAAAGUUCGCACGGCUUAAUAGUUUUCACAUACAUUAUACUAUUAAACUCCACAAUUUAAUAGAUUUCUCAGAUUUUAACAAAUGUAGGAUUUUGAACUAGAACAUUUCAAAACACACACACACACACAUAUAUAUAUAUAUGAAGUACCAACCAACAAAAUGACAUCUAUAUAUAAAAAAAAAAAAAACAUACACGUCAUAAUUCUAUUAGUUGAUUGUACCUAAAAUAAAGGCACAUAAAAUUUUCACCCAUAAAUUUUACCUCAUAAUACAGCGCACACGUUGUUUCCGUCCAUUUACAGCUAGUUUAUUGCAUCUUCUUUAGGCCCUCAUGCAUGUUCCGUUUGUAUCGUAGGCACCCACUUUGCACCAAGAAACCAAGAGCUAUAGCAAAGGAUCCGCCGUUGUUGUUUUUUUCUUUUAAAUGUGAUUAAAGCAGGUUUAGUUUUCACCAUUCUUGAAGCAUAUAAAGGCAUAUCCUCUGAUUUCAUAAUCUUCAUUACACCGAAAAAUUUCUGAAUACUUAACCAUGCUUGCAUAAAGAUGGCAGAUCAAUUAUUUAUUAAGCAGGCAAAGCAAUAUACCGAAGGUAGGCCAAGUUAUCCAGCAGAAUUGUUCCAAUUCAUCGCCUCUAAAACACCCGAUCACGACCUUGUAUGGGAUGUAGGCACAGGAAGCGGCCAGGCUGCCAAACCAGUACGUAUAUGAUAUUCUACCGCAUCAUUAAAACUAAAAUUCUCUAGUGAUUUGAGUUAUUAAAUUAAGCAAAAAUAAUAAUAAUGAAAAUAAUAAAGAAAUAAAUUUUGAUCAUAAAUAAAUAACAAUGCAUGUAAGGUAAAACUUUUUUAAGCUUCACCCGAUCGAUCAAAAACUACCAUUUUAGUUGACCUAGUUAGUGGGAAUGGAGACCUCUCACUUUAGUGCCAUUGGGCCCACUAAAAUUUUCAUACGUUUCUAUAGCUUCCUAUAUUUUCUAAUUUCUCAAUUGUACGUCUUCAGCUUGCAAAAAUCUACAAGAAUGUCAUUGCAACAGACACAAAGCCCAAAACAGCUAGAAUUCGCAAUAAAGCUCCCCAACAUUCGGUAUCAACUUACUCCUCCAACUAUGUACAUAACUGAGCUUGAACAAAAUGUGGCAACACAAUCGAGUGUAGAUCUAGUGACAAUCGCUGCAGCACUACAUUGGUUUGACUUGCCUCAAUUUUACAAACAAGUAAAAUGGGUACUCAAAAAACCUAAUGGAGUAAUAGCCGCAUGGACCUACACCAUGCCCGGAAUCAAUGAAUCCGUAGGAGCAGUUUUCAAACCAUUUGACACCGUUGAUUGUGAGCCAUUUUGGGAACCACAACGUAAAUUGGUGGACAACAAGUACAUGAGCAUUGAUUUUCCGUUUGAGCCUGUGGACGGGGUGGAUAAUACGGGGCCGUUUGAUCAGUUUGUUUUAGAGAAGGUGAUGGAUUUAGAUGAUUACUUCACGUUCAUACGGUCAUGUUCAGGUUAUCAGACGGCUAAGGACAAGGGUGUUGAGCUUUUGACAGAUAAUGUGAUGGAUAAUUUUAAAGUUGCUUGGAAUGAAGAUGGCCAAAGUCAAAAGGUUGCUCGGUUUCCAAUUUAUUUGAGAAUUGCAAAAGCAGGAAAUUAGUUUAUUUAUUGCCCACACAACCUAAGUCCUUAACAAGGCUGCUCCUUACUACUGAAUCUAAACCUCAACCUCAAGAAAUUAAUAAUAUAUAGUUGAUUUAGAUCUUAUUUAGAAUUAAGGUGAAGUAAUUUAAAAAUUAUUGUGAAUAAAAAAAUUAAAAUUUUGUANNNNNNNNNNNNNNNNNNNNNNNNNNNNNNNNNNNNNNNNNNNNNNNNNNNNNNNNNNNNNNNNNNNNNNNNNNNNNNNNNNNNNNNNNNNNNNNNNNNNUUUGUAAUUCUUAUCUAUAAAUAUCUGACAUCAUAUAUUUUCUUAUGACUGAUUUUUGAAAAAUAAUUGUGUUUAAUAUCUAAAAUAAACUAUAAAAUAUGUAUUAUUUCAUUUAUUAUAUUUAUUCAUCGUUUACUUGAUUAAACAAAUGGCCAACUAAAUACAACUACUUAAAAAUUAAGCUUUUUCUUUUCGGCGAACAUGCAUGCACAUGUUUCGAAAUGAGUUGUGACUACUGUUGAGAUAAGACCUUUGCGCAAGUCUACAUACAUAUACAUUUAAUCCUCUUAGGGGGUUUUUAGAACCCCUAAUUACGUCCAAUCCCCAUGUUUAGUGCAGUAAGUGGUUGAAUCGUGAUGCAUGCUAAUGCACCUCAGUUUAGCUUAUGGGGUAGUGGCAGUAUUAUUUUUAAUAAUAAUAAUAAUAAAUAAAUAUAAAUUGUUAGUUUAAUACAACAUUACAUAAUUUAAUUUUUAUUUUAUUUUAUUUUCACAUUAUAAUAGUUUAUAUAAAUUAAUAAAUUAUUUAUUUAUUAUUCAAUAAUAUUAUAUUAUAUUUUAAUGUUUAUUAUAUUAAAAAUAUAACUAAGUAAUAUAUUUUACUUAAUUAUAUUAUAAUAAUUAAUAUAUGAAAUUGAUUAAUAUUUAAUAAGUUAAUAUGACUAAUAAGUACUUAAAUAAUAUAUAAAAAUAUAAUAUAAUAUUACAUUAUUUAAUUAUAUUACAAUAAUGAAUAUAUAAAAAUUAAUUACUUUUAAAUAAUUUAAUAUAACUAAUAAUAAAUAUUUAAAUUUGAAUAAUAUUAAUUUAAAAUUAAUAGUAAUAUAAAUAAUUACAUAAAAUAUUAUUACAUAUACUACAGAACUUUUACUUAAAUUAUUUAGCACAAUUCAUUUUAUUAGUGAAUAUGUUACAACUAUUGUAUCACCUUAUUAAUUUUAUAAUUAUCUUAUGGUAUGUACAAACUUUAAUUCUAUCAUCCUAAGAUGACUUUUGAACUAAUUUAGUUGGUUUUAACUAUUUAUUUAUGUUGUGAUAUUAUCUAGAGAUUAUUUGAUUAAAUUAUUUGCUUCAUUCUUUAUUUCACAGGUUAUGUAUUUGGAAAAUAAUGAAAAUAAAUCUUAUGCUGCUGAAAAUUUAAGGCCAUAAACUUCGAUUUUUAUGAAAAAUUAUUAUAUUUUUUUAAUAUUUAUGUUGAAAAAUAAUGUUAAAUUUCUACAAUUUAAGAGUUCUAUAUUUAGUAUUUUUCUAAGUACUUAUAAAUAUUAUUUUCUAAAUAUUUAAUUAAAAUUAAUAUAGUAUAGUACAACACCAAACAUAAUAUAAUUAAAAAUUAAUACAGUACAGUGUAACACAAAACAUUGUACAAUCAAACAAAUUAUUAAUUUAAAGGCAUUAUCAUUAUUACCAUUUAUAUUAAAAUAACGAAACAAAAGAAAUAAUAUUAAUAAAUAAAAAUACUUUUUUAGUUAUCAAUUAUUAUAUAUACAUAAUAAAAAAUAUUAUAUAUCUAUAUUUACAAAUGUGCUAGUAAAUUUUGUUCAAUAUUAUGUCUCUUUCAGUUAUUUGUAUUCUUACCACAGUCACUAUUAAAAAUAAAUUUUAGCAAAAUUUAACUGAUUUAUUGUUAAUUAUUUCUAUAGUAUAACCAACAAAAAUUGUUUUAAAAAUUAUGAUAGAGUAAUGAUAGAGUCACAAUUAUCUUAUAAAAACUAAUAUGGCAUUAGGAGAUUGAUUGUAUAAAAUGAUCAUGGGUCCACAUAGCAAAAAAAUAAUAAUUAUCACUUUUCAAUCAAUAUCUUCAUGUCAUAUCAAUUUGUAAAUAUUAAUUUACAUAAAAUUAUUUGUGCUCNNNNNNNNNNNNNNNNNNNNNNNNNNNNNNNNNNNNNNNNNNNNNNNNNNNNNNNNNNNNNNNNNNNNNNNNNNNNNNNNNNNNNNNNNNNNNNNNNNNNGGAUCCAAUGGUUGAGUUUCAUCUUAGUGUCAAAUAAUAAAAAAAUUUGUAAGAAAUGGAAACCUGUAAAACCGGUAACUUGAAACUUUGUACCAAUAAAUGUGAAACACAUACUAUUAAUCUUGAUAUUAGAACCAUUAAACUUGAAACCAAAGUAACUUGAAACUUUGGGCAAUGAACAUGAAACUUGGGACCAUAAACUUGCAAUCCUAAGAAUCAUACAAAUCAUGAACCAAUAAAUAUGAAACAACUAUCAUUAAUCUUGAUAUUAAGACCAUUAAACUUGAAACUAAAGUAACUUGAAACUUAGGGCAAUGAACAUGAAACUUGAGAUCAUUAACUUGCAAUCCAAAAAUAUAUACAAAUCAUGGACCAAUAAAUAUGAAACAACUACCAUUAAUAUUGAUAUAAGGACCAUUAAACUUGAAAAUAAAAUAACUUGAAACUGAGAACAAUGAACAUAAAACUUGAGUUUAUUAACUUUCACCCCUGAAAAUCAUGCAAUUAAUGGACCAAUAAACACCAACACCUACCUCUAACUUGAUACUGAGACCAUUAAACUUGAAAUUAAAGGAACUUGAGAUUGAGAGCAAUGAACAUGAAACUUGAGACCAUUAACUUGCAACCCUGAAAAAUCAUGUAAUUAAUGGACCAUUAAACUUGAAACCACAAAAAACUUGAAUCUGAGAGCAAUAAACAUGAAACCUGGGGUCAUUAACUUGCAACCCUAAAAAUCAUGUAAUUAAUGGGCCAAUAAACAUGAAACACCUACCGCUAACUAGAUAUUAGGACCAUUAAAUUUGAAACUAAAAGAACUUAAAAUUGAGGGCAAUGAAUAUGAAACUUGCAAUUAUUAACUUGCAACCUUAGAAAUCAUGCAAUUAAUGGACCAAUAAAUAAAAAACACCUAUCGUUGACUUGAUACUGAGAUAAUUAAACUUGAAAUUAAAGGAACUUAAAACCGAGGGCAAUAAACAUGAAACUUGUAAUCAUUAACUUGCAACCAUGGAAAUCAUGCAAUUAAUGGACCAAUAAAGGCGAAACACUUACUAUUAACUUGAUACUAGGACCAUUAAACUUGAAAUCAAAUGAACUUAAAACUGAAGACAAUAAACAUAAAACUUGCGAUUAUUAACUUGCAACCUUGAAAAUCAUACAAUUAAUGGACCAAUAAAGGUGAAACACUUACUGUUAACUUGAUACUGGGACCAUUAAACUUGAAAUCAAAUAAACUUGAAACUGAAGACAAUGAACAUGAAACUUGCGAUUAUUAACUUGCAACCUUGAAAAUCAUGCAAUUAAUGGACCAAUAAACACAAAACACUACCAUUAAUUUGAUAUUGGGAUCAUUAAACUUGAAAUUAAAGGAAAUAAAAACCGAGGGCAAUGAAUAUGAAACUUGGAAUCAUUAACUUGCAAUCCUGAAAAUCAUGUAAUUAAUGAAUCAAUAAACAUGAAACAUCUAUCGUUAACUUGAUACUAGUACCAUUAAACUUAAAACUAAUUUUUUAUUAUUUUAAAAAUAAUUUUUUAUUCUUAUCUAGCCUUUAUUUUAAAAUAUUUAUUAUUUUAUUUAUUAUAUUAUUUCAUAAUUUUUUAAUCAUUUAAGGAGCAACCGGUUACUCCAAGUUUUUUUUUUAAAUAUUUGGCUGCCAAGUGGCAGCUAAACAAUGGCAACAAUUUUUUUAAUGUUUUUAUUCCUUGCAUGUACGUAGGCUUGGCAAUUUAGCCCGACCCUAAUUUUUAGGGUUUUGACCCGAAUUUUCAAGUUUAGGGUCAGGUUAGGGCCAAAAUUUUAAAGCCUAAACAAAUUUAGGGUCAGGGUCGGGCUUAAUGCCGACCCGACCCGACCCGACCCUAUUUAAAAAAAAAUUACACAAGUUAACACACACACACAACAUAUCCUCACAACAUCACACAUUGUGUGUUUUUAAUUUAAUUGCAUUGUGUUUUUAUUUGUAUAAGACAUGAGUUUUUUUAUUUUUUAUGUUGGGUUGUUGAAUUGAAUUGUGUAUGACUAAAAUGGUUGUGGAAUUAUAUUGUGUGUUUUUAUUUAUAUAAGACAUGAGUUUUUUAUUUUUUAUGUUGGGUUGUUGAAUUGAAUUGUGUAUGGGUAAAAUGGUUGUAGAAUUACAUUGUGUGUUUUUAAUUUAAUUGCAUUGUGUAUUUUUCAUGUUGAAUUUUGAAAUUGAUUUGUGUGUGGGGUUGAAAUAGUUGUGGAAUUGAUUGUGGAAAGUGGAAUUGAAUCGUGUUUGAAAUGAUUAAGUAAUUGCCGAAUUAGUUAAAAUGGUGGUGGGAAAUGAGAAUUGAAUUGUGAGGUUAACUAUUUCGGUAGGGUCGGGUUGGACCCGACCCGAUGUUUCAAAUAGUGUUCGGACUUAUUUAGGGUCGGAUUUCAAAUUUCUUUUGAUCGGAUCGGGUAGGGCUUGGCCAAGCCCGAGCCCGACCCGACAUUUUGCCAUGCCUACAUGUACAUGAUACAUGCAUGUAUUGUAGCAAAGGCCUCAAAAGAGAGCGUGACAAAGACAAAUCCCAUUAGCCAUCCUAUUAUUAUUAAAAUUCCUUACAGCAAAGGACCAAAAUGUAAGACAACUAGGACCAGUAUCUAAACAAAUUGAAUUAAAAAAAAAAAGGGGCUCGUCUCUAUCUUGUUGAAAAAGGAAGAAUUCGGGUCAAAAUUGAAUACUUUCAGAAGUUCUCCAAGUCCAAGUUGGCUUCCCCAGAUAAACCCCAACAAAUUAAUUUUUAAUUAAAAUUUGCCUUUUUGUCUGCUUCAUGAAAUUCUAAAAUCUAUAUAAAGAAGAAACGAAAUGAGUAGAUUUAUCUCAAUUCUAAAAAAUUCUCAAUACUUAUAUUUAGAAAAACAGAAAGAUGGCAGAAUUGUUCAUUAAGCAGGCAAAGCAAUACGAGGAAACGCGACCAAAUUACCCAUAAGAAUUGUUCAAAUUCAUAACAUCCAAGACAAACAUUUUGAAUCACAAAAUGUUUUUAAAUUGAUCAAGUUUUAAGAUAAAUUGGUGUGUACAAUACAAGUUUUUGGGUUAACCAAAAUUCAAUAAGACGCAAAAUGAUCUCUAAGGCACAACCGGAUACCACAUGUAACCAACCGGCAAGCUGUUUGCUUAUGGUUGCUCUCGGGUCGACGUUUGGAUAACCAGAUUGGAAAACCGGUAAGCCGUUUGAGAAAAUUUUAUUUCUGGGCAAAAAUCGGUCAAUCGGUUAUGAAAUCCGAAAAGCCGGAUUCGGUUUGGAACUUAUUGGACACAAAUCGGUCAUCCAGUUAUGAAAUCCAAAAAGCCGAAUUUGCAAAGCUUCUCUUCUGCCUCAAAACCGGCUAGUCGGUUAUGCUAAACGGUAAGCCGGAUUCGAGCUUUUUUAAGGACUAUUCAUCUUCUUCUCUUCAUUCGGCAAUCUGGCUCUCUCUCUCUCUAAAAUCCACCAUUUUUUUUAUCUAAUCAACACCAUUCAUCACCUUAAAUCAUCUCUACGAUCAUUUUAAUUGAUUUAAAAUUACCCAUUUUACUCAAUAUCUUGAAAAUCUGAAUUUGUGCAUUUUGAGUAUUUCAAAUUACCACUUCUAUAGUGUGCUCUCCUUAUGGAUUUUACAAUAGUUUUCUAUUAUAUUAUGCACCUACAUUUUCAUAUGCAUUGUUGCUUUCAUUGUGGAUUGAUGAUGAUUAUUGUUUGAUAUUUGGAUGUUUUAUAUUUGGAUAAUGUGGAACUAAUGUGCUUGUCUUGAGAUUUUGAUGAUUGAUAGGGGGAGCUUUUUACUUUUUUUGAUGAUAAAGAGGGAGAAAUGAGAUGUAAGGGAGAAAUACAUCUACUUUGAGAUUCUUAAGCAUAUGAGAUUUUUCUUAAGUUAUAUUGAAAUGUCACAUUAAAUCUUUGAUGAGUUUAGUUGUCUUGAUUUCUAAAAUGUGAUUAGUAAUUAUGGAGCUUGGACAGUUAAUAAUAUGCAUGCCAAUUUGGUAAACAAAUCAAAACCUUUUUGCAAAGAGCAAUUUUAAAAAAUUCGGUGUGAACUUUGGAUGAUUUGAUUUCUUGAUGUUUUUUAUGAUUGAUGGUUAUAUGUGCGUUGCUUGAUGAAUUGAUGGAGUUAUUGAUUUGUUAUAAUUGUCUAAGCUUAUAUGGAAGUGUUUUUUAACCAUUUUUUUUAUUUGGGAUUUGCUCAUUUUUAAGGAGAAACUCUGCUGAAAUUUUUGCUCGUACAAAAUUGGUAAUAUCUUCAUCGAAUUAUUUUUAAUGAUAUUGUUUCGAUUGCAUCUAUCUAUCUUUCUUUUUUAUGAUGAAGGGGGAGAUAAAUAUGAUAUGUUUUUGGAUAAAAUUAUUUUGGUUAAAUUUUUAAAUUGACCAUAUAUUUAGGGGGAGCAUAUAAUAUGAUUUUGGAUAAUAUGCAUUUUGAACUUUUUUGUUGUCCAAAGGGGGAGAUAAAGUAAUAUAUCAUUUCAAUGUUAUCAAAAGGAGGAGAAUAAUAUGCACUUUGAGUAUUCUUUUGAUGAUUGAUAUUUGAUUAUGGUGAUGAUUUUGGGAUAUAAAGAUGAUUUGAUUACAUAGUUGUUUUAUAUGAUAAUUUUAUGUUAUGAGUUAUUGAUUUGGUAAUUGAUGGAAUAAUGGUUAAUGAUAUUUUGGUGUGAUGAUUUAUAUAUGAAGUUGGCUUGUAUCAUGAUUUAUAAUAAUUUGGGAGUAAUAUUAUUAAACUUGUAUUUGAGGUAAUGCUUGUUGUUAGGGGGAGAUUUUAUCGAAAUUUCUACUAGGAUAACAGAGGUAAAAAUUUUGCUACUCUUAUUCUUUUCCUUUAAGUUUUCUUUUUUGAUGAUGAAGGGGGAGAAAAAUACAUGUUUUAAAUUUGUAAAAAUUCUAUUCUUUUUCUUUUCCAUUAAUUUUUCUUUUUGAUGAUGAAGGGGGAGAAGAAUACAUGUAUUUAAAUUUUAUAAUUUAGUAAAUUGGCAAAUUGUAAGGGAAGCUUAUAUUUAGGGGAAGCAAUUUGUGGAAUCAUUCUUUAAAUACAUUCAAGGUUUGUCAUCAUAAAAAAAGGGGGAGAUUGUUAGCAUAUAUGUAUCCAUAAUGUUGAUUUUGAUGAUAACAAACAAGAUUAAGAAUGACUAAGUUUUUAAAAACUCAAAUUAUUUUAAAUAAAUCAUUAUUUUCAUAAUAUAAAGGCUUUAUACUUAAUGAAAAAAUAAUUUUAUAAAAUUAGUUGUUUUCAAUUAAUGGUCUAAAUUGAAAAAGUUUUGAAACUUUGGAAAUGAACUUAUUUAUAAAGUUUUAUGACAAUUUGGGCCAUAGCAUAAUUAUAGAAAGUUUUAGGGUAAAACUAUAAUUUUAAAAAAUAAUUUCACUGUAGCAAUCGGCUAACCGUUUACUGAAAAUGGCUAACCGAUAAUUUCCAGAAAGCAUGUUAUGCAAAGUAUUGUUAAAAUGAUGAUUCUGAAAAAUAACGGUGAACCGUUUACUGAAAACGGUUAACCGAUUAUUUCCAGAUUGCUAACCUUGAACCGUUUAGUAAGAACGGUUAAACCAAAUUUAUUUUGCAGGUCUUUGGAAUUUAACGGCAAAUGGGUAAGCCUAAAAGACAAACCGUUUAUUUGAAAUUUGGCCCAGCGGUAACUUUUGACCAGCCUAAAUGGUUAACCGUUAAUGGUUAACGGCGAACCGUUUUCGGGCAGACAGUUUGUAACGGCUAGUUUUUCAGCUCGAACUAUAAAUAAGCUCAUUCAAAUUCAAACAAGAUAGAUCACAACAUUAUCAUUGAGCUUAUUUUUGAGAAUACAAUCUUCAAAGAGCUUUAAACACAUUCAUUCUUCAUCUAUUCACACAUUGGGCGUUGAUUUGUAAUCUUAAAUAUUGUGUGAGAGAAAAACAAUUUGUAAUCUUUUGUUUUGAGUGAUUGUAAGUGUUGGGAUACACUUGGGUUAAGAGAUUGAGGAUAAUCUCUUGUUGUAAACGUUUAUUGACAUCUUGGAAGUCAAUUGUAAGCAUUUGAAGCCUUGGAGGCUUGCUUAGUGGAAUCCUCAAGCCCGGGUGAGCUUGGAGGCGUGGACGUAGGCGGGGAUUGCCGAACCACGUAAAAAUCAUUGUGUUUGCUCUCUCUUCCCUUACUCCUUUAUUAUUGUUUUUGAUUCCAUUAAGGCAUUAGAUUAAAUUGUUGUGUGGUUUGCUUAGCUUAAAUUUUAAAAUCCCAAUUCACCCCCUCUUGGGUUGUAUAACUAGAAUAUCAUGGAUUACAUGGUAAUUAAACUUUGUAUUAUGAGCUAUUGUUUAAAAACUAGGGAUAAAAUAGGCUACUACAUCAAACCUAAGGGGUGAAAAGGGCUUUUUCUUUAAGUAAAAUAAAAGAAAGUAUAUUUGAAGCGAAUAUAGACUAAAACCUCCAAGCAAAGACUAACCACAAGAAAAAACAAGAGAAAUAGCAAAAGCAACAAAAAAAAAAAUACAUAGAAAAAAACUAAAGAGAACAAACUAAGGUAGAGCCUAACAAAAGAAAUUAUAAGCAAGUGAGCUAAUGCCUAAAGUGUCGCUGAUGAUACUUGCGUCCAUUGACUAAUGUGAAACCUUUUUUUGAACCAGAGGCAUACGUGCCAGCAAUGAUGAAAUUGGGACUAAGGUCAAGCCCUUUAGUAUCCUCAGGCUCAGACGAGAAAUAAGCAUCAGCUGCUGUCUCAUCAGAACGAAGAUUCUCAUCAGAUUGAAAAGGAAUAUUUGUAUAAUAGAAAUUAAAACCACAACUAUAGAGUGAAUAUUAAUCAACAUCCAAAAUCAUAUCAUCAUCAUCACCAGUCAUAUCAACUAGGCUCCGUAGAGAGGAAUCCCCAAGAUCUCAGGGCUUAACAGCUAGAUCACAAUUGAGCAGAAAUGGUAAUAUCAUUAGCAACAAUAUCAUUAGUACUAUCAACACGCACUCGACCAACUAAAUCCUCCUCAUCAACUUGAGCAUCAACUUGAGCAGGAAUGCUAGCAUCCGGAGAUGCACCCGUAGUACCAACGAUCCUUAGAGGCUGAACCACCCCUCCAGAAGUAGGUUGCUGAGCCAAUUAAACCACAGAUUGCCCCUGAGCAAAAGAAGGCUGAACAACAGGCCUCCUAGCCCGAUUAUCUGCAACAAUGUAGUAAGGAACAUGGGGAACCUAAUGCUAAACAUGUACAUCAAACAUGGGUUGCUUACCCUUAUCUCGAGAAUCUCGAUUCUAAGCACACCAAUACGCUGUUGAGGCUUACGAAAUCCAGAAUUAGUUACAUAAAAACCGUUUGUAGAAUGACCAAGGCAUUUACAGAAAGCACGAUAGGCAGGAGCCUACUAAAAAACAACAUUCUGCCAAAAUUCGAAAUCACCCUUACCAAUCCAAAGGUCGGGAAUAAAGGCCGCAAAACAAUAUACUCUAUCAAAACCCUAUCAAUAAAAUUAACAGAAGCAGUAACAUGGUCAACACGCAAAGGUUUCCCGGUAACAGUAGCUAUAGAAUAUAAAGUUUCUUUGCAAUAAAUAAAGUGAACAGUUAGUACGGCAAAGAAACCCACGUAAGAACCACUGAGACUCCUCAGAACACCAAAAAGCUGCGAACCAUUUAAAAAUCGUGACAGCCCUACCACUGACAUACCAUGUCUGCCUAACCCAAAUUCGGGAGUAAUCUUCCUCCAAAUGAAGCCUAAUCAAAACAUGGCGAUUAUCAAGCAAGGAGACCAGUGUACUUCCUUUUAAGCCUAAGGAAACAAAAAACUUUCUAAUCACUUCUAUUGGAGGGCGGCCAAAAAGAACUUACCUACUAACUAGAGACAUCUUAAACAGUUCAGCUAUGUUUGACACUUCAACAGCAGUAAAAUGGAUAGCAGGCUCACCUCGAUCGAGGGUGCCCGUCUUAAUAGAUAAAAAGGAUGAAUCUGCAACAACAUCAUCAAAGAAUUUAGAGGCUCUAGAAGCAGCAUUAGGAUCAAGGAUAGAUACAGGAUUGACUACAGAAACAUAUGAUGGCUAGGAGGUGGUAUUGCAAUUAGGGUUGAGAGGACUUGUGGUGGUGAAACGAGUUUGAGUGGGACCACGAAUAGGAAGCGCACCACCAGAGAUUGGCUUGUCUCGGUUGAGGGUUUGAGAGACGUUACAUGCAUGGUGUUGCACAGAGACAUUAGGCUGGUUCUAUGUAACAUGGGUGGACGGGGGAUAACAAGGGUUCGGUGUUGUGGUGGAAAGCAAAGGCUGUGGUUGUUUGUGUUGGGGAAAAAUCAGGUUUUUAAAUUUUUAUAAAACCUUUUGAAGAUCGCUCUCAUAUAAUAUAUAAGAAUUUGUAUUCUAGAAAUCGUACCUUGAAAAUCCGAGUUGGCUUUUUCCGCUGAAGUGUUUUAGGCUCCUAGAUCACGAUCCGCCACCACCACUCCUGUUAGAUCACGAUCCGUCACCACCACGCUUGUUAGAUCACGAACAGUCUCCAAUGAUCUUCCAGGUUAUGACUCAGGUUCGAUCUGCACUUGACGUGUGGGCGCCUUUAUCACUACCAAAGCAACUAGCACGAGAAAAUUUUUCUCUCAACAAUGGAGAGAAAAAUUUUAUUCUCUGAUCUGUAUCAAGUGGCUUCAUUUUUUUUCUGUUGAGAAAAAUAAGCCUUAUAUAUCUCCCUUUAGUGAAAAUCCUAGGCUCCAAAUAAUGCCCUAAAUAAAACUCACGUUUAUUUACUUUUUCAAUAGGGGACCCAUCUUGUAAAAUAACAUAAGGCCCCUUAUACAAAAGCUAAUUAAAUGGAGCCUCCCACUAAAUGAUAUAUUUAGGCUUUUGACCCAAAUAGCUAGUUAUCUUACUUAUUAGUCCAGUAGUGGUGCAGUCAAUUAAAUGAGCUAACCCGGGAAUCAUUUGGGAACAUACAAUAGUGGCUACAAUAAUUAGGCCUGUAAUUAAACUAGCCCAAUUAUUUAAUUCCAAAUCUACUCCACUAAAAGAUUGGAACUGACUUCCAUAAUUGUAUGCUCGAAUAAUAAUUCGUCCCAAGCCACAUUGAUUUCUUUACUGCACAAUCCUUUGUACCACAUCGUUAAUUAAAUUGAUAUCUCAACUGUCCAAUCAAUUUAAUAACAUCUUAUUCCUUGAUCCUUACUGGUUUUCUCUAAUGAUCAUUUUCAACAUACUAAAUAUGUUGACACACUCUGGCCAGAGAAUUCUAUGAUCAAGUGCCGAAAACCCAUCAAGAGAUGUGUUGUACAAAUUCUAUAUUGUUAAUCCAUAACUCCAAUACUCAUAAUUGCUCCCACCAAGAUACCGGGUAAUCUUGACCACAAGGAUGUGUCGUGCCCAUUGGUAACUCAAAUGGAAUAACAAUUACAAUCAUGAAAUCAUAAUUAACUCAAGAUUAAGAUUACAGUAAAAUCAACGCCUAUGAGAUUUAAUAAGUCUGACAGUUAUUACAAAGUUAAUUAAAUCUCAUAUGUGAUCCUGUUCAAUGUAGUCGUACUACAUUAAUAAAUUCAUACAUGAUUAAGACAAAUCAUUCAAUGAAUUUAUUACAGUCUAUACCUAAAUAAAGUGCCCAACUUUAUUUAUCAACUGCGAACUAAAUUUAUUUAAUCAUAAGAUAACUUGUAUUUAUGUCUUCUGUGAAUCCACAUGGUGAUCACAUAAAUACAUAUAAUAUGAUUAAAUAGACUUUAAUACAAAUAUUAAUGCAAUUAAGAUAUUUGAAUAAAAUACCUCAUUUAUUUUAUUAAUCAGAAAAUUUGUUUAUUACAAUUAAAUAAACACAUAUGCUUUUAAAGAGCAUAUUUUCCCAACAGUUUGUGCAAAGGUGGUUGAUAGGAGGGGGCUGGCAGUGGUGUAUAGCCAUUGGUGGCAGCUAACAGAGUUGCAGCACGGGGUUGGUUAGAGAUAUGAGAGUGGUGGCUAGGGUUUUAAGAGAUCACGGAUUGGUGGGCAUCUGACGGUCCACUGAUGACGUAAGAGGGUUCCAGCGGCUGAGAAACGCUGUCCAAGGUUGCUAGUACGGUGGCGUCGGCUGUUGAAAUGGGAACACGCAAACUAGGGUUUAAGGCCGUGGUUGAUUUAGUGGCUUGGGAUGUCAGUAACGCUUGGGGAUGCUCGUGGUGUGUCAUUAAGAGUUGUAGCGGCGGCUGGAUGGCAUCGCCGAUGGCUGGAAAUCCAAUGGCGGCUUCGGAUGCGUUUUGAGUAGAAGGCUGCGAGCUUAGCGCCAAGGUUUUGCGGUUGUUGGGAGGUUAAAGAAGACGGGACACCAUGGAGUUGGUUGAGGAUAUGGUCGGUGGCAUCUGGGGGUCAUCACCGACGGUAGCAAGUGUGAUGGCGAUGACGGGCGGUAUUUGAGAUCUUGGUCUCGGAUUUGCUGUCUAAAUGAUAGACACUCCAACGAUAAGUUGUUCAAUGUAUUAUUUUUCAAAAUGUUUGGACUAUUGGAUUCAAAUCUAAGAGUCCCAAAAUGGGAUCCUGCAUUUAAAGUGCGAGAUUCUGCACUAGACCCUAAUGAUUAUAUGUUCUAAUAAAUCAAUACUUCAUGUUGAUAUGAAAUGUCUUAUAUUAUUGAUGUUUUAGUUAUGGAUUCACACUGGAAAUCCAUUUUUCGAAUCCUUUUAAUCUCUAGUGUCAGAUAAUCUUUUGUUUUUAACCUUUUGAAGAAAAUAAAUUGUGGACAAAAUUGGAUUUGUUAGUGUUGUCUUUCAUCAAAAAUAAAAUUUAAUUUUGUCGAAAAUUUUAAUUUAAUAAAUGAUAAAUUUGAUCAAGAAGAUAACGGCUCAUUAGUCAAUAUAUCUGAGGAUAGUUUAGGAAUAUUAAAUUUUAGACAAAAAUGGGUUUUAACUUUGACAAUGAGUAAGGAGCUAACUGCAAGUUUUCGUUAUACUAGGAUAAAUAAUAUAAAUGAAAGAGAGAGUAAGGAGCUAACUGCAAUUUACCAGUGAUUAACUCACAAAAAUAUAAAAUGCGGAGUAUGGUGUCACUGGGCCACCAUAGUCGGACUCGUUUAUGGAAUUUAAUUUUUCCCUACAUUUCAGAUUUUACAAUUUUUUAAUAAUAUCAUUGAAAGAAAUUUUGAUGAACACAAUUGUAGAUUCAAAAAAGUUCAAAGUAUUAUUGGUUUCUCAUGUUUAAAAAGUAAAGAACUUGGUGUAUAUAUACACUUGUUUGUACUUGUUUUUACCCAUUAUCUUUUUAAAAUUUUCCUAGCUUCUUUUUAUAAAUAUUCCACUUUCCUAAGUACAGUAAUUCUAAUGUCAUUAAUCUUUUAUGCAAGAAGAUGGUUUUCUUACAGCUAAGACAAGAAUAUAUAUCUUUAUUUUAGGAAUAUUAACCUUAUUUCUUUGUUUUGAGUACUGAUGUCAGAUGAAAGGCUUAGUGAUCACUUCAUAUUUUAAUAGAUUCCAAAAGAUUUUGUAAUAUAUAAAAAUAUUGCUUAAAAAACUUAUAUUCAAUGAAAUUAUCCAAAUUUUAUCAUGAUAAUUGUAGUGAUAUAAAAUGAGAUAUAGAUUACACAAUAAAAAUGAGGGAAUGAUGAAAAUUUUGGUUGAAAUAGGAGAGAAUGAACAUAGGUAUUAAAGGGAAAAAAGCUUUGUCACAAAUAAUUCUUUUUAUCCUUACUACUUAAAUAAUAAUUUAUUUCAUCCAUGUUUUUUAAACAAUAGCUCAAAUCAUCCUUUCGUUAAUUUAUAAUCAGUUUAAUUUUAUUGAGGGAAAAAUAUGAUUUUAAGAAUAUACAAACAUUUAAAAAUAAACCUCUCAAAUAUAAUUAGAUAAUAUCUCUAUAUAAAUUUAAAAUUUAUAGAUAACUUAAUGAAUAAACAAUGAUAACACUAAAUAUGUAAAAUAUAUAUUUAGGAAAAAAAUAAAAAGACAUAAAUUUAACAGGCACUAGAGUGGGUUUUAUUUUUAUUUUUUUAUCUUUUAACUUAUUCCUGACUUUAAUAUGAUUACUUGUCCCUGAUCGAAAAAUUAUUAUAGAUAUAUAUAUAUAUAUGGUGUGUGUGUGUGUACACACACACACACACACCAUAUAUAUUCACUACUACAAAACAGGACAAAGAUGACAUAUAAUACAUGACAAGCAUACUAUUAAUUGUCAUAUAUUAGUUUAGAUGACUUUUUUAUUUUUAUUUUUGGAAGUCAUAUAUUAUAAAAUUAUUUUUACUUGUGACAUAAAAAUGACUCGCCACUAAAUAAGAAGUUAUCUUUAAUUAAUUAAAAGGUGACUCUUAUUUUUAAAAGAGUAAUGAUAGACCCACAAACUCUUAUACAAACUCAUGUGGCAUGAUAAGAUUGGUUGAAUUAAAUAUCACUUGGCCCACAUGAUUUGUUUUUAUUAUUUCAUAUUUUCAUUCAACCAAUGAAUUAAUUCCACGUCAGUUUGUACAAGAUAAAUUUGUACAAGAGUUUGUGGCUGUAUCAUCACUCUUUUUAAAAUGUGUCAUUUAUUUUGUAGUAUAAAAAUGCUACUUUCCGUCUUUAUUUUCUUUGUCUACCACGAAAUAUCAUUGUCUCCCUGUUUCAACCUCCAUUCUUCUAGGACUUUCUUUCUCUGUAAAAUUCCCCUUCGCCCAUAGAAAACAUCUUCAUAUCUUCUAUUUCAAAGUUCCAAACUCACUCUUAAUUUCACUCAUUAUUUAUAUAGACCCAAAAUCGUAAACCCUAACUGUUCACACAUAGUCGAAGUCAAGACAAAUUGAGAAGAAAUCUUAAAGCUCUGGACCACACAUGUUGGCAAGAAGAUUAUAAAGCUUGGGACCACAUCACUAUCAAGUAAAUUGUUGAAGCAUUCGGCUACCUUGGAUAUUGGAUUUUAAAAAUUUUGGUCCCCACAUUAAGUUACUUUCUUUCCUUUUGUUUAAUCAUGUUUGUGAAAGAAAAUGAUAGAUUGUUUGAUUGUGGGUGGCCUACAUGUGUUGUUUUUUUUUUCCUUUUCUUUGUCUAAUUUACUCUAUUUGAAUAGCAAAUGUUGACAAUAUGGAUGAACAAUAAAGUAAUUUUUAGGGAUUAAUAUUUUAGGGAAGUUACAAGUUUGGUCAAAUCAUGUCAUGCUCCUUUGAAAUUUAAUCGGGUAUCAAUCUCAGAACCUCACGACUUCUAUACUUGUUCUUCAUAAUCGUCAACUUGACCUCUGUUGUGCAAAUUUUAAUGUACUCGCAAGCGCACGAAUCUAUUAUGGAUAGACUAAUGGUGACGAGUGUCGAUCCCACAAGGAGAUGGAUUUUAAUUAUGUGUAGAAUUAGUUUUGUAAAUGGGUGGUUGGAUUUGUGGUGGAAAUGAUUUGGAAUAUGCUAAAACUUAAAUUAAAAUGACGAGAAUAAAUUCUAAAAUUGGAAUUGAAAUGACAAGAAUAAAUUGAAGAGAAUUCUAUUGAGAUGACGUACUUGGGUAUCUGGAUCCGUAUCAACAUGCAUCAUGGGCUAAAUAAUCUUUGAACAAUAAAUGGGCCAGACCAACGAGAGCGUAACUUACCUGGGAAUAGGUGCAAGCGAGAAUUGAAUAAAAGUACUUUCUGACCUGGAGUGAACGAUUUUCUCAUAAUUUGCUUAUCAUGGAAGACUUUCAUUCGUUGCUUGUAAAUCUUGGCAUUUUCAUAUGCAUCAUUGCGAAUUUCUUCAAGUUCUACCAGUUGUAAUCUUCUUUCUGAGCCGGCUUGCUGCAUGUCAAAGUUGAAUUUCUUGAUGGCCCAAUAUGCACGAUGCUCGAGUUCCAUAGGUAGGUGGCAAGCUUUUCCAUACACUAGCCUGUAUGGUGACAUCCCAAUCGGGGUCUUGAAAGCCAUUCUGUAUGCCCAUAAUGUAUCAUCAAGUCUUAAUGACCAAUCUUUCCUGUCUGGCCUCACCGUUUUUUCUAAUAUGUGUUUUAUUUCUCGAUUGGAUAUCUCAACUUGGCCACUGGUUUGCGGAUGAUAAGGGGUUGCCACUUUGUGUGUGAUUGAAUACUUUGUCAAAAGAGCUUUGAAUGCUUUGUUAUAAAAGUGGGCACCACCAUCACUGAUUAUUGCUCGAGGGAAUCCAAAGCGUGAAACAAUGUUGCUUUUCAAAAAUCCUAUCACCACCUUGUGAUCAUUGGUUCUACAUGGAAUUGCUUCUACCUAUUUCGAUACAUAGUCAAUAGCAACCAAUAUGUAUUGAUGGCCAAAAGAAGGGGGAAAGAGUCCCAUGAAGUCGAUACCCCAUACAUAAAAAAUCUCAAUCACUAAAAUUGUAUUUAGUGGCAUCAUGUUCCUUCAUGUAAUGCUCCCCAUUCGUUGACACCUAUCACAUGAAGAACAAAAAGUGUAAGCAUCUCGAAAUAUAGUUGGCCAAUAAAAACCACAUUGUAAAACUUUAGUUGCUGUUUUCUUAGCACUGAAAUGGCCUCCACAAGCUUUUUCAUGGCAGAAUGAAAGAAUAUUCUGAAUUUCAUUUUCUGGGACGCAUCGUCUAACAAUUUGAUCAGCACAAUACUUGAACAAAUACGGGUCAUCCUAAAAGAAAUUCUUUAUCUCUGCAAAGAAUUUAGCCUUGUCUUGCUUGGUCCAGUGCUCUGGAAGUUGACCUGUAACAAGAUAAUUAACUAUAUCAGCAUACCAUGGUAAUACUUCCACACUCAUUAAUUGUUCAUCUGGAAAUGACUCAUUCAAUAUUAAUGGCUCUGUAAUUGUGUCAAAAUGGAGACGAGAGAGGUGGUCCGCCACAACAUUUUCUGUCCCUUUCUUAUCUUUGAAUUCCAAGUCAAAUUCCUGCAAAAGUAACACCCAACGAAUUAGUCUAGCUUUUGCAUCUUUCUUUGUGAGAAGAUAUUUAAGAGCAGCAUGAUCUGUGAAUAUAAUUAUCUUACAACCAAUGAGAUAAGAUCGAAAUUUCUCUAAUGCAAACACUACUGCUAGCAUUUCUUUUUCAGUAGUUGAAUAAUUCAACUGUGCAUCAUUCAAUGUCAUACUAGCAUAAUAAAUAACAUUGGAAAUUCGAUCAACUCUUUGUCCUAAUACUGCUCCUAUUGCAUAAUCAGAUGCAUCACACAUGAGCUCAAAUGGUAAGCUCCAGUUCAGGGGCUGAAUGAUGGGUGAUGAUGUCAACAAAUGCUUUAAUUUUUCAAAUGCAACAAGACAUGAAUCAUCAAAGACAAAAGGUACAUCCUUAGCAAGUAGAUUGCAUAAGGGUCUAGAAACUUUGCUAAAAUUUUUAAUGAAACGUCUAUAAAAACCAGCAUGCCCAAGGAAAGAUCUUACUUCUCUGACUGUUUUGGGUGAAGGAAGAUUAGAAAUAAGAUCCACCUUGGCUUUGUCAACCUCAAUACCUUUGCUCGAAAUGAUGUGACUGAGAACAAUACCUUGUUUUACCAUAAAAUGACAUUUCUCCCAAUUUAAGACCAAGUUCUUCUCAAUACAUCUCUGCAGAACUAGUGUUAGAUGAUGUAAACAUUGAUCAAAUGAAUCACCAAAGACAGAAAAGUCAUCCAUAAAGACUUCAAGGAAUCGUUCAACCAUAUCAGAAAAAAUGCUCAACAUGCAUCGUUGAAAUGUAGCAGGUGCAUUACAUAAUCCAAAUGGCAUUCUCCUAUAUGCAAAUGUGCCAAAAGGGCAAGUGAAAGUAGUUUUCUCCUUAUCUUUUGGUGUUAUAAGAAUCUGAUUAUAUCCUGAGUAGCCAUCUAAAAAGCAAUAAAAUUCAUGGCCUGCUAAUCUAUCAAGCAUUUGAUCAAUAAAUGGUAAAGGAAAAUAGUCUUUACGUGUGACAGAAUUCAACUUUCUAUAAUCAAUGCAUACACGCCAUUCUGUAGUUACUCUAGUGGGUAUCAAUUCAUUAUCAGCAUUCGUAACUACUGUGACUCCUGACUUUUUGGAGACAACUUGCACAGGACUGACCCAUGAACUAUCAGAAAUGGGGUAAAUGAUACAUGCGUCUAAUAGCUUAAGGACUUCUGUUCUAACAACUUCUUUCAUAUUAGGAUUUAACCGACGUUGCAUCUCCCGAGUAGUUUUAGCAUUUUCAUCAAGGUGAAUGUAAUGCAUACAGUCUACUGGGUUUAUACCUUUAAUGUCUGCUAUGGUCCAUCCUAAUGCCCCUUUGUGCUCUUUCAAAACAUCCAACAACUUACCUUUUUGUUCGUCAUUGAGGGAUGCUGAGAUGAUUACCGGUAGAGUACUUUCUUCUCCCAAAAAUGCAUAUUCUAAUGUGUUGGGUAAUGGUUUGAGCUCGAGUUUCGGUGGUGAUUCUGAUGAUGGGAUGAGUUUCUUCUCUGAUAGUGCUAGUUGUUCAACUCUUGACUUCCAUUUAUUAGUAUCCAUGGAUAGUGCUGAGUCAAGCAGGGCGUUGACCUCAUCAACUGAUCUGUCAAUAUCAAAAUCCAAACCAAAGUGAGUUAAACAUGUUUGUAAAGGAUCAUCACUAAGGUUUGAAAGAAAAGUGUUAUCAACUAUUGUUUCUAUUAAAUCCACAUCAACAAUUCCAUCAUCUGCAUUGUGAGGUUGUUUGGCAAUGUUGAAGAUGUUCAGCUCCAUAGUCAUGUUGCCGAAGGACAACUGCAUAUUUCCAGUCCUGCAUUGAAUGUGAGCAUCCGCAGUUGCCAAGAAAGGUCGGCCUAGAAUAAUGGGGAUGUGCUUCCUUGAAUCCUGUAUUGGUUGAGUGUCAAUUACAAUGAAAUCAACAGGAAAAUAGAACUUGUCUACCUGGAUAAGCACGUCCUCCACAAUACCACGAGGUAUUUUCGUGGACCGAUCUGUAAGCUGUAACACCACUGGAGUUGGGUGUAAUUCUCCCAAUCCAAGUUUCACAAAUACUGAAUAAGGCAACAAAUUUACACUAGCUCCUAAAUCCAACAAAGCAUUCUCAAUUGUGUGGUUCCCUAUACUACAUGAGAUAGUGGGGGAGCCUGGGUCUUUGCAUUUUAAAGGAAUUUUAUGUUGGAGUAUAGAACUAACGUUUUCUAUUAAAAAUGCCUUCUUUUGAACAUGCAUAUUUCUCUUUUUAGUACAAAGGUCUUUAAGAAACUUGGCAUAAGAUGGAACUUGUUUAAUAACAUCAAGUAAAGGGAUGUUAACACUUACCUGUUUGAAGAUUUCAAGAAUCUCACUUGUGGAUUUUCCCUUCUUGCCUUUAGCUAACCUCUGGGGGAAUGGAGCUUUCGGAACAUAUUCUCGUGGGUUGGUUUCUUUUUUCUCCUCCGGUGAUGAGUCCUCAACAUUCACAGGUACAAUUUGAUUUUCUUUUGUCAUCGGCAUUUCCACUUUGUUGUCGACUUCUUUUCCUUUUCGCAAAGUCAUGACUGCUUUGACCUCUCCAUGCUGCUGUGGUGAACUGGUACUUGCUUCAUGCACUCCUUUAGGAUUAGGCACUGGUUGACUUGGAAACUUACCUUUCUCAACAGUCAUUGCCAAGGUUUGAACUGAAGAAGCAAGUUGUCCCACCAUCUUCUCGAGGCUUGAAACUGAUUGGGCUUGUGAAUUGAAGCCUGCUCUCAACUCAUUUCGUAGUCCAUCAAUGGUGCGGUUCUGUUGCUCAAUCGUGGAGUGAGUAACAUUCUUGAAAUUCUGGAAUGCAUCCUCCCAUGGUCUGGGUUGAGAGUAGUUCUGGUUUUGAUUGUAUGGUAUAAAUGGUGGCUGAGAGGCUUGAGGAACUUGAGGAAUUGGCUGCAUUGGUGGAGCUGGAGCUGUUGGUCCAUUCUGUAGGAAUCCUUGAGUCUAUGAAAAAUUGGGGUGGUCUCUCCAUCCAGGGUUAUAUAUGUUGGAGUAUGGGUUGUAAUUUGAUGGCUUUCUCAUUGCACCUAUGGCAUUGGCUUGAUCUGGAUAUGAGUCAGGGUCAUGUGGCUCUGUUGAUUUAGCAGUCGAUAACGAUGCUAUUUGCCGAGCAAGACCUUCAACCAUCUCCUUGACUUCUUUGAUUCCCGAAGUUGACUCACCAAUGUGAACCUCAUUCACUCCUUUAAUUCUUCUAGUAUUCCUGAAUGAUCGACUCCGUUGUUGGGAAUUAUCCGCUUGUCGCUGAAAGAAUUCCCAAAUCUCUGAUGCACUUUUUGACAUUAGCUCUCCUUCACUUGUUGCCAUUAGCCAUUCUUGCACAUUCGGCAAUAAUCCCUCCAAAAAGUAUUGGCAUUGGUGCCAUUUCUCAUACCCAUGAUGUGGACACUUAAAGAGUAGCCCAUUGAAUCGCUCCCAUGUUUCAAAAAACUGCUCAUCCUCUCUCUGGGUAAACUCCGAGAUUUCCCUGCGAAUAGCGUUGGUUUUAUGCACUGGGAAAUAUUUAUUCAAAAAUUUUGUUACCAUUUGUUCCCAUGAUGAAAUGCUAUUAGCAGGUAAAGUAUUUAACCAUGAACGAGCUCUAUCCUUUAAAGAAAAUGGGAAUAAUCUGAGUUUAACAUCAUCGUCUGAAAAUUUUUCAUAUUUAAAAGUUUGACAAAUUGCAUGAAAAUCAUUCAGAUGAUUAUAUGGGUCCUCAUUUUCUAGGCCAUAGAAUGUUGGGAGACAAUUUAGCACACUAGGUUUUAGUUCAAAACUCCUAGCAGCUACAUUUGGGUAUCUUAUGCAUGAUGUGCUCAAAUUAGCUAAAGGACUGAAAUAAUCCUUAAAUGGCCUCUCCUGUGGUGCUUGUAAAUCCAUUCCAAAUUUAUUUUUAAUGUGCCUGUGUGUGCGAAGUGUUUUUUUCUAAUUCAAGGUCUAUAGGUUCAAGAUUAGGUAAUAAUGACCUACGACCAUGCAUGCAAAACAAAUAAAAUAAAAAUAAAGAUGGGAACAAAACAAAUAAAAAUAAAGAAGAGGGAGAAAUUACGAUACUAACCUUAUUGCGCUAUUACAACCUUUCUAUAAAAAUACACAAAAAUAAAUACGUGAAAUAAAUUAACUAAAAAUUAAAUUAAUAAAAUAAAAAAAAUUACAAAGAAAAAUAAAUUGAAAAUUAAAUUACAGAAUGUUAAAGAAGAGAAAAAGAAAAGAAAUACUAACCUUUAUAUGUAGAUUCACUCUUUUUUUUUCUUUUUUUUAAAUACAAGAAAACAAAUAAAAGAAAUUAUUCACAAAAAUUAAUUCUAUUAAUUAAAAUUACUUACCUCCCUGGCAACGGCGCCAAAAACUUGUUUUGCAAAUUUUAAUGUACUCGCAAGCGCACGAAUCUAUUGUAGUAUAGCCUAAUGGUGACGAGUGACGAUCCCACGAGGAGGUGGAUUUUAAUUAUAUGUAGAAUUAGUUUUGUAAAUGGGUGGUUGGAUUUGUGGUGGAAAUGAUUUGGAAUAUGCUAAAACUUAAAUUAAAAUGGCGAGAAUAAAUUCUAAAAUUGGAAUUGAAAUGACAAGAAUAAAUUGAAGAGAAUUCUAUUGAGAUGACGUACUUGGGUAUCUGGAUCCGUAUCAACAUGCAUCAUGCGCUAAAUAAUCCGUAUUAAUGCCAAUUAAAUCAUGAGGGGGGAAUCCACACCUCAUGAACCACGCUCUAAUCAAUAUGGUGCUAAGGGCUUAUCGUGUCAAAUGAUAAUAACCUUGUACUAGAGGGCCGGUGAAACCAAGGCGGUACUAGACAAGAUUAGUAUUAUUUGUCGACAAGAAGUCAAAACAUUCACAAAAACUAGAGGGGAAGAGAAAAAAAAUUUACCAAAUUAAGCCCAUGACACAUGUUGAGACUUCACCUUCAACCCAAACUUGAAAGAAAAUUAGCCACUCAUAAUUGAACUAGGGGCAAAAUGGAAAUUUAUUAAAAUACGAAGAAAAUACAAGAUGGAGAGCGAAUUAUAGAAAACAGAGUCCAAAAAUGGAUUCAGAGGUAUCAAAUUAGGUGGGGGAGGCCCCCUUUUUAUAGAUACAUGGAGUAAAUCAUGGCCAUCGGAUUAAAAACAGUUUGGACGCUCAGGAUUGUGCCACGUCAUCAGUCAACAGUACGCGGUUUGACCACGCGGAUGAACAGUAACACGGUUUGGUUGAAAAUAAUCCUGUGUGAUGCAUGUACCGUACACGAGAUUUUUCGUCCACUGAUAUGCUGCCACGUCACCAUCAACAGUACAUAAAAAUUUUAGCCCAACAGGAUCGUGACACCUCAUCAGUUAAUGCCACAUCAUCGGUCAAUGCCACGUCAUCGUCCGUCUAUGUGAAUAGUGCCGUGAACAGUAACGUAUACAGUACCGUACACGUGAAUAGUACCGUACAUGUGAACAGUGCUAUUUUUCCUUUUAUUCUCCUCCUAAGGUUUUCGACCGUCCUGAGUUCAAAAGUGAUGUCCGUUUUGUCAUCUGAUCUCUCGUUUAUUGUGAAAUGACUAUGAUGCCCCUAAAAUACAUAAAAUACUUAAUUCAAAUAAAACAAACGGAAUUAAAUCAAAAGAAGGUUAAAUUCAUAAAAGUAAAGGUGUUAGUAAGGCUUGAAAUGUAAAAUGAUAGUUUUCUCCUAUAUAAAUAUGCAUUUUCUAACACUCAACAACCUCUCCUCUUUCUUUUAAUUGGAUUAUCUUUCUUUUCUUUUCCCCUUCUCUUUUCUUUCAUCUCAUCUUUUACGAAAUUGGGAAACCAAAAACAACAUGCGCCAUGCGGGAUUUGUUGCAAAAUUAUAAAUAUUUCAAAUUCUUCAAAUAACUAAAAAUUAAUUUAUAUACACACUUUCUUAUUAAAAAAUAAAAAAAAAACUAACAGAGAAUUAAUAGAAUGAGCCUUUAUAUAAUAUUAUGUGAUAUUACAAUGUUAAUUAAUCAUUUCAUCAUCUUUUCUUUAGCAUCAUAUAGAAUAUUGUAAAAUCUACCUAUAAUUAUAAUCAUAUUAUUAGAAUCAAAAUAAUUUUAUUACUAUAAAGAUAUUAUAAUUUAAUAGGUAUAAGUAUAGAAAUUAUUAUUUUAACUUAUUUAUUUUUAAUAUAAGUAAUAUAGAAAUAAAGACAUUAAGUAUAUAAUUUAAUAAUUAAUUAAUAAAACAUCUUGAAUCUAAUAUAUGAACAAAUAUUAAUAAGAGAAAUAAUGUUAGUUUUAGAAACUAAGACAUAUUUUUAAAAAAUUCAGAUGUUUAUACUUGUUAUCAUAUAUAUGCUUAGCAAACCAAAGUUGGUUGGUGUGAGUGGUUCGGUAGUCUCACUCCUUAAGAGAGGUCAGGGGUUCAAGCCCUGCUCUCGUAUGGAGUCACCACUUUGGCCAGCACUUUAUCCCUUACGGGUCGACCGAGUGCGAGCAGGGAUUAGUCUGGGUUGUGGUAUGGGCUUAAAGGUGCCUCCCACAGUUGGGGCCCACUCAGGACCACCUCGUGGUUCAGACCAAUAUAUAUAUAUAUAUAUAUAUAUAUAUAUAUAUAUAUAUGCUUAGCACUUAAUACAAAUGCUCUCACCAUAGCAAUCCAUUUUGUUGUGCUUUUGUGUUUAGUCCCUGGCACUUCAUGUCCAUUAAGCUUUGGUUAAUUUAUUAUGCUAUGUGCUUUAGUAAAUUAAUGUUUUUAUUGAUAUUAUUUUGAUAGAAUAAUAAUCUUAAGGUUCUAUGUUUUACUUUUUCUCAAAUUAGGAUAUAGAUACUUACGAGGAAAUUAUGGAAAAUAUUUUAGAAUGAUAUAUUUAUAUUUUACAUUUAGAAUAGACAAAUCUUGGAUGUCUAUGGAUCGAAGAUCAAAAGAUUAUGAGAUUGGUGUUGAAGAUUUAAAAAUUUUGCAAUAGUUAUAUUAUGUCCAUGUAUGGAAUGUGGAAAUGUGAAACAUCAAACUGUUGAUGAGAUUAGGGAUCAUUUGUAUUUGAACGGUAUAGACGAAAGUUACAAUAAUUGGAUUGUGCAUGGAGAAAAGCUUGUUAAGAAGCUAUCAACUACUAGCAACACUCAAUCUACAAGAGAAUUUAAAACAAGAGCCUUUGAAACUGAAUCUGUGGCCAGCACUGUAGAGAUGAUUCAAGGAGCUUAUGAUCAUUUUGAAAACAAUCCUAAACAAUUUGAGAAUUUAUUGGCUGAUGCUGAGAAAAAGUUAUAUCCAGGUUGUAGUAAGUUCACAAAAUAUCUGCAUUGGUAAAAUUGUACAGCCUAAAAGCAAGAAAUGGGUGGUCAGACCGAGGCUUUUCAGAUUUGUUGAAAUUGUUAAGAGAAAUGUUGCAUGACAAUAAUAAAAUGUCUUGUUCAAUGUACAAGGCUAAAAAAACCUUAAAUGCAUUAGGGAUGGAGUAUGAGAAGAUACAUGCAUGUCCAAAUGACUGUAUACUUUAUAGAAAACACUAUAAAGAUGUUGUUAUAUGUCCUAAUUAUGGUGUAGCAAGGUGGAAGUUGAAAAAAAAAUUCAACUGAGAUGAAGAUUGGUGUUCUAGCAAAGGUUUUAUGGUAUUUCCCACCAAUCCCAAGGUUUAAAAGAAUGUUUUGAAGUGUUGAAACUUUGAAAAAUCAAACAUGGCAUGCCACUCAAAGGGAAACAGAUGGACUAUUACAUCAUCCUGUAGAUACCUGAUAACUCUAGGAAAUGAGAGUUAUUACAUCAAUUCUAGACUUAAAUUAAGAUCACUUAGAGAAUAAAUAAGGUGUUUUUAUUACAUUUUGCUUGAAUCAAAAUAGUUUGUGCUAAAACCAGGUGCAUAAUUGUAGGUUUUCAGAAAGUCUUAAUUUAUGAGGGGAUGUUGAGACAUUAGAUGAGCAAAAGGAGGAAAGAAGAUGGCUGCAAAAAAAGUAAGCACAACUGGGAAUAGUGCGGUAUUAUUGCGGAUGUCAGAGCAACCAGUGCUGUAGCAAUCUGGGAGCAAUGUGGGAGAAAAUUUAGGCACGAGUCAGCUGCAAAAGUCGUGAUUUUCAUGUUUUCUAAUUUAACUCAUGCACGCCUAUGGACUUUUAUUUUUACCCUAGUUUGCAGUAUAAAAGGGAGGCGUGCACCACAUAGAAAGGCGAAAAAGGAAUUAUCAUUGGAAUAAUUAGAGAGGAAAGGAAAAGAAAGAUCAUAAUUGAAGAGUGUUGUUUCAGUAACAUUGAAGAAUCUUGCAGAAGUAUUUGGAUUUGUCUUUCACCGUGCUCAACUUAUAUUUAUCUUCUUCCUGUGAUUGUUUUGAUGUAUCCCGUGAACAAUACAUUUAUGUUAUUUUUCUCAUUCAGAAUAUGAACUAGAUUUGCUUGUAGUUGAGUGACAAACAAUCCAAUGGGUUCUUGAAUGUUCUUAUGUGUUGUUAUGUCAUUACUGUAGCAUUUUACUCUAGUAGCUAUUAUGAAUAUAACUGUUAUUUCAGUUGACCACCCAUUUAAUAGUUCCAGUCAAGAUAGAGCAGGAAAAGGGCAUGUCUUAGCGGACAUUAUUAGAGUAUUACUCGAUCUUAAUUUAAGUUUCCUGGAUUAAGUUAUCUUGAAUCCCAUAAGGGCUAUACUUAAAGUUAAGAUUUGUGACACACUAGACAUAGGUGUUCACCUUGUAGGGUGGAGAGACUAAAGAUCAUAAUGUCAUACCAUAAGUAGAUUAGCAACUGGUCAUUGUGAAUAGAUUUAAGGGUAUGAGACUUCCAAUAUGCGAUAGUUGAGAAUGCAAAUUAAUUAUGCCCAAUGCUGCAGCACUUGGCGUAACAACUGGUGUUAACAUGAUGAAAAGUAGUCAGCCCAUAAGGAGAGUUUGAUCAUUCAACUACCAUAAUCUCAAUUGAAUCUUAGACACAUUUAAUCUAGUUUAUUUCAUUACGGUAUUGUUUUACUUAGUUUUCUCACAAUCAUCAAUUACGAUAGAACUUAAUUUACAAUUGUUAACUUUGGCCUUAAGUUGAUUUGCACUAUUGUGAUUGCUGUAGUAUUUCGAGUAACAUCAAUCUCUGUGGAGACAAUCUUGAAUAUUCAUUACUUUAAUACUUGUUGUGUAUACUUGCAUAUUGGUAUUGGUAGCAAUUGAUUAUAAAAAUAACCAACAAUACCCCAGCAUGGAAACUAAUAGAUCACUUAUGGCCUGAUUUUGGAGCUGAACGAAGGAACUUGCGACUUGCAUUAUCUGCAGACGGGAUUAAUCCAUAUAAUUCUCUUAGUAGUAGGUAUAAUUGUUGGCCCGUGAUAGUAGUGACAUAUAAUCUUCCUCCAUGGCUUUGUAUGAAGAGGAAAUUUAUGAUGCUGACAUUGUUAAUUUCAGGUCCUAAACAGCCUGGUAAUGAUAUUGAUGUCUACUUAGCUCCAUUGAUUGAUGAUCUUAAAAUAUUGUAGGAGAUAGGCAUUGAAGCUUAUGAUACUUAUUGUCAAGAGUCUUUCACAUUGAAAGCUAUUUUAAUGUGGAUGAUAAAUGAUUUUACUGUUUAUGGAAACUUGGUUGGUUGCAUUGUAAAAGGAUAUAAAGCAUGUCCAAUUUGUAGUGAAAAAACAUGUGCAGUUCAGCUUGACCAUAGUAAAACAAUGUCUUAUAUCGGUCAUAGAAGAUUUUUACCACGAUAUCAUCCAUAUCAGUUUCAGAAAAAGGCAUUUAAUAAUGAAGAGGAAAUUGAAAUUGCUCUAGAACCGCUGAAAGGAGAGGAAAUCUUGGCACAAGUUCAAAGAUUAAAUUUCUGGUUAGGGAAAAAAAAAGCAAAUAGUCGUGCAACUGAUAUCAAUGAAAAGUUUGCUGGAAGAAAAAGUCUAUUUUUUUCGAUUGAUUAUUGGAAGUCUUGAUAUGUUAGACACACCCUUGAUGUUAUGCAUAUUGAAAAGAAUGUGUGUGAAAGUCUUAUGGGGACUUUACUUGACAUUCCAGGGAAAUCAAAAGAUGGUUUUGCAACUCGUAUGGAUCUAGAUGAAAUGGGUGUAAGGAAAGAAUUACUACCAAGAAUUGGCCAAAAUGGAACAAAAUUGCCUCCUGUGUGUUAUACUUUGUCAAGGGAAGAAAAGAAAAAUUUUUGUAAGACAUUGUUUGAAAAUAAGGUUCCUGAUGGUUAUUGUUCAAAUUUUAGAAAUCUAAUCUCAUUGCAAGAUUUGAAACUCUAUGGCUUGAAAUCUCAUGAUUGUCAUGCUUUGAUGCAACAAUUGCAUCCUUUAGCAAUACGAUCCUUGUUACCAAAACAUGUUAGAUAUGUAAUAACAAGAUUUUGUGCUUUUUUUAACAACCUGUGCCGCAAAGUAGUGGAUGUGUGAAAAAUUAGAUCAAAUGCAAGAAGAUUUGGUGAAUAUUAUAUGCUUGUUAGAAAAAUAUUUCUUGCCAGCUUUCUUUGAUAUUAUGAUUCACUUACCAGUGCACCUUGUUAGAGAAGUCAAACUCUGUGGACCUGUUUACCUCCGAUGGAUCAAUCAAUUUGAGAGGCAAAUGAAAAUAUUGAAGGAUUAUGUACAAAAUCGGGAUAAACCAGAGGGUUGCAUUGCUGAAUCAUAUAUAGCUGAAGAGGCUAUUGAGUUCUGCAUAGAAUACUUAUAUGAAGUUGAUGAAAUUGGCAUUACACCUAAAAAAUACAGAUUUGAUGUUGGAUUACUUUUACCAAGUGGAUGUGUUGUUAGAAUAGAUCGUAAAUUGUGGGUGCAGGCACAUAGAUAUGUACUAGAAAAUACAAAUGAAGUUCAGCCGUAUAUCAUGUUAGUAACUAUUUCCUUUAUCUUAUAUAUAUUAGUUAUAUUUUCUGUAAUAGUUAUAAUCAUUCUUAUUUCAUCUUUAAGAUCUUAGAGAGCAUAUGGAGUUCUUGAAGAAGAAAUACCCAGCAAAGUCAAAGAAGAAAAAGUGGCUACAAGAUGAAUAUAAUAGGACUUUCAUAUAUUGGUUGCGUCAAAAAGUAAUUAACUAUAUAGUUCAUCCAUAAACAUUUUUUUGUUAUUCUAAGAUAUUUGUGUAUUAUUUAUAUACAUUUUUAUUACUAUCAUAUAGGUUGAAAUUCAACUUAACGAAUCAAGGAACAAUAUCUUGGAAGCCUUUAGAUGGAUUGCACAUGGACCUCGCCUUGAAGUGAUAAAGUACCAAGGCUAUGAAAUUAAUGGUUAUCGUUUUCAUACUAAAGAACGUGAUGACUUACGAGUUGUACAGAAUAGUGGAGUCUAUUUAGAUGCAAACACAUUUCAGAUUUCAAUUGCUAAAGAUAAGAAUCCUGUGGUGGCAAAUAUGUCAUUUUAUGGAGUUAUACAAGAGAUAUGGGAGCUUGAUUACAACAAGUUCAAGAUUCCUGUAUUUAAGUGUGAUUGGGCUGAAAACAAUCGUGUGAUAAAAAAAGAUGAGCAAGGACCUACGUUGGUAAACCUUAAUAGGAUAGGCCAUAAAGAUGAUGGUUUUAUUUUGGCUUCUCAACCGAUACAAGUAUUUUAUGUUGAAGAUCAACUCGAUCCAAGGUGGUCUAUUGUGAUAGUGACUCCACGUGGGGAAUAUAUGUAUGAUUCAAGAGAAGAUCUAGGUGACAUCAUGUUAGAACAUCAAAAUCCUAGCAAUUUAAUGCCAUCUGUUGAGUCAUUUGAUAAAAAUGAGUGAUAACGAUUUAGCUUACAUCAGAACUGAUAUCAAUGAGGAAACAUUGGUUGAAAACGUUUAUUAGAAAACAAACGUAAGUUUUUUUUCAACAAAGUUGGUGUAUUGAAUUAUUAUUUUAAUGUAUAGCAUUGUUUAGCUUAUGUGACCUAUUAUUCUUCUAUUAAAUUCUCAUCAAUUUUUUUCUUUUCUUUUUCUUUAGUUAUUUUGCAGCAGGUUUAUAAAACAUUGCUACAGAAAUGAGUUCAACUGUCAAAAAAAGAAAAAGUAGAGGUCGAACGAAUUUACCUCAGCUGGUCAGAAAUAGAAACAAUGGAUAGAAGCUUAUAGUCGAGUAUAACAAAAGAGGACAACAACACGGCAAGGUAGCAACAUGAUUGUUUAGCUUUUUAGGUGUCUUGGCACGCACCAUGGUUCUAAUUUCUUAUAAAGAUUGGAGCAAAGUGCCAUCAGAGUCCAAAGAAAAGAUAUGGGAAUGUGUAAAAGUAUGUGUUUACAGCUCUUUUCCUAAAAUAAUACACAUUUAUUUAAUUUGUGAAAAUUUUUUAAACAUGCUAUGCAUAUUGCAGUUCUCUUUUGAGGUGGAUGAUGAGCUUCAAGGCAAAUUCUUAUCUUUAGCUACGAAUAAAUAAAGAACCUUCAAGAAUAGACUCACCACUAAAUAUAUCAAGAGAUCUAAACAUAAGCCAGAGGCACUGAAGUGCCUGCCUAAAAUGUAUGAUUUUAUCGAGCAAGAAGAUUGGGAAGUUUUUGUACGUUAUCGAACUUCUAGUGCAUUUGAGAUAUUAACUAACUUUUUUAAUUAAAUGUAUGUUUGUCAUUGUUUGUGUACUUACCUUGAUUAUUGAAUGCAGGAAAUUAGCCAAAAAUAUAGAGAAAGAAGGGCAAAAAAUAUAUACAAUCAUUGCCUUUCAAGGAAAGGCUAUGUGGGAUUAGAGGAUGAACUGGUAUGUACACAAAUAUUUAUAUGUAUGUAUAACUUUCCUUUUCAGUCUAUCACCUUAAUUAAGAAAGUUAUGUAUGACUUUAAUUCAUUUAAAUUUAUAUAUAGCAACAAGCUGCUGGAAACAAAAAAGAUAUUAGUCGCUCUACCUUAUGGAAAACAGCACACAAAAAUAAGAAAGGUAGACACAUGAGUGAGGUCAUUAGAGAAAAGGCUAAUGAAAUAGUAAGUUUAUAAAUAUAUGAUUUUGAAUAAUUUAACAUAUGAACUAAAAAGUUGCUGAUUUCUUGUUAUUAUUCAAAUGUAGGAUGAGAUAACAAAGAAAAGUGAGGAAGGGGUUAUAGCUACUGGUGGUAGGAAUGAUGUUCUAACAAUAGCUUUAGGAACCCCUGAAAGUUCAAGUCGAGUAAGAACUGGAGGACGUUUUGCCACACCUUCUUCAUACUUUGGAAGGAAAAAAUGAAGUUUCUCAUCCAACAAUGAGUUACAAGAGCGUAUAACUCAACUAGAGGAAAAUUAUGAGAAAAUUUCACAAGAAAAAUUUCUAUUAGAGCAAAAUGUAGGGAAGAUUGUAUAAGAACAAAUGAUGCAUUUUUUUGAAGAAUUCCGAAAGAAUGGAGUCCUACCGAUCCAGUCACCAAAAGUUCCCUUAGAAAAAGGCAGCUGCUCCAAAGAACCAAGAAUGAAGAAAAAGUGCUCCAAGAAAAAACAAGUACAUAUGCAAAAUGAGUGCUUCAAGAAGAAAAAAGUAUACAUAAAAAAUAAGUGCAGUUCUAUAUUUUUUUUUAAUUCCAAAUCUCAAAGUUUAGAUUUUAAUCACUUAUAAUGCUAUGAUUAAUACUUUACUCAUAGAUGAUGCAGGGCAAAUCAUGUAUGUUAGUAGUGGGCAGCAUAAAUAGUAUUGUAACCAAAGGUACAAUGUUAGAAAACAAUGAUCCUAAUUCUACUAUGCAUGGAGUACCAUUGGCAGUCACGGAUGUUCAUGUGGCUAUUAAUAUUGCAAUUAAAGGGGAUGCCUUUUUACCAAGGCCUGUCAGGGAUGAGUUAGUUAUUGUUAGCCAUGCCAUUGGAUCCCAUGUUGCGUGCCUAAGCAAUUUGUCAUCUUGAAUGAUUUUGAGGUAUAUAUCUAUAAUUAAUUGUUUGCUUUUGAUUCGUCUUAAAUUAUUAAUAAUUUUUUUUUAUUUUGGAGUGGGGAAUAGGGUAUCAAACAAAUAAACAACAUUCGUGAAGUGUUGUUUAUUUGUUUGAUACACGUAAUUUAUCCCGCAGCUGCCUAGAAAAUUUUACAAACUGCAGUCAAAUACAACUCUUGUAGCUAAGUAAUGUUUCGAAGAUAGAAAUAUGUGUAUUGUAAGAAAAUGAUAGUAAUGUUCAUGCCGCGGUAGUUAUUAUUUCUGUCUUGCCACUGUUCAAAUAUCAUUUUCCAUUUAAUAUGUGGUCAUCACAAAGUCAAAAACACCCCAAAUCAUAUCCGAAAUUAUAUUCUUGCUUAAUGAAUAGUGAACAUUAACCCUUUGAAAAAUUACGUUGAAAGAUUUAAAAAAUCACAUAGAGUCUAAGUAUUCUGCCAUUAUAUGUCGCACUCGUGUAUAAAUUUAGCAUUUAACUGAGCAUAUCAUUGACGCCUAUAAUGUCUUAUUCUUCUUUUUUUUAGUUAAUUAAUUUCUGUUUUUGCUUGUAGAUAUCUCAUACAUAUUUGUAGUUACAUAAAAAAAUCUAUUGAGAAUGUGCAGGAAUACAAAGCGCCAGCAAGAAUAGAUGCUCUUUGCAAGUACGCUCGCCGAGUGUUGACUAAAGUAUUAUUUAUUGAAAUUUAUCCAGGGAUCUUCGACAAUGAACAAGUUGAAUUAUAUUUAUCAGUUGAUGACAUUGUACAAUUUUGUGGCAUGGAAAAGAUUGGGGUUGCAACAAUAACUUGUUACAUGAAGUAAUUUAAUUAAAUUACUUAUUUUCUUGGCAAAAUAAUUAGUUAUAAUUUUUAUUUAUGCAGUGAAGUAAUUAUUACUUGUUUUCUGUAGGCAUCUGUACGAAGUCUUGAAGGAUCAUCCCCUGGAACAUAUUUACAAAUUUGAUAAUCCUUCAAUCUUUUGUGAUGAAACUGGAAAUAAUUAUGAGACUAGAGCUCAUGCAAUGGUAUUUAGAAUGGAAAUACUUGAUCCAUAACAACUUAUGAUGUUUCCUUACAAUACCAGGUUUGUUAUUUUAGUAAUUGUAUAUAGCAUUUGGAGUUUAUUCUCUUUUUCUUUUACAAAAAUAUGCAAGGCUGAUAUUUAUCAUUAUAUAUAGCAAACAUUGGAUGUUGAUUGUUGUGGAUCCGCACAAAUUUAUAGUAUAUGUUUUAUUCACUCGGCCAUGAACCUCGCCUUGAUUUGAAGAACUUUGUAUCACUAUAAGUUAUUGUCAUUUUUUGUCAAUUAUAAUGCAUUUAUUAAAACAUGCUUGACUAAAUGUGUAUUUAAUUAUGUAUCUUAAGUGCUUUCAAGAUUUUUGUAGCAAAAAUGGGAAAUACGAAUCGGAAAUCCUUUGUUUGGAAAAGGGUUAAGGUAUAUGAAAUUGUACAUAUGUAUGUUCAAUUUAAAUUUAUUUACAUAUGUAGAUGACAUUAAUUAGUUCAAAAUUUUUGUGUAGUGUCCUCAACAAACUACAAAUGUUGAAUGUGGAUAUUAUGUCAUCAGAUUUAUGAAGGAAAGCAUUGAAAACUAGGCCGAUUCAAUAAAAAACUUGGUAGUUAUCUCCUUAUCCUUUUAAAAUUUAUAGAUUUCAUAAGGUUGAUGCAUAUAUUAAUGUUGACUAUUUUGUGCAUGAUAUAUAGUUUGUUGGACGAGAUAGUUUCACUCAAAAGGAUAUUGAUAAAGUAAGAGUGGAGUGGGUAGAGUACAUAUGGCAGAACAUUUUUUGCUAAAUUUUGUAGCACAAUGACUUUGCGAGGUUAGUAAAUGAAUAGGAUUAUUAUUUUUAUCUACAUCUUUUUUAUUAUCUUUGUUUCGAAUAAGAUAUUAAAAAGGUUAUAAAAUUAUUUCAAUUAUUUUGAUUUUGUAAUUAAGGAAGGUUCAUCAAAAGGUUUCACUCUCCAACUCCCUUUGGCUUUGGCAUGAUUAUUGGGGUAGCCAACUUGGGGAGGGGGGUAGCUGCAUUUUGUUGUUCUUGUGAAGAAUGUAAUACGGUUCUAUUUUAAGAAAAAAGAGAUAUGGAUAUCUAGUUACUUUCAUUUGGAAAUUAUAAACAUAAAGAUUAUUUUUGGUAUUGUUUGUCAUGUGCCAAAUUUAUAUAUGCGUAUUGCAAUUCCUUUACCAUUUAUCGACCAAAUGCUUGAUAGAUUAGCAGGCCAUGAAUUUUAUUGCUUUCUAGAUGGCUACUCAGGAUAUAAUCAGAUUCCCAUAGCACCAAAAGAUCAAGAGAAAACCACUUUCACUUGCCCUUUUGGCACUUUUGCAUAUAGGAGAAUGCCAUUUGGAUUAUAUAAUGCACCUGCUACAUUUCAACGAUGCAUGUUGAACAUUUUUUCUGAUAUGGUUGAACGAUUCCUUGGAGUCUUUAUGGAUGAUUUUUCUGUCUUUGGUGACUCGUUUGAUCAAUGUUUACAUCAUAUAACACUAGUUCUGCAGAGAUGUAUCGAGAAGAACUUAGUCUUAAAUUAGGAGAAGUGCCAUUUUAUAAUAAAACAAGGUAUUGUUCUCGGUCACAUUAUUUUAAGCAAAGGUAUUGAGGUUGACAAAGCCAAGGUGAAUCUCAUUUCUAAUCUUCCUCCACCUAAAAUAGUAAGAGAAGUAAGAUCUUUCCUUGGGCAUGCUGGUUUCUAUAGACGUUUCAUUAAAGAUUUUAGCGAAGUUUCUAGACCCUUAUGCAAUCUACUUGCUAAGGAUGUACCUUUUAUCUUUGAUGAUUCAUGUCUUGUGGCAUUUAAAAAAUUAAAGUGAUUGUUGACAUCAUCACCCAUCAUUCAGCCCCAAAUUGGAGCUUACUAUUUGAGCUCAUGUGUGAUGCAUCUGAUUAUGCAGUAGGAACAGUAUUAGGACAAAGAGUUGAUCGAAUUCCCCAUGUUAUUUACUAUGCUAGUAUGACAUUGAAUGAUGCACAGUUAAACUAUUCAACUACUGAAAAAGAAAUGCUAGGAGUAGUGUUUGCAUUGGAAAAAUUUUGAUCUUAUCUUAUUGGUUGUAAAAUAAUUAUAUUCACAGAUUAUGCUGCUCUUAAAUAUCUUCUCAUAAAGAAAUAUGCAAAAGCUAGACUAAUUCAUUGGGUGUUACUUUUGCAGGAAUUUGACUUGGAAUUCAAAGAUAAGAAAGGCAUAGAAAAUGAUGUGGCAGACCAUCUCUCUCAUCUCCAUUUUGACACAAUUAUGGAAUCAUUACCAUUGAAUGAGUCAUUUCCAGAUGAACAAUUGAUGAGUGUGGAAGUAUUACCUUGGUAUGCUGAUAUAGUUAAUUAUCUUGUUACAGGUCAACUUCCAGAGCAUUGGACCAAGCAAAGCAAGGCCAAAUUUUUUACAGAAAUAAAGAAUUUCUUUUGGGAUGACCCUUAUUUGUUCAAGUAUUGUGCAGAUCAAAUUGUUAGUUGAUGUGUCCCAGAAAGUGAAAUUCAAAAUAUCCUUUCAUUCUGCCAUGAACAAGCUUGUGGAGGCCAUUUCAGUUCUAAGAAAACAGCAACUAAAGUUUUACAAUGUGGUUUCUAUUGGCCAACUAUAUUUCGAGACGCUUACACCUCCUAUUCUUCAUGUGAUAGGUGUCAACGAAUGGGGAGCAUUACACGAAGGAAUAUGAUGCCACUAAAUCCAAUUUUAGUGGUUGAGAUUUUUUAUGUAUGGGGUAUCGACUUCAUGGGACCCUUUCCCCCUUCUUUUGGCCAUCAAUACAUAUUGGUUGCUGUUGACUACGUAUCAAAACAGGUAGAAGCAAUUCCAUGUAGAACCAAUGAUCACAAGGUGGUGAUAGGAUUUUUGAAAAGUAACAUUGUUUCACGCUUUGGAUUCCCUCGAGUGAUAAUCAGUGAUGGUGGUGUCCACUUUUGUAACAAAGCAUUCAAAGCUCUUUUGACAAAGUAUUCAAUCACUCACAAACUGGCGACCCCAUAUCAUCCGCAAACCAGUGGCCAAGUUGAGAUCUCCAAUCGAGAAAUAAAGCACAUAUUAGACAAGACGGUGAGGCCAGACAGAAAAGAUUGGUCAUUAAGACUUGAUGAUGCAUUAUGGGCAUAUAGAACGGCUUUCAAGACCCCAAUUGGGAUGUCACCCUACAGGCUAGUGUAUGGAAAAGCUUGCCACCUACCUAUGGAACUCGAGCAUCGUGCAUAUUGGGCCAUCAAGAAAUUCAACUUUGACAUGUAGCAAGCCAGCUCAGAAAGAAGAUUACAACUAGCAUAACUUGAAGAAAUUCGCAAUGAUGCAUACAAAAAUGCCAAAAUUUACAAGCAACGAAUGAAAGUCUUCCAUGACAAGCAAAUUAUGAGAAAAUCUUUCACUCCAGGUCAGAAAAUGUUUUUAUUCAAUUCUCGCUUGCACCUAUUCCUAGGUAAGUUACGCUCUCGAUGGUCUGGCCCCUUUAUUGUUCAUACUGUUUUUUCACAUGGAGCAAUUGAAAUUAAGGAUCCAAAGAACGGUGUCACGUUUAAAGUUAAUUGUCAAAGAUUAAAGCCAUAUCUAGAGUACCAAUCACAUGGAGAGGACACCGAAAUAAAUUUAAGUCACCCACCAGAUUUGAAUUGAAUUUUUCUUUCUUUUCAAUGAUUUGAUUUUUUUUUCUCUUUUUAUUAUUCUUUUGCUAAUUGAAAUUAUUUUUGCAUAAGUGUGUUUGUUUAACCAUUAAGUUUUCUCUUAUCAUUGUUAAUCAUGGUGUCAUAGCUAAACAGUUCAUUCUGAACAUUCUUAAACCACUUCAACGUGUAAAAUCUCAUCUCAAAAGGCAGAUUCGAUUUUGUAAGACACAUCGUAUUUGGGCUUUGUAACCACCAGAGUUAGUAUCCUAUGUUGAGGAUUUAGAAAGCCAACUCAGAGACAUUGAGAGAGGUGUCUACAACAUCCAGUUGGAGCUUGAGGUAAAUUCAAUAAGAGGACGAUUUUAAUUUUCUUUGUGUGUUUUAAUUUAUUUUUCUAUUUGAGUGCUUUAGUUUGUUACCCCGGUGAAGUGGCGGAUAACGGUACUCCGUGACAAUCAAGUCGGUUACUUCAGUUUCCCAUAAUAACUGAUAUUCUGAGGUGAAGGUAUGGACAGAAACGAGAUUCUAGCAAAACUUCACAAUCGAUUCCCUUUACUUCCUCAGAAUGCCCUUCUUACAAUCUAUAAAGCCCGGUCCGAAUGCAUGCGAUUACUCAUGGGGAAUAAUAUACCUGCUGACAUCCGUUGGUUAAUCGAGGCGAAAGUACGAUUGGCAGGUGAGUUACCUCCAAAAUUUAUUGCAUACAUGCCUAGUUGUGGUAAAGGAAAUUAUGCAAGAAAACGACGAGCUUAAAGAAUUUAUGUUGCUAGUCAUAAGUGUGCCAGAAUGAGUUGCGAUAAAACCCAUGUUCUUUAGGAAUGGUGUCUGAAAACAGGGAAGAUAAGAUUCAAUUCAUUAGGGAUGGCUUGAAUAAGGAGUCAUUGGAUGAUAUCCUUUUGCCUCUUGAAACGCAUCCCAGUGGAUAUGUGUAAGGAGCAAUUCUCUAGUUAUGGUCAUUAUUCCAGAAAGAGCAUGCACAAUAUAGUCUCGGGAAUCUGACUAUAAACGACCAUGUUUGCCAGUUUAUAAGAAAACUAGAUGGGAAGCCUAUCCUCGACCCAUAGAGGGCGUUCAAGCCGUUUCUAGAUGUAAAACCAGAGGAAGAUGUGAGCCACAGUCGCAACUACCUGUAAAUAUCCUUUUACUUCACUGUUAUUUUAUUUCACUGUUGUUUUAUCAUUUGCAUUAUUGUCUUUAAUAAUUUUAUUUUUAUUUUAUCAUUGUUUUUUUUCUUUUUACUAUUUCCUUUUUGACUCGCGAGCCAUGUGCUUUACGCCUUAUUUGACACUGACAUGCUACCUCAUACACAGCUGUGACCCACUGUCACCAAGAUUCUUAAAUGUGAUUUUUUUGUCAAGCACUUACAAAUUAUUUUUGAGAAGUAUCCCAAUGGCAGCUACUCCCAAUAGACAAUUCAAAAACAUUUGUGUGCUUUCUGGAUUUAACUAUGGCAAAAAUAAAGAGUUCGUUGAGGCAGCCAUAGAUCUUGGUCGAAGCAUAACAGAGAGAAAAUUACACUUGGUGUAUAGAGGAGAUAACCAAGGGUUAUCAAAAUUGGUCUCAGAAGCUGCUUUUGUUAGAGGAAGUCAAGUGUUAGGCAUCAUCCCAAGAGCUCUAAAACCUUUGGACAGUUUCUCUGACUCAUCGACUAGAGAAGAGUUAGUCAUCUCAGGUAUGCAAGAAAGAAUAACUGAAAUGCUUAAUCAUGCUAAUGCUUUUAUUUUCCUUCCAGGAGAUCUUGCAACACUAGAGGCACUUAUCACACUAGCAUCUUGGGCCCAUCUGCACAUUCACCAGAAACCCAUCGGUUUGUUAAAUGUCAAUAACUUUUAUGAUGGCUUUAUCGCAUUUCUUAACCAUGCAAUAAAAAAUUAUUUCAUUCCUUCCAAUGCGAAAAAACUUUUUAUUUGUGCUCACACUACUAAUGAGCUACUUGAUCUAUUACAAGCUUAUAAACCAGAGCCAGGCCCCUAGACCUUUGUGUUAGAGUGUCCAAAUAAUGAUGAUAAGAGUAGCCGCAAUAAGAAGUACAAAUUAAAUUUAACUCUCCGCUUGUAAAUAUUUUCUUCUAUGUUACACCACUCAGGUGAUGUCUUCUAAACUCUACUUAUUUCCUUUAAAAUAUUGAGGAAAAUGUUUCGUUUUGGUUGGGCGGAGGGAAUAGUCGACAAUUGUGGAAUCUUGGUUAAGUUUUUACUGAUUUGUUGUUGUAGAAACUACAUGUUGCUAACUUUUUGUGUUGAAGAUGACUGAAUAUGGAGUGUAGUGACUCUAGAAAUGCAUCUUCAUUGUUUGAAAAAAAAAUUCAGACAUUUUCUUUUUCUUUAUUAAGUUUUGAUGUUCAUUUUUCUUCUUCUUUUUAAUUUCUCUUUUAUAAAUAUACAUUUUCAAAUUUUUGAGUCGAAGAUGGCUGAAUAUGGAGUGUAGUGCCUCUAGAAACGCAUCUUCUAAGUUAAAAAAAAAAUAUUUUCUUUUUCUAUCAUUUUAAGUGUAACUUUUCUAAUUAGUUUUUCUACAUCAUUUUCGCAUUUCUGCAUGCAUAUUUUCAUUUCAUGUUUAGAAUAGGUUGGGGGGUAUAAUGUUGUUUGAAAAAAAAAAUUAUGUGAUUUGUUUUAACAUUGGAUGACAUGAUUAAUUUCAAAUUUUAGUAUUUGUAUUAUUUUUGGUCUUAAGUGAUGUUACGCUAUGUUUGCUACUCUACAUGUUGAUGUCGGAGACAAAUAUGAGUUGCUUGAAGGGAUGAACAUGUCAUAAUAAGUACCAAGUGAGUUUUUGAGCCUAUCAUUUUUCUUGAAGAGUAACCAUUAUGCCCAUUCUUUAUAUAGCUUAGCAGUUUAUUAUUUUAUACACGAUCUCUAGAUUUCUUUUGAGUUAACCCUUAAAAAAAAGGAAAAAAGAAAAAAAAGAAAAAAUGUGUGUUGCUACAUUUGGAGGCCCAUCUAACUAGUAAAUAUGGAAGAUUAUUUAGAGCUCUAAAAGACGAUGGAAAGGCCAUCUUUGAUCCGUUUGAGCCUUUUUAGCCAUCCCUUUUAUGAAAUAUCCAUAGUUAACCCUUUUGAGCCUUUUAAAAAAAAAACAUUUUCUUUGUCAAACUUAUCAUCUUGACCCACUCCGAUUUGGAGUAUUACCUAAUAUCUUACACGUUCCAUCACCUAUUUAUGUUUGAGAAAAAUGUAAAUAAUUAUUUUGUUCAAUCAAGUUGUGCCAAACAAAAAAAAAAUUGUUGGUUAAAAAAAAGAGAAAAUAAUAAUAAUAAUAAUAGGUGAAAUCUACCUUGCAACUUCAAAAAAAAAAAAAGAAAUUCUCUGCAUUUUUCUCAAACAUACACUUUGUUUUCCUUAUUUUCCUUCUUUGUUAGCUAUGUCCUUAGCCUACGUUACGUCCUAAUAAAAGUCCUUCUUGAUUUUAGGGAACUAUAGUCUGAAGUAUAAACUAGUUAUAUGGGCUAAAAAGAUGUAGUGGUGCACAAUAAAAAAAAAAGAUAAAUAAAUUGGGUUGACUAGCAUUUUUGUUUGACUUGAGAUCGUAUUAUUUCUAAGCUGAAGGCAUAUUUCUUUCAUCUUGGUGAGAGUAUGUGAUAUCACUUCUUUAUUAUUUCCUCUCUCAAUUACCAUUCAUUAGAGUGACUAUUUUAUUGGGUUUAAUUUCUUUGUGAGAGUGUCACUAUUUCCAGUGAGAUUUUAGGGUUUAACAUGUCAUUCUUGAAAGGAGCUGUGACAAAGUCUACUGGGCUGAUUCAUGUGGAUGGUUGAUGUGGGUGUGAUGUUUCUUUAGACUAGAGAUAAUGCUUAUACUUUUAUUUUAUUACUAUCAUUUGUCUGAUUGAAUAAACAUGAUUGUUUUUAAAAAAAAUCAUUUUGGAUUUGAAUUUUGUUUUCGCUUUAUUUGCUAGGGACUAGCAAUAAGCUGGUUGGGGGGUUGUUGAGUGUUAGAAAAUGUAUAUUUAUAAAGGAGAAAAUCGUCAUUUACAUUUCAAGUCUUACUAACACCCUUACUUUUAUGUAUUGAAGCUUCUUGUGAUUUAAUUACGAGUGUUUUAUUUUAACUAAGUAUUUUAUGUAUUUUAGGGGCAUCAUAGUCAUUUCACAAUAAACGAGAGAUCAAACGGCAAAACGGACAUCACUUUUGAACUCAAGACGGUCGAAAACCUUAGGAGGAGCAUAAAAAGAAAAAUGGCAUUGUUCACAUGUACGGUACUAUUCACAUGUACGGUACAUUCUACGUUACUGUUCACGACACUGUACAUAGACGGAUCGAUGACGUGGCAUUGACCGAUGAUGUGGCAUUGAUUGAUGAGGUGUCAUGAUCCUGUUGGACUAAAAUUCUUAUAUACUGUUUAUGGUGACGUGGCAGCAUAUCAGUGGACUAAAAAUCUCGCGUACGGUACAUGCAUUACACAUGAUUAUUUUCAACCAAACCGUAUCACUGUUCAAGCUGAGUCAAACCAUGUUACUGUUCAAACUGCGUACUGUUGACUGAUGAUGUGGCACAAUCCUGAGCGUCCAAACUAUUUUUAAUCUGAUGGCUGUUGUGCAAAUUUUAAUGUACUCGCAAGCGCACGAAUCUAUUAUAGUAUAGAUCAAUGGUGACGAGUAUCGAUCCCAUGAGGAGGUGGAUUUUAAUUGUGUAGAAUUAAUUUUGUGAAUGGGUGAUUGGAUUUGUGGUGGAAAUGAUUUGGAAUAUGCUACAACUUAAAUUAAAAUGGCAAGAAUAAAUUCUAAAAUUGGUAUUGAAAUGGCGAGAAGAAAUUGAAGAGAAUUCUAUUGAAAUGACGUACUUGGGUAUCUGGAUCCGUAUCAACAUGCAUCAUGGGCUAAAUAUUCCUUAUUAAUACCAAUUAAAUCAUGAGGGGGGAAUCCACACCUCAUGAACCACGCUCUAAUCAAUAUGGUGCUAAGGGCUUAUCGUGCCAAAUAAUAAUAACCUUAUACUAGAGAGCCGGUGUAACCAAGGCGGUAUCUAGACAAGAUUAUUAUUAUUUGUCGACGAGAAGUCAAAACAUCUACAAAAACUAGAGGGGAAGAGAAAAUAAAUUUACCAAAUUAAGCCCAUGACACAUGUUGAGACUUCACCUUCAACCCAAGCUUGAAAGAAAAUUAGCCACUCAUAAUUGAACUAGGGGCAAAAUAAGAAUUUAUUAAAAUAUGAAGAAAAUACAAGAUGGAGAAGGAAUUACAUAAAAUGGAUCCCAAAAAUGGAUUCAGAGAUAUCAAAUUAGGGGGGAGAGGCCCCCUUUUUAUAGAUACACGGAGUAAAUCAUGGCCAUCGGAAUAAAAACAGUUUGGACGCUCAGGAUUGCGCCACGUCAUUAGUCAACAGUCCACGGUUUGACCACGCGGAUGAACAGUAACACGGUUUGACCCGACUUUGAACAGUAACGCGAUUUGACCUGGAUGAACAGUAACGCAGUUUGGUUGAAAAUAAUCCUGUGUGAUGCAUGCACCGUAUGCGAUAUUUUUCGUCCACUGAUAUGCUGCCACGUCACCAUCAACAGUAUAUAAGAAUUUUAGUCCAAUAGGAUCGUGACACCUCAUCAGUCAAUGCCACGUCAUCGGUCCGUCUAUGUGAACAGUGUCGUGAACAGUAACGUAUACAGUACCGUACAUGUGAAUAGUGCCGUACAUGUGAACAGUGCCAUUUUUCCUUUUAUGCUCCUCUUAAGGUUUUCGACCGUCCUGAGUUCAAAAGUGAUGUCCGUUUUGCCAUCUGAUUUCUCGUUUAUUGUGAAAUGACUAUGAUGCCCCUAAAAUACAUAAAAUACUUAAUUAAAAUAAAACACAUGUAAUUAAAUCACAAGAAGGUUAAAUACAUAAAAGUAAGGGUUGUUAGUAAGACUUGAAAUGUAAAAUGACGAUUUUCUCCUUUAUAAAUAUGCAUUUUCUAACACUCAACACACCCCCCAACCAGCUUAUUGCUAGUCCCUAGCAAAUGAAGCGAAAAUAAAAUUCAAAUUCAAAAUGAUUUUUUUUAAUUUAGAAACACUUGUGUUUAUUCAAUGAGAUUAAUGAUAGCAAUCAAAUAAAAGUGUAAGCAUUAUCUCCAGUCUAAAGUAACAUCACACCCACAUCAACCAUCCACAUGAAUCAGCCCAGUAGACUUUGUUAUAGCUACUUUCAAGAAUGACAUGUCAAACCCCAAAAUCUCACUGGAAGUAGUGACACUCUCACAAAGAAAUUAAACCCAAUAAAAAUAGUCACUCCAAUGAAUGAUAAUUGAGAGAAAAUAAUAAAGAAGUGAUAUCACAUGCUCUCACCAAGAUGAAAUAAAUAUGCCCUCAGCUUAAAAAUAAUACGAUCUUAAGUCAAAUAAAAACUGUUAGUCAACCCAAUUUAUUUAUUUAUUUUUAUAUGCACCACUACAUCUUUUUAGCCCAUAUAACUAGCUUCUACUUCAGAUUAUAGUUCCCUAAAAUCAGGAAGGACUUUUAUUAGGAUGUAACGUAGGUUAGGGACAUGGUUAACAAAGAAAGGAAAUAAGGAAAACAAAGUGUAUGUUUGAGAAAAAUGCAGAGAAUUUUUUUUUUUUUGGAAGUUGCAAGGUGGAUUUCACCUAUUAUUGUUAUUUUUAUUCUUUUGAAAAACAACUUUUGUUUUGUUGUUUUUUUUUUGUUUUUUGUUUUGGUAUAACUUCACUGAACAACAUAAUUAUUUACAUUUUCUCAAACAUAAAUAGGUGAUGGAACUUAUAAGAUAUCGGGUAAUACUCCAAAUCGGAGUGGGUCAAGAUGAUAAGUUGACAAAGAAAAUGUUUUUUUUUUUUAAAGGCUCAAAAUGGUUAACUAUGGAUAUUUGAUAAAAGGGAUGGCUAGAAAGGCUCAAACGGAUCAAAGAUGGCCUUUCCAUCGUCUUUUAGGGCUCUAAAUAACCUUCCAUAUCUACUAAUUAGAUGGGCCUCCAAAUGUAACAACACACUUUUUUUUUCUUUUUUUUUAUUAAGGGUUAACUCAAAAGAAAUCUAGAGAUCGUGUAUACAAUAAUAAACUGUUAAGCUGUAUAAAGAAUGGGCAAAAGGGUUACUCUCCAAGAAAAAUGAUAGGCUCAAAAACUCACUUGGUACUUAUUAUGACAUGUUCAUUCCUUCAAGCAACUCAUAUAUGUCUCCGACAUCAACAUGUAGAAUAGCAAACAUAAUGUAACAUCACUUAAGACCAAAGAUAAUAUAAAUACUAAAAUUUAAAUUAAUCAUGUCACCUAAUGUUAAAAUAAAUCACACAAAGUUUUUUUUUUUAAACAACAUUCUACCCCCCAACCUAUUCUAAACAUGAAAGGAAAAUAUGCAUGCAGAAAUGUGAAAAUGAUGCAUAAAAACUAAUUAGAAAAGUUACACGUAAAAUGAUAGAAAACGAAAAUGAUUUUUUAUUUUUUUUUAAAGAAGAUGCGUUUCUAGAGGAACUACACUCCAUAUUCAGCCAUCUUCGACUCAAAAGUUGGAAAAUGUAUAUUUAUAGAGGAGAAAUUAAAAAGAAGAAAAAUAAACAUAAACACAUAAUAAAGAAAAAAGAAAAUGUCUGAAUUUUUUUUAAAGUUUUUUUUAUAAUUUUUUUUAAACGAUGAAGAUGCGUUUCUAGAGUCACUACACUCCAUAUUCAGCCAUCUUCAACACAAAAAGUUAGCAACAGUUAGUUUCUACAACAAAAAUUAGUAAAAACUUAAUCAAAAUUCCACAAUUGUCGACUAUUCCCUCCCCCCAACCCGAACGAAACAUUGUCCUCAAUGUUUGAAAGGAAAGAAGUAGAGUUUAGAAGACAUCACCUGGGUGGUGCAACACAGAAAACAAUAUUUACAAGCGGAGAGUUAAAUCUAAUUUGUACUUCUUACUGCGGCUACUGUUACCAUUAUUAUUUGGGCGCUCCAACACAAAGGUCCAGGGGUCUGGCUCCGAUUUAUAAGCUUGUAACAUAUCAAGUAGCUCAUUAGCAGUGUGAGCACAAAUAAAAAGUUUUUUUUACAUUAGAAGGAAUGAAAUAGUUUUUUAUUGCAUGGUUAAGAAAUGCGAUAAAGCCAUCAUAAAAGUUAUUGACAUUUAACAAACCGAUGGGUUUUUGGUGGAUGUGCAGAUGGGCCCAAGAUGCUAGCGUGAUAAGUGCCUCUAGUGUUGCAAGAUCUCCUGGAAGGAAAAUAAAAGCAUCAGCAUGAUUAAGCAUUUCAGUUAUUCUUUCUUGCAUACCUGAGACGACUAACUCUUCUCCAGUUGAUGAGUCAGACGAACUGCCCAAUGGUUUUAGAACUCUUGGGAUGAUGCCUAACACUUGGCUGCCUCUGAUAAAAGCUGCUUCUGAGACCAUUUUCGAUAACCCUCGAUUACCUCCUCCAUACACCAAGUGUAAUUUUCUCGUUGCUAUGCUUCGACCAAGAUCUAUGGCUGCCUCAACGAACUCUUUAUGUUUGCCAUAGGUAAAUCUGGAAAGCACACAAAUGUUCUUGAAUUGUCUAUUUGGAGUAGCUGCCAUUGGGAUACUUCUCAAAAAAUAAUUUGUGAGUGCUGGACAAAAAAAAUCACAUUUAAGAGUCUUGGUGACAAUGGGUCACAGUUGUGUAUGAGGUAACAUGUCAGUGUCAAAUAACGCGUAAAGCACGUGGCUCGCAAGUCAAAAAGAAAACAGUAAAAAGGAAAAAGCAAACAGUAAUAAAAUUAUUAAAGAUAAUAAUGCAAACAAUAAGACAAUAGUGAAAUAAAAUAACAAUAAAGUAAAAGGAUAUUUACAGGUAGUUGCGACUGUGGCUCACAUCUUCCUCUGGUUUUACGUCCAGAAAUGGCUUGAACGCCCUCUAUGGGUCGAGGAUAGGCUUCCUAUCCAGUUUUCUUAUAAACUGGUAAACAGGGUCGUUUAUAGUCAGAUUCCCGAAACUAUAUCGUGCAUGCUCUUUCUGGAAUAAUGGCCAUAACUGGAGAAUCACUCCUUGCACAUAUCCACUGGGAUGCGUUUCAAGAGACAAAAGGAUAUCAUCCAAUGACUCUUUAUUCAAGCCAUCCCUAAUGAAUUGAAUCUUAUCUUCCUUGUUAUCAGACAUCAUUCCUAAAGAACAUGGGUUUUUAUUGCAACUCAUUCUGGCACACUUAUGACAAGCAACAGAAAUUCUUCGAGCUCGUCGUUUUCUUGCAUAAUUUCCUUUACCACAACCAGGCAUGUAGGCAAUAAAUUUUGGAGGUAACUCACCUGCCGAUCGUACUUUAGCCUCGAUUAACCAACAGAUGUCAGCAGGUAUGUUAUUCCUCAUGAGUAAUCGCAUGUGUUCGGACCGAGCUUUAUAGAUCGUAAGGAGGGCAUUCUGAGGAAGUGAAGGGAAUCGCUUGUGAAGCUUCGCUAGAGUCUCGUUUUUGUCCAUACUUUCGCCUCAGAAUAUCAGUUAUUAUGGGAAACUGAAGUAACCGACUUGAUUGUCACGGAGUACCGUUAUCCGCCACUUCACCGGGGUAACAAACUAAAGCACACACACAAAAAAACAAAUUAAAACACACAAAGAAAAUUAAAAUCGUCCUCUUAUUGAAUUUACCUCAAGCUCCAACUGGAUGUCGUAAACACUUCUCUCAAUGUCUCUGAGUUGGCGUUCUAAACCCUCAACAUAGGCUACUAACUCUGGUGGUUGUAGAGCCCAAAUGCAUUGUGUUUUACAAAAUUGAAUCUGCCUUUUGAGAUGAGUUUUGACACGUUGAAGUGGUUUAAGAAUGUUCAGGAGGAACGGUCUAAGUAAGGUACUCAUGAUUAAAAACGAUAAAAGAAAACUUAAUAGUUAAACAAACACACUUAUGCAAAAAUAAUUUCAAUUAGCAGAAGAAUAAUAUAAAGAAAGAAAAAAAAUCAAAUCAACGAAAAGAAGAGAGAAAAAAAAAUCAAUUCAAAUCUGGUGGGUCACUCAAAUUUAUUUCGGUGUCUUCUCCAUGUGGUUGGUACUCUAGAUAUGGCUUUAAUCUUUGACCAUUAACUUUAAACGUGACACCGUUCUUUGGAUCCUUAAUUUCAAUUGCCCCAUGUGGAAAAACAGUAUGAACAAUAAAUGGGCCAGACCAACGAGAGCAUAACUUACCUGGGAAUAGGUGCAAGCGAGAAUUGAAUAAAAGCACUUUUUGACCUGGAGUGAAUGAUUUUCUCAUAAUUUGCUUAUCAUGGAAGACUUUCAUUCGUUGCUUGUAAAUCUUGGCAUUUUCGUAUGCAUCAUUGCGAAUUUCUUCAAGUUCUGCCAGCUGUAAUCUUCUUUCUGAGCUGGCUUGCUGCAUGUCAAAAUUGAAUUUCUUGAUGGCCCAAUAUGCACGAUGCUCGAGUUCCACAGGUAGGUGGCAAGCUUUUCCAUACACUAGCAUGUAGGGUGACAUCCCAAUCGGGGUCUUGAAAGCCGUUCUAUAUGCCCAUAAGGCAUCAUCAAGUCUUAAUGACCAAUCUUUUCUGUCCAGCCUCAUCGUCUUUUCUAAUAUGUGCUUUAUUUCUCGAUUGGAUAUCUCAACUUGGCCACUGGUUUGCGGAUGAUACGGGGUCGCCACUUUGUGUGUGAUUGAAUACUUUGUCAAAAGUGCUUUGAAUGCUUUGUUACAAAAGUGGGCACCACCAUCACUGAUUAUUGCUCGAGGGAAUCCAAAGCGUGAAACAAUGUUGCUUUUCAAAAAUGCUAUCACCACCUUGUGAUCAUUGGUUCUACAUGGAAUUGCUUCUACCCAUUUGGAUACGUAGUAAACAGCAACCAAUAUGUAUUGAUGGCCAAAAGACGGGGGAAAGGGUCCCAUGAAGUCGAUACCCAAUACGUCAAAAAUCUCAACCACUAAAAUUGGAUUUAGUGGCAUCAUGUUCCUUCGUGUAAUGCUCCCCAUUCGUUGACACCUAUCACAUGAAGAACAGAAAGUGUAAGCGUCUUGAAAUAUAGAUGGCCAAUAGAAACCACAUUGUAAAACUUUAGUCGCUGUUUUCUUAGCAUUGAAAUGGCCUCCACAAGCUUGUUCAUGACAGAAUGAAAAGAUAUUCUGAAUGUUCCUUAUUAAUACCAAUUAAAUCAUGAGGGGGGAAUCCACACCUCAUGAACCACGCUCUAAUCAAUAUGGUGCUAAGGGCUUAUCGUGCCAAAUAAUAAUAACCUUAUACUAGAGAGCCGGUGUAACCAAGGCGGUAUCUAGACAAGAUUAUUAUUAUUUGUCGACGAGAAGUCAAAACAUCCACAAAAAUUAGAGGGGAAGAGAAAAUAAAUUUACCAAAUUAAGCCCAUGACACAUGUUGAGACUUCACCUUCAACCUAAGCUUGAAAGAAAAUUAGCCACUCAUAAUUGAACUAGGGGCAAAAUAGGAAUUUAUUAAAAUAUGAAGAAAAUACAAGAUGGAGAAGGAAUUACAUAAAAUGGAUCCCAAAAAUGGAUUCAGAGAUAUCAAAUUAGGGGGGAGAGGCCCCCUUUUUAUAGAUACACGGAGUAAAUCAUGGCCAUCGGAUUAAAAACAGUUUGGACGCUCAGGAUUGCGCCACGUCAUUAGUCAACAGUCCACGGUUUGACCACGCAGAUGAACAGUAACACAGUUUGACCUGACUUUGAACAGUAACACGGUUUGACCCGGAUGAACAGUAACGCGGUUUGGUUGAAAAUAAUCCUGUGUGAUGCAUGCACCGUAUGCGAUAUUUUUCGUCCACUGAUAUGCUGCCACGUCACCAUCAACAGUAUAUAAGAAUUUUAGUCCAACAGGAUCGUGACACCUCAUCAGUCAAUGCCACGUCAUCAGUCCGUCUAUGUGAACAAUGUCGUGAACAGUAACGUAUACAAUACCGUACAUGUGAAUAGUACCAUACAUGUGAACAGUGCCAUUUUUCCUUUUAUGCUCCUCCUAAGGUUUUCGACCGUCCUGAGUUCAAAAGUGAUGUCCGUUUUGUCAUCUGAUUUCUCAUUUAUUGUGAAAUGACUAUGAUGCCCCUAAAAUACAUAAAAUACUUAAUUAAAAUAAAACACAUGUAAUUAAAUCACAAGAAGGUUAAAUACAUAAAAGUAAGGGUUGUUAGUAAGACUUGAAAUGUAAAAUGACGGUUUUCUCCUUUAUAAAUAUGCAUUUUCUAACACUCAACAAUGGCUAUGAUUUACUCAAUGUAUCUAUAAAAAGGAGACCCCCCCCUAAUUUGAUAUCUCUGAAUCUAUUUUUGGACUCCAUUUUCUGUAAUUCCUUCUCCAUCUUGUAUUUUCUAUGUAUUUUUAUAAAUUUCCAUUUUGCCCCUACUUCAAUUAUGAGUAGCUAAUUUUCUUUCAAUUUUGGGUUGAAGGUGAAGUUUCAACAUGUGUCAUGGACUUUAUUUGGUACAUUUAUUUUCUCUUCCCCUCUAGUUUUUAUGGAUGUUUUGACUUCUCGUCGACAAAUAAUAAUAAUCUUAUCUACAUACCGCCUUGGUUUCACCGGCUCUCUAGUACAAGGUUAUUAUUAUUUGGCACGAUAAGCCCUUAGCACCAUAUUAAUUAGAGUGUGGUUCAUGAGGUGUGGAUUCCCCCCUCAUGAUUUAAUUGGCAUUAAUAAGGAAUAUUUAGCCCAUGGUGCAUGUUGAUACGGAUCCAGAUGCCCAAGUACAUCAUUUCAAUAGAUUUCUCUUUAAUUUAUUCUCGCCAUUUCAAUUCCAAUUUUAGGAUAAUCUAAGUCACUUUCACUACAAAUCCAACCACCCUCAUACAAAAUUAAUUCUAGAUAUAAUUAAAAUCCACCUCCUUGUGGGAUCGACACUCGUCACCAUUAAUCUAUUCUACAAUAGAUUCAUGCACUUGCGAGUUCAAUAAAAUUUACACAACAUAUAUAUAUAUAUAUAUAUAUAUGUAUGUAUAUAUAUGUGUGUGUAUAUAUGUGUGUAUAUACAUAUGUAUAUAUAUAUAUAUAUUGCAUAUUCUUUAGUGUUAUUUUUGUUUCUUUAAGUUAUUCUUAAAUUUUAAAUUUAUGUAGAAAGUCAUAUGCUAAUUAACUAUUCUUGAGAUUUUUAUUUACAUCUAUUUAACUAAAAAUCAUAUUUUGCCCUUGAAAAAUUAUACAUUAAACUAUGUGUAAAUUCACAUAAGGGUAUUUUCUACUACUGUUUGAAAAGUAGAGAUAAAAUAGGUCAUUGUUUAAAAUAUAAGAAUGAUAUGGGCUAUUGCAUCGAACCCCAGGGUAAAAAAGACAUUUUCCCAUAUUAAAGAGAAUAGAAGAGAAAGAUAAAGUAUUAAUGAGAGGAAUACUAAUAAAAUUAAUAGUUUAUUAUUUAAAAGGUAAAGGUGAAAUAAGCUAUUGUAACGAACCCUAGGAGUAAAAAAAUAUUUUCUCAUAUCAAAGAGAAGAGAGGAGAAAGAUAGAGUAUUAAUGAAAGGAAUACUAAUAAAACUAAUAAAUCAUGUCAUCAAGUCUUGACCUUUAAUUUUUUUUUCUGAUCCACUAAUUAGAAAAUUGUGAUUAAAUUUGUGUAUAAAAGUUGUAUCCCUUGAACCUACCCUUAUAUUUAUAAUUUAUUUGUCAUUAUUGUCUAAUUGCAUAAAGUAGAAAAAAAAUAAUGGAUUUUUCAAUGUUUGAUCGGAAAGAAAGAAAUAUAUUUCGAUAAGUAACCUAGUUUGCCAAAUGUAAAUUUUUUAGUCUCUUCUGUUUAAGAUAAUCCUUUUGAUCUUGGUUAUGUCCAAGAGAUUCUCAUGCUUACACUUGCAUGUCUAGUAAGUCAGAUGGAAAUUUAAGUGAAAUCUCGAAUUCUUUUACCAAAUCUUCUUAGGUUGCUUGCAAAGUUAUUUUUCAAAUUUUAUUAUACUUGCAAGUGCAUGAACCUAUUGUAGUAUAAAUUAAUAGUGAAGAGUGUUGAUCCCACAAGGAGGUAGAUAUAAUUAUGUAUAAGGUUAAUUUUUCAAUUUUAUAUGUAAAUUGGUUGGAUGUGAAUUCUGAAUAGUACUGAAAUUUAAAUUAAAAAGAUGGUAGGAAUGAAUUAAAGAUGAAACAAUUCAAAUUAAAUACCUGAGUCUCUAGAUUUACACUCAACACUUUACCAUGAUCUUAAUAUUCCUUUCUAGCUUUAAUUAAUUUAUGGGGGAGAUUAUUUUUCACUUUUUAUAAUCCUCAUUCUAAUAAAUAUAGUAUCAAGCACUCAAUGUUCCAAGGGAAAAUAAUCUUCCACUAAAUGUGGUGUCAAGCACAUGUUGUGCCAGGCAACAAUAAUCUUACUGUCGACAAUAUUGUAAGACUGUCCACUAAACAACAUAGAUGCAUUCUCAGUUAUGAUCUUACUCUGAGGAGCCAAUACACCAUGUAAAAAUUAGAUAAGAUUAUUAUUGUCUAUUAACGAUGAGUUAAAAUAAGCCAAAUAAAUUAGAAAGAGAGUUAAUAAAUUUACCGAAUUAAACACAUGGAUCAUGUUGACGCUUCACCUUCAACUAAAUAUUGAAACUUGAUUAGCCACUCAUAUUAAACUAGGAGUAACAAGGUAAAAAUAAGAUGAAAGAGAAUUAUAUGAAAUGACGAUCAAAUUUGGAUUUAGACCAUCGAAUUAGGGGGGCAGUCCCCUAUUUAUAGAUACAAUUGGUAAAUCAUGGCUAUUAGAUGAAAACAACUCGAAUGCUCAGGAGUGCACCACGUACCAAGCUUUGAUUGGAUAGGACAUGUCACCAAGACUGCGAUUCGGUGAAUUGGAUAUGACGUAAACACAUUUUUUCAUGUUGCCAUGUCACCAGUUAAGGCAAAAAUCAACUAGCAUUGAUUGAGUGUAUUGCAUGUAUCGUAAGCUAAUUUUUUGGCCCAACAGGAUACUAUCACAUCAUCAGUCAACGCAACAGGAUGUUGCCACGUCAUUGGACAGUGCCAUGUUAGCUCGGCCAACCAAAAUCCUAAAAUUAUGAUUUUGCCUUUUAUGAACUUCUUACGAUUUUGAGCUAUUCUAAGCUAAAAAAUGGUAUCUGUUUUGCUAUUUGAUUUUAAUCAUGAAAUGACUAAAAUAUCCCUAAAAUACUUAGAUUAUAACAAAAUACACAAUCAAAGUUUAAAGGGCUUAAAUACAUAAAAGUAAAAAUGUUACAAGACUUGAAGUGCAAAAUAAGGAUUUUACCAUUUUUAAAUAUACAUUCUCUAACACUUAACAUAAGUUGUUAUAUUUCUUAAGAAUAAGGCAUAAGGGCACAUUCUUGCAUUAAAAGCAGAUGGUUAUAGGAAUCAAUAAACACAAAAAUUAUGAUUCUUUUCAUUAUAUUGAUACAUAAACGAGUAUUAACUGUUUUGUACUUUGUCUUUUACAUUAAUUUAGAAGAUCUUAUUAAUCUUUUGAUUGAAAACCUUUUUUUCCACAAUAAAUGCUUUUGAUUUAAUGUCUUUCUAUAAAAUAUUUGUUUGGAAAUCUAAAAGCUCACUUACUAAGCUGAGUUAUUGUCACUAUGUAUCUCUUACUUGAACUCUAAUAAUGGUGGCAAAAAACAUAUUGUUAGCUAGCAGAUAGAUCUAUGUUAAUAGGACUAAUUGUACUUUAGAUGUUAUUUCACGAGUAGGGUGGGCGGAUAACGUUUUGGAUACUAAAUCCAUCACAUAACCUAUUCUUAUUUUCUAAACUAAUCUUAAUGGGAAAAUCUAGUCAAAGACAAAGAAUACAGUGCACAUGUACCAAUUUAGCAAUUAAAGUUAUUUUCUCAUUAGAAUUACACUCUUUAACCAGCGUUCCCUUUGAUGAUCAACUCGAUAGUUUGUUUAACUGGCACAUUUUGAUGCCAUGUACUAUAUUAUCAAAUAUUGAUGUGGCUAGAGCUUUAGUAAAUGUAUUUGUAAAAUUAUCUAUGCAAUGUAUCUACUUGAUAUUGAUCUUCUUAUUUUGUUAGGGCACAUGAAUGUAGAAGAACUUCAGUGAGAUAUGCUUUGUUCUAUUUCUUUUAAUAUAUUUCCCCCUUAGUUAUUUUUCAUAUAUCAUCAUUGGGAUGUUCGCACUUCAAGAUUAUUUAUUAGCACGCUGGAUUUAUUGGAUGAUGGACUAAGUAUACGCAUUCUCUACUUGUUUCAUGCAGCACAAAGAUCUCAAAGUGAUUGGAGCACGUAGAUAUAAGACUUUACUUUAUAGAUUUUCAAGAAAUCACUGUUCUACUUUAGCAAAAACAUAUUUUGUCUAUGAACAAGGUUUAUAAGAAUAAAUAACACGCAUAUGUAUAACCAACAAGACCUAGAUUUAUGGUUAAUGUCAGAAUUAUGCCAAUGAUGGGCUAGUUAGCCCAACAAAAGAAAACAUUUAGAAGUUUUUUUUAAUAGAGUUUCAUAUGACUAUUGUAAGUCUAAUCGAACUCCAAGAGUUAUGAAGUAUUUUAGUUAAGUUACUUAGUUUACUUCAAUCACUCUUAUUAGCUUUUAUAUAAACACACUUAUUGUAUCUAAAGUAAAUGUGUGUAAUAAUAUAUUAGAGAAUCCAAAGAUUGAAAACAAGAGAAAAGGCGGUGGGCUCUUACAAAGAGAUCUAAGGGGAUUUUCUUUAAUUAUGAUUAUCCUCUUACCAUAGGCAUAAAGUGGCAAGAGGGUUUUCCAUGAGAUUAUCCUCUGUCUUUACAGUGACAUAACCUUGUUGUGUUUUACUUUACAUUCAAAGGUCAAAAGAUAUGCUUUUGGAUCUCUCAUUAAUUGUAUGUUGAAUAUGAAUGAAAAUCAAUUUUAGUAUCAGAGCCAGAUUAGGUUAUAUUCUGUUUUGAAUGUAUUUGCAUCAGACAUGCCAUGUUCUUUGAUGAAAUAUGUUUUUGGUGUGUAGAACAUAGUUUAAUGGUAUGUAAUGAAUCACUCAUCAUUAGGCCUUGAUUUUUGGUUUACAAUCACAUGAAUAAAUGUAGAUUAAAUCUGGAUUUUUGUAUGAAUUGAUAUGGCCCAGCUUAUAAGAAAACAAAAACCCUAAUUCAUGAACCUGUAGGAUUCGUUUACUUACAACUUUUGAUACAAUCAUUAAUUCUCUAUAACUUGAUGUCAUUAGAAAGAAUUGAUAUGGCCUAGCUUAUGAGAAAACAGAAACCCUAAUUCAUGAACCUGUAGGAUUCGUUUACUUACAACUUUUGAUACAAUCAUUAAUUCUCUAUAACUUGAUAUCAUUAGAAAGAAUUGAUAUGGCCUAGCUUAUGAGAAAACAAAAACCCUAAUUCAUGAACUUGUAGGAUUCGUUUACUUACAAAUUUUGAUACAAUUAUUAAUUCUCUAUAACUUGAUAUCAUUAGAAAGAUUAUUAAGAGAUCUUUCCAAUGAUACAUUGUGCGCAUAAUUUUGAGUUAUAUGGAGAGAGAACAAGCCAAUUGAAUUUCUAGUUUGAAAUUUAAAAAUUUGGAUAAUGCAUAAGACGAUGAAUAGUGCUGGAUCCACCAUAUCACCCACCAUGAUGGCGCGUGAAUCACAGGACUAUACUAUAUCAGAAACCAAUUAAGAUAUAAAAUUAGCGCAAUAUUCUAAGUCGAAAGGUCAUCAAUUGUCACUAAACAAUUACUAACAAUAGGUCCGUGUAUUAUAGCGUUAGUAUCUGCAAAUAGAACAAGUAAAACACUGUAGAGCUAGCUGGUUAAACCAAGUGAGCCGAUAUGCCAGUGUGAGCGAUUUAAACCAGCUUGCCGGGCUUGGUCAACGCAUCAUUGCUUGGUUGCAUUUGACCCACUUUUGUCUUCGGAGAGUGAGAUACAUGCGCUAUCUUCUUAACUUCUAUUUUGGCGCUAUUUAUGGUAACGAUCUUGUAAUUUUAUCGUCUUUUAUUUUGUGAUCUAGAAAACAUUUAUUGCUUAUAUUAAAUUUUUUUGAAUUAAAUUCUUUUGAAGAUGUUUAAAUAAAAAAAUAAUUUAAAAGUGAGAUAAAAUUUGAGAAAAAUAAAUUUUUAAAUAUUUUGAGAUGUGAUUGAUAGUGUUAUGCUUCUAUGAGAUCUGUUUCAACACGAUAAUAUAUGUGCUCUCCUAAAAAUGCAUAUUGGUAAAUUAUCUAAUACUUGUUGAGAUAAUUUAUAUUGUUUGUUUUAAGACAAGCAUGAUUGUUUUAUUAAUCCAUAUGAUGAUCAUGAUGAAUUGAUUUAUGAAUUAUGUUUUUAUGUCAAAUGUAAUCAUGUUAAUGAGAACACAAGAAGAUUAAAAUUUAUUGGGAUUUAUAGGGUAGUAUUGUUAAUGUAUGAUAUAUCUAGAAACAUUUGGUUAAAAAGACGAUAAUAAUCUAAGAAAAUUGGGUAUUUAAGUGGGACUAUUAGACCCCACCGAUUUCCUAGGAAAAUUUAUGGUGUAUUAUUCACAUGAAUAAAUGUAUGGAGGCUACUUUAUUCCCAUUAUAUUUAUAAAUUCAUAGUGAGAGUUCGAAUAUUAAGAUUCUAUGAAUAAAUAAUAAUUGAACUAAAUGUUUUGAGCAAUAAAAUAUAAUUACGUUGAUUUAAUGUUUGGAAAAGAUGAUGAUUGAAAGCCUCGAAGACUUUUUGAUUCCACUCCUCAUAUGAAAUUUUCAUUAAUUUGGUAUAUGGUUGUGGCAAAAUAUAUUAAAUGUGUAUCAAAUGAAUACUAUAUAACAUUGAUUGACUUUAUUUUAUGAUUUGGAAUUAAAUCAUGAGACUUUAAAUAAAUACUAAUUUUGAACUGGUGCAUACCACUUCUCUUUAGAAGAUAGGAGCAUUCUCUCAUCUUAUUGCCGAGUAACAUAUUUUAUGAGCUUAUUAAUAAGUCCAAGAUGUAUUAGGUUGCUCAUAAAAUAGAGCUCAAAUAUGCUAGACACAUUGUAAAUGUCAAUAUUAGGUCCAGGCAAUAAAAUGUCCAACCCCAAUAGUUGGGACAAUAUGAGAAUUUAUAUAAUGCAUAACCUUAAGGAUUUGAAGAAUGGUGCCAAUAGACUACUAGAACUUCUAAUCAAAUAUACAUAGAAAUGGGCACCUAGAGACAGCUAAUACUUUUAGCAAACAUCAUGUGAUUGAUACUUGUUUGAGAAAAUAAGUGCAUAGAACCAGUAAUGCUUUCUAAAUCAACUUAACAAGAAAGAGUUUAGCUUGUGGAAAGCUUCAAGCUUUGAGCAUAAGAGAAAGGGUAAUCUUUCCUAGUGGGAGUUUAGGACUCAAUCCUCAUCUCAGCAAUCUAAUGAUAGAAAUUACCAAAUGAGGCAAGCAUGCUUAGAAAAUAGAAGGACAAUACAUAGAUGCUUACUCACCAUGUAUUUCAAUUACUCGCUCGUGAUUGCAUUGAACAGAAAUAGGCUAAGUAGCCAUGACUUGGGACCAGAGAUAACAAAAAGGUUUUGAAUUUUUGUUCUUUUGUAAUUGUCAAAGGAAAGGAAAGGACAAAUGGAAAUAUACUCGCUGUAGAACUUAAGAGUAUAAGCACCUGCAAGUUGGUAUUGCGCGGUCCUUAUUUUUCCAAUGACAAAUAUACAACAAAAACUUAGUCUUUAUCAUUAACCAUCUAAGAUUUUUACUUUUGAGUGUUUUUUAACCACUCUUGAAAAGAGGUUUUAUGAAAAGUUGAACAUUAUGCAUCAUUUUAUGGUGAUAAUGUACAUAUUAAAAUUUGGCAUAUUGGACUGAGACAAAUGGCUAAGUUCGCUAGAAAGAGAACAUUGGGCUCACUCGCUACAAUGAUAAAGCAUAUAUGGAAUAGUUGUUUAAUAUAGAAGAAUAACUUGGAAAAUAGUAAAUGUCCAUUUUGACACUUAUAGUAAAAAGAAUGUAAAGGCUAAGAAUGAAGCCUUUAGUGAUUACAUUUAUGCAUAUAUCAAGUUUAAUCUAAUCUUUAUGAUCUCCUAUAAAUUAGUUAUAUUACGUUACUUCAGGUUUUUCUUGAAUAUGGUAAGGAAUAAACAUGAACCGAAAUAUGCAUAUCUUUCCAAGUAAUUCAGAGCAUUAUAUAUAAGAAAGAUAUAGAUAGAUAAUUUAUGAUUCUUAUAAUAACGCACUACUUGGAGUAGUGGAAAUUAAGGGAUAAGGCAUUAUGAGAAUUGAUAAAGUAAUAGUAGCACAUAAGUUUUUCCAAUAUGUUAUUUGGAGAUACUCUAUUUAAUUGUAUCUUAAAUAAUUAACUAAUUUCUCAUAUAAUGAGUCACUUAAGUAUUCCAGCUAUAGGUAAAGUUACUUCAAAAUUCAAAAUUCAAAAUUCAAAUAAGCAAAUAAAGCACGUGUUUAAUGUUAAAUGAAUGGCUAAGAUAGUGGCUGGAUUCUAAAACCACAAACUUGAAAAUUUUGAAUUCCUAAGCGUCAUAGAAGUUGAUAAAGAUAUAUCCUAAAUUUUGAUUUGGAUUAUCCUUUUUAUGAUAUCACUUUUGAGUUAAGAAUUGAGUAUAGGUUAGAUUUACUAAGAAAUCUUGAUUCUAGUAUGAACAAACACCUAAUGGGACCAGAUAACUCAAUUCAAUGGAAUAAUUGAAAAAGAAUCAUAUAUUAUCUUUUAGAGACUGAAAGGAAUUUCUUAACAAUUAUUUCAUAUUGUGGUGAUAAGUUAGGAUUAUUUGUGUAGAGCUGUCACUCUAAAUGCUAAGGAACUAUAGAUAAAAGCAAUUAUUAAUAGAUAAAGUCAUUAAAUGACAAUUAUGUCUGAGUCACAGUUGGUCAAUUGUUGAAUAAACCAUUACAAAGAAUAAGGUUGUGCAUGUGUAAAGCGAUAGGCAUAAGUACAAUAUGGACUGUUAAAAGUUAUAUCUAAGGAGUUUAAAUUAGAAAGAAACUUUUGGCUAAAAGGUUUCUCUAAGGCAAUUAUUUCUAGUCAACUUUCACAUGCAUUCAUCGUCAUAUCAAUAGAUGUAAUUAAUGCAUCUCAGUAGAAAAUCAGAGGAAGAAAUAUAUAUAUGGAACAAAUACUAGGUGUUGUUGCUAAAGCUUUUAAACGCAUAGUUGCACGCUCGAAAUAAUGUUGCCAAAAAUUUUAAGCUCAUAGUUUACUUGCUCAAAAGAAUUUUAUUAAUGAUUUUGAGUGCGUAGACUGUAUGCUCAGAAGGCUUUCGCUAAAGACCUUAAGCACAUAGUCGGGUUGCUCUAAAAAGUCUAUAUAUCUAUAUUAUCUAUGACAUUCUCUUAAAAAUGGAAUCUUAAUUUUCAUCAAGCCUUAUUUAUUUACAAAUAUUGGAUGAUUUAAGAUAGCCAAUGCAUUUGUACUUGUAGAUGAUAUUUUUAGAUGACUAGAAAUUAAAGAAAAAAGAUCUUGUCAAAACCAUUGGUAUUGAUUAUCCAAUGAAAUAUGGGCAAAGCUACUUAUAUUUCAGGAAUUUAAAUACAAAUAGAAUCCUUUAAGAAAUUUUUAACAAUAUCAUAAGAGUGAUAUUUAGAUUAGAAACAUCCUUAAAAGAUUCAAAAUGAUAAAUUGAAAGCUAAAUGGAUACUCUUGUAGAUAUGAAAAAUGUAUGGCCUUGAAGAGUCCUUUACAAAAAAAUAAAAUGUCUAGUGCUCUUUAUUUCAAUGCCAAUAAUGGUCUCAGGUACACUGAGAUGCACAACACUUGAUAUGUGCUAUGAGAUUGAUAAGAAAUACUAAUCGAAUCCUAAAUAAAGCAUUGAGUUUGUUAAAGAGGUAUUUAGCAUACUUUUAUGGCACUGUGAACUACACUUUGUAUCUAUGAGAAAUUUGCGCUUGGAUACCAACAAGUAUGGCAAUCUAGAUGAGUGAAAUUUAACCUCAAGAUAAAUGCACAUAUCUUAGGAAAACAUUAGUGCUAUUACAUGUGAUAUUAAGAUAAUAAACAUGCAUGGCUUUGUCCAUAACGAGGAUAUUUCUAUACGCAUAUUUUGUUUAGUAGUCUUUAUAAUAUCUUGAGAUAGUCAUAAAUACUUUGAGACUAAUGAUUGGAAAUGAUAAACCAAACAAAAAGGUUUUACAUAUAGAGGACAUUGAUGUACCAUAUUGAUAAACAAAAUAUUGCAGUUUUAUAAUAUAUAUGCAUACACAAUAUGGUAUAGAUCAGUAGAAAGGUGUGAGUAGAGAUGUUUAGUGGUACAAGCUUGACCUAUUAUCGAUUCGCAGGCUUAUUGUCAUAUAUUAAGAAUGUCAUUGCUAGAUAUUCUUAUAACACCAAAUUGUUAACAAUGAAGUACCCAAUUAAUACUUAAAAUGCGUAGUUAGCAUAACCACAUAUAUUAGGUUGGAAAAAGAUAUGUCGUCAGGUUAAGACAAGCUAUCUUACACGAGAGUUCGCCUCAUUUGCUAUAGCAGCAAGCUGGGAUGAGACAUAUAGAAUUACAAAACAAUUAGAUAUGUGGUAUAUUGUCUUGGAGUUAUGUAAUUCUAAAUAAUGUGUCGCCUCAACUAAGUCAAGAUGAGGUCACAUUAAGUAAGUUAUUAGACCAACUACAAUACACUCCAUUUUCAUGGAAACUUGAUUUAAACUAGAUAUAAGUUUAACACCUUGUGAAGGAAAGUUUAUUAAAAUUCAAGCCAGGCACUUUUAGUGGCGACUAAACAACAAUAUGUACAGUGAAUAAUUAGACAUAUGCUCUUUAUUAAAAUAUAAUUCAUUAUAACCGUGAUUCAUAUCAUGCACGCUUAUUAUGGUAUUAUAACCGUGAUUCAUAUCAUGCAGGCUUAUUAUGGUCAAUAGGGAAAAUGAGUGAAGAAAAAACUUAAUGAAUCCUUACUUCCUCAUUAUGUAAGUUCCUUCGAGGUAAAUAUGAACCUUGGUUGGUAUCCUUAGUCACCGUCAACUAUAUUUUGAGGUAAAAUAUUAAUGUCUGCUACUUUAGAAUGUUAUCUAUGGCUCUAAUGUUAUGCUGCUUGUGAAAAAUGUCUAAGAAAGCAAUUGGUUUAGAAUUUUCAAAAUGUGAGUAGAAUCAAAAGUUUUUUUUUCUUACAUCUGACUAGUGUAUUCACCAGUCGCCCAGUAGUAAUCCAUAUAGAGAUAGUUACAAUUGUGGAUAUAUAGAGCUUAUUGAGUCAACCAUAUAUUUACUAAGGGAUAAAAUAUGUUUAGAUUGAAGUAAUAAAAAUAAAAUCUAGGAUACAUAAAGAACAAAUUUUCUAAUCUCUUGCAUUUGUUUACAAUUAAUAUUUCUUAAUAUUUUAGCUCCAACUUGUUGUUCAUAGGUUACAUGUUGCAUUUGCCUAUAUGAUACUGUAUUUAAGGCUUCAAACCUUAUUACUCUCGUUACUUUGUUUAUAGUGUCACCUAUCACGUGCGAGAGAGAUGUUGGAAUUGGCGCCCCAUAAUAGGGUAGAUUGGCGCUUCUAUAUCAAUAUACCUAUUGUAUCUAAAAUAAGUAUCUAAGAGGAUUUUAUUUAAUUAUGAUUAUCCUCCAACCAUAAGCAUACAGUGGCAUGAAAAUUUUCCAUGAGAUUAUCUUCUAUCUCUAUAGUGACAUAACCUCAUUGUGAUCAACUUUUGUAAUUAGAUAUGAAAAUUUACACUUCUAGAUCUCCCACUAAUUUUAUGUUGAAUAUGAAUGAAAAUCAACAAUUAGUUUAUUAGAAUAAAAUAAACCCAAAUAAAUAGUUCCACAAAGAUAAGGAAAAAUAUGUUUAACACCAUCCUAAUGUUGUCUAGUUAGUUUAAAACUAAAUAUGUCUAGUCUAGUACAUUGGGCUAAAUACAUUAGAGCGACGUUCAACUAUGGUAAUUUAGGACUAAGUACUUGUUCAUCAUCCUUUUUGGGACAAAAUAGGUCUUUCUUAGGACAAGAAUUAGACUCUCAUUGGGGUACUUAAUGGGUAAGCUUUAUUCAUAUUGAAGCAUUUUAAUAUCUUUUUAGUAUACAAUGGAAAAAGAUACGAUGAGACAUGUGCUCGGUCUAUAUCUCUAAGUAGUAUCUAGUUGUUUCUCAAAAUCUUUCAUUUUAAACUCUUUUUUUCAAAUAAUCAGUAGUCUUUUGGAAAUAUCUGAGAAUUGCAAUUAAAUUCAUAUCUUCAACAUAGACUGCUAUGAUAGCAAAUCAAGAAUUUAGCUUAUUUAUAAAUAUGCAAGGACAAAUAAGAUAAUUUACCACUACAAAAAAAAAGUGGUUUAUAUGUCCUUUGUUUUGCCAUCACAUAUGACCUCUUGUGACCUCUUUGAGAUGGCAGGUAGCACUGACAUAUAUGAGUCUCCUAGAGUUUAUAUUACCAGUGACAUGGCAUCACAAAGUGUCUUUUGUGACUGUGAACCUACCACCACGAAAGAUAGAAUGGGUCACCAUAUUUUAUGAUGACUUUAAGCAAUCACAUAAAUAACUAAAAUUGAAACCUACAAAUAGAGCUUUAAGUAGUCACAUAAACAAUUAAAAUUGAAACAUGUCAGAAACCUUUAAGUAAUCACACACACUAGUAGAAAAAUGGCCUUCUUUGAUACUAUUUCGGUAUCAGUAACGGUUUUUAGUGACACCGAGUUUAAUGUCACUGAUCAUGGUGCAAGAAAUUUUCUAACAUAUAUUUUUUGUAUCAACGAUUCCACGACACCUUAGUAUCAAAGAAAUGCCUACAUUGUAACAUCAUAUACGCUUUGAUGUUACAGUGUCAAACAAUUUGUGAUUCGAUAAUAUCAAAAUAAUUGUGAUUCUAUACAGUCAUGCAGAUAGUGAUUCUAUGGUAUGAAGCAUGUUUUGAUGCGCUAGUAUCAUUUGUUUUGUGAUUUAAAAAUAUUAAUAUUUGUAGAUGCUAAAAUGGUGUCAAUAGAUUUUGCAAAUUUGAAAAAAUAAUAAAAUUUUCAUUAUUACAAUUACCAAUAGCCUAAAAUUAAAGCCAUUAAACAACAAUUUUCAACAAUAGUUAUGGAACAAAUGUUGGAUUCAAAACCCAAUAAUAUUUCAUUUAACAAAUUCCAUCAAGCUCCAUUCUACAUUUAACAAUCAACAUACAAUUCACCAAAUUGGUUCAACAACCGAAUUCAUGAAAUAUAGCUUGAAUGGCAUAAUACUAGCAAAAACCACAGUUAAUUUUGAAACAAAGAAAACAUCUUGUUUUGGCAACAACUUUAAUAGCAGUUAAUAAGGCAAAUAGAUUAGAAUAAGAAGCAGCAACAGCAACAUUGCUCUAUCCCUCGGCCUGAGUAGUAGCAAAACAUUGGAGGCAAAUGCAUCAAAAGAAAAGGCAACAGCAGCAUUGCUAUCUUCAAUUGCCUGAGUAGCAGUAGCAAUAAGAGACAAUCAGACUUAUGAUUAAUUCCAACAAAAUCAAACCAACAUAGGCACAUUGCAGCACAUUAAUCAUGAACCUUUCCAAUUGCAGAUUAUAAAUACCAUCCUCUAUUUCCUUGAGUUGUCUUUCUAGAUCUUUCACCUGGGAUAAUAACUUUAGUGGUUGUAGAUCCCAAAUGGGAUGUGAUUUACAAAAUUGGAGCAAUUUCCUCAGGUGAAAUUUUACAUGUAAAAGCAUUUUAAGAUGAUCGAAAAGGAAAUUUCUCAUGGAGGUACUCAUGAAAAAUAUAAAAAUUUGGUGAGCUAAAACACAAUUGUCAAACAACACACAAUUAAAGACAAUGCAAUGCACUCCAUUCAAGACAUGGGAAAAGGAAAAAAAAUCAAACAAUUCAAACGAUAAAGUAACAGUAAAUCAAAUUCACAAAAAGUUAAAAUGAAAAGGCUUAAUCAAAAUUUGGUGGGUCACUCAAAUUGAUUUCGGUAUUUGCUUCACGUGGUUGGUAUUGCAAAUAUGGUUUCAAUCUUUGGCCAUUAACUUUAAAUGUGACACCAUCCUUCGGAUUCUCGAUUCUACGGCUCCAUAUGGAUACACAUUUUUACAACAAAUGGACUAUUCCACUUUGACUUUAACUUCCCUGGAAAUACAUGAAGACGAGAAUUAUAAAGUAACACUUUUUGACCAAUUUCACAUGUUUUCCGAAAAAUUCUUUUGUCAUGAAAAAAUUUGGUUCUUGCCUUAAUAUUUCUAGAAUUCUCAUAUGAUCAUUCCUUCAUUCCUCAAGUUCAUUUAAUUGCAAUUUACGUAUAUUACCAGCAUCAUCAAGAUUUGAAUUAAAAGCUUUAAUGACCCAAAAUGAUUUAUGUUCAAGUUCAACUGGUAAGUGGCAAGAUUUUCCAUAAACAAGCCGAUAGGGUGACAUUCCUAAAGAUGUUUUAAAAGCAGUACGAUAUGCCCAAAGUGCAUCAAUUAGUCGAAGAGACCAAUCUUUACGAUUUGCAUUAAAUGUCUUUUCUAAAAUUUGUUUUAUCUCCUUAUUUGCUAAUUCAACUUGACCACUUGUUUGAGGGUAAUAAGGGGUAGCAACUUUAUGUGUAAUUCCUUAUUUCUUCAUUAAGGACUCAAAUGGCUUAUUACAAAAAUGCUUACCUCCAUCACUGAUAAUGGCUUGAGGUAUUCUAAAUCUGCUCAAAAGAUUUUCUUUUAAAAAGCGAAUCACAAUCUUGUGAUCAUUAUGCCGACAAGGAAUCGCCUUGAUCCAUUUUGAAACAUAAUCAACAGCAACAAAAAUGUAUACAAAUCCAAAUAAUGAUGGAAAAGGGCUCAUAAAAUCAAUUUCCCAAUAAUUAAAUAUUUCAAUGACAAGGAUGGGGUUUAAAGGCAUCAUGUUUCGCUUUGAAAUAGACCCUACCAUUUGACAAUUCUUACACACUUUACAGAAUGCAUGUGAAUCUUUAAAUAAUGUAGGUCAAUAAAAUCCACACUGUAAUAUUUUUGCAGCUGUCUUUUUUGAAGAAAAAUGGCCACCGCAUGCUUCAGAAUGACAAAAUUGAAUGACCUUACUUACCUCAUCGUUUGGUAUGCAUCUUCGAAAAAUUUGAUUAGAGCAGUACUUAAAUGGUUAUGGAUCAUCCCAAUAAAAUCUUCUCACUUCUGUUAAGAAUUUCUUCUUGUCCUUGGAACCCUAGUCACAUGGCAUUUCACCUGUUGCAAGAUAAUUAACAAUAUUAGCAUACCAAGACAUUUUGUUUAUAGAAAAUAAAAAUUCAUUAGGGAAAUAAUCAUUGAUGGGUGUUGUUUCAAUUGAAGACUCAUUCGUAAGUCUUGAAAGAUGAUCUGCAACAACAUUUUCAGUGCCCUUUUUGUCCUUGAUUUUCAAGUUAAAUUCUUGAAGUAGCAAAAUCCAUCGUAUCAACCUUGGUUUGGCAUCCUGUAUUGACAUUAAAUAUCUCACAACAACAUGAUCAGAAUAAACAAUAGUGGAUGAACCAAUUAAAUACAAACGAAAUUUAUCCAAUGCACAUAUUACAGCAAGUAGUUCUUUCUCAGUUGUAGUGUAAUUCAUUUGAGCACUAUUAAAAGUUCUACUUGUAUAAUAGAUGACAAAGGGCUUACCUUCCUUUCUUUGACCUAGAAUAACACCAACAACAUAAUCACUAGCAUCACACAUUAGCUCAAAAGGUAAAGACCAAUCAGGGGGUUGCAUUAUCACGGCAGAUAUCGAAAGAGAAGUUAUUUUUUCAAAAGAUUGUUGACAAUCUUUAGUCCAUUCAAAAUGUGUGUCUUUUAUUAGGAGGUUACAAAGUGGUCUAGAUAUAGCACUGAAGUCUUUUAUAAACCUCAUAAAAAGGAACAGACUUCUCUAAUUGUCUUUGGUGAGGGUAAUUUUCAAAUGACUUCAACUUUGGCUUUGUCAACUUCAAUUCCUUUUGAAGACACAACAUGGCCAAAGACAAUUCCAGAAGUGGUCAUGAAAUGACAUUUUUUCCCAAUUUAAAACUAGUCCUUUUUCUUUGAACCUUUCCAAAACUUUUUUUAGAUUAUCAAGACAUGUAUCAAAAGAAUUACCAAAUACUGUUAAAUCAUCCAUAAAAACCUCUAGACAAUUUUCAACUAUGUCACUAAAAAUGCUUAGCAUGCACCUUUGAAAUAUUGCAGGAGCAUUACAAAGUCCAAAAGACAUUCUCCUAAAUGUAAAUGUUCCAAAUGGGCAUGUGAAUAUGAUUUUUCCUGGUCUUCUAAGGCUAUAGAGAUUUGAUAAUAGCUAGAGUAGCCAUCAAGAAAGCAGUAGUAGGGAUGUCCAGCCACUCUUUCGAGAAUUUGGUCUAGAAAUGGAAGGGGAAAAUGAUCUUUUUUAGUGGCAUCAUUUAAUUUUCUGUAAUCAAUGCACAUGUGCCAACUAGAUGGAAUUCGUGUUGGGAUUGGUUCACCUUUUUCAUUUUUUACAACAGUUAUUCUAGAUUUCUUUGGUAUUACUUGUGUUGGACUUACCCAUUUACUAUCAGAGAUAGGGUAGAUAAUUCCUACAUCCAGUAGUUUAAGGACCUCAUUUUUUACCACUUCUUUCAUAUGAGGGUUUAAUCUUCUUUUGUGGUUGACGGGAUGUUUUGGCAUUUUCCUCUGAGUGUAUUCAGUGUGUGCAAAUUAAAGGAUUAAUGCCUUUUAUGUCUUUUAAAGUCCAACUAAAUGCAGUUUUAUGCUUUUUUAGUACAGAUAACAACUUACCUUCUUGAUCAUGUGUGAGCUGGGAAUAAAUUACCACUGGAUAUGUCUGCUGUUCUCCAAGAUAGACAUACUUCAAUUCUUUUGGUAAGGGCUUUAAUUCGAGCUCUGGUGCUUCCUCUUCGUUUGGUUCUUCAGGUUGUAUUAUAUCUUCAAAGUUUGAUUGGUCAUCGUCACUUGCAAGUACCUGCAUAGAAUCAAGUGUAGAACAUAUGUUAGCAGUAUCACAAUUUAAUUCCUUACUUGAUUCAAAAGAACCAGCAAAAUAAAUUUCUACAGAGUUUGUAAAAUUCUCAUCCUAAAUAAGUUCCUCAAUGAUUGGCUUGAUGAGAUCAAUCUCCUCAUUCUCGUUAUCAUCAUCCUCUUGGUGGUGAGGUUGUUUACACAUGUUAAACACAUUGAGUUCCAAUGUCAUGUUACAGAAAGAUAAAUUCAUUAAUCUAUUCCUGUAAUUAAUCAAAGCAUUAGCAGUAACUAAAAAUGGUCGACCCAAUAUAGCAGGAAUUUGUUUGCAUUCAUUAGCAAUUGGUUCAGUUUCCAAAACAAUAAAAUCCACAGGAUAGAUGAAUUUAUCGACUCAAACUAAUACAUCUUCAAUUAUUCCUUUUGGAAACUUAAUCGAUCUAUCAGCAAGUAAAAUAGUGGUAUAAGUUGGUUUUAACUCAUCGAGAUUGGGUUGUUGGUAUACUGAGUAAGGAAGCAAAUCAACACUGGCACCAAGAUCAAGUAAAGCAUGUCCAAUUUUAUGAUCCCCAAUAGUGCAAGAAAUAGUUUGACAACUAGGAUCCUUAUAUUUCAAAGUACUAUUGGUUGAGAGAAUGAAACUUACUUGUUCUACUAGAAAAGCUCUCUUUUGCACCUUAUGUUUCCUUUUCAUCAUGCACAGAUCUUUCAAAAAUUUAUUAUAAGAAGGUACUUGUUUAAUGACAUCUAGCAGAGGAAUGUUGACCUUUACUUGUUUAAAAACUUCGUAAAUUUUUGGACUAUAGUUUGAUUUCUUCUUGAGGAAAUGGGGGUAUAGGAGGAGAGUUGGUUAUUUCUUCAUGGGUUAAAGGUUUGACAGACUCUUCUCUAUUUUCUGAACUUGAAUCUUUACUAGUUUCAAGAGGGUCCACAAUAUGUUUUUCAACCACUUUACCACCACGAAGGGUUAUAACCAAUUUGACUUGACUCAUAUUUUGGUUUCUUGAAUUUCCCAUUUGAGGAUAUUGUUGACCCUUGGGGUUUGGUUUAGGUUGAGCAGGAAACUUUCCUUUUUCAUGCAUGGUUAGAGCAGAUGUUAGUUUGGAGAUAGUUUCUGUCAAAUUGGUUAAGGUUUGCAUCGUUUGGUUAUUAAUCGACUAACAUCUGCUCUAACCAUGUGUCUUCCAGAGUUUUUCUUGGUGGUGGGACAUCUAGUGGGUAACUUUGGGAGUUUUAGAAAUUUGACACAGAGGAACUGAUUGUGAAGGUUGUGCAUGAUUGUUAUUUCUCCAACUAAAAUUUGGGUGGUUUCUCCAACCAGAGUUGUAAGUUUGGGAGUAUGGAUUUGGAUUUGGCCUUUUGAAAUUGUUAACAACAUUUAAUUGUUCGUUUAAACUUUCUCUCAAAGCUGGCAAGGUUGGACAGUCCUACGUAGAAUGGUCAGUAGAAUCGCAAACAUAACAUGAAAUAUUUUGAACAGACUUUACAUGAUCAUUCUUUUUUAACUCUAAUGCUUCGACUUUUCUAGCUAAUGAUGCAAAUUUGGCUUGAAAAUUAUGGUCUUCCUUAAGGUUAUGCAUGCCUCCACCAGAUAGAGAUGACUAGGGUUUACUUGAUGACUCAUAAGACCCAAUUGUAUCCCAGUGUUGUGCAUUCUCUGCUAUAUAGUCAAGAUAAUUUAAUGCAUCUUCAGGACUUUUAUCUUUAAACUCACCAUUACACAUCAUUUCAACAACUUGUCUACCUUAGGAUAUUAAUCCUUCGUAAAAAUAAGACACUAAUCUCCAUGUUUCAAAACCGUGGUGUGGGCAAAUGUUAAGUAGUUCUUUAAAUCUAUCCCAACAUUGGUAGAGGGUUUCUCCCGAUUUUUAAGUGAAAGUGGUGAUUUGUUCUGUGGGGUGGGAAGAAUUUUUUCAAAAAUUGUGCUUGCAUUUCAUCCCAAGCUCUGAUGGAUCCUGACCUAAGAUUUUGUAGCCAUGUUUUAGCUUUAUCCUUUAGUGAGAAAAGAAAAAACUUAAGCAUGAUUAUAUUCAUGCUACAAUUUUGAUCAGUACAUGUGUUACAGACUUCCUCAAACUCCCUUAAAUGCAAAUAUGAAUUUCAGACUCAAAACCAUGAAAAGUAUGAAGAAGUUGAAUGAUGCCAGGUUUGAAAUUAAAACGUGACGCAUCAGGAGGGAAAACUAUGCAUGAUGGUGACCUUGUUCUAGUAGGAUGCAUGAAGUCCCUAAGGGUCCUAGGCUGUUCAUGAAGAUUUUGCAAGGCUUGGUCAUUUUUGUGCUCCAAAAAAUUUUCAGCUCCUAUGUCAGCCAUAUCUAAGGGUGGUGAAGGUGAUCUUCUAAUUAAUCUGCCAUUAUUUGUACCAGACCAACGACGUAUGCAAUGCUAAUGAGGUGUGCUAAACCAAUGAUGCAUAAAAAGCUAAAUGAAAAUUGCAGGAAAAAAAACUGGAAAUUAAAUAAGCAAAAUAAAUGUAAAAUAAAAAUAAACAAACUGAAUUAAAUAAAAAAAUAAAUUAGGCGGUGAAACCAGCCAUAAACAAAGAAAUUAAAAGAAACAAUUUAGGCAAUAUUUUAAAACCAGCCAUAUAAUAAAACAUAAAAUUAAAUAAAUUAAUGUACAAGAAUAAAUAAACUGAAAUUAAAAUGUUUGGCAAUAGAACCGACCAUAUAAACAAAAAUACAUAAAUUAACAACAUUUAAAUAACAGUCAGGCAGUAGAAUCGACCAUUUAAAAUAAAUGCGGAAAGUAAAUUGCAGAAAUUUAAAGAAAUAAAUUUGAUUUGGGGACUGAUUUGCAAAAGUUUCUGGGUUAAGAUGAAGUUUCUCACAAAUUUUAUGGAUAAUGUUAAGGUUUAAAAAGAAGAGGGGUGCUGACUGAAGUUUUGUAAAAAGAGAAUAAAAUAGAAUCACGGAAAGAUAGUAACGAAAAAAAAAUAAAAAUAAAGUAAAGACAAAUUAACACCAAAUUUAGAAAACUCCCCGGCAACGGCGCAAAAACUUGACACAACUCAAAAGUGUAUUACUCCUAAGUAUAAGAGUGUCUAGUUAUAAUAUAACCCGGUGAGUCCGAGGUCAAACCACAGGGAAUUUUAAAUCUAGUAGUCAAUUUAAAACUAAGAAAAUUAAUUGUGGGGAAAAGAAAUUAUUUGAAAUCAAUUUUAAAAUAUGCUAUGGUUUGGGAUCCACUCUCUGCAUACAAACUAUAAUUUUAAUACUCUCAUUUAUAUUUUACCCUCACUUUUACUAGUUAAUUAUUAUAUCAUUGAAUUUUAUGUGUGUGGAUAAAUAUGAAAUAAAGUACCUAAAGUGUCACACUAUAUUAAUGUGUCGACAUUAUGUCAAAAUACCAUACAGAUCCAAAGAAAUUUAUAAAUUAACAUGACAUAAAAAUAAUUAGAAAGGAAUAAAAUAAACUUAAAAACUCAUUUGAGAAAAUAAUAAAUUUUAUAGUUUGAAACAUUGAGCUUCACAUUUCACCUCAACUUAGUAAAAUUAGCCACUCAUAGUGAAAGAAAACACAACACUCCUUUUAUUUGAUAAACUUUUGAAAUAUAUUACAAGAAAAAUUGAUACAAAAGAAAACAAGAAAAGAAAAGAAAGAAAGACAGAAAUUCUUCAGUUCCCUCUUGGCUACAACUCUCUCUCUCGGCUUCAACUUUUUCUCCCCUCUCUGGCUUGCAUCCCCUUGCCUUUUAUAGGCAAGGGAAUCAUCUUCUUUUCUUUUCUUUUAUUAAUAUUAAUAUUUUAUUUUAUUUUUAUAUUAUAUAUACAUAUUGGAUUGUGUGAUGGUCAGGCGGCAUGAUGGUCUCUUGACCAUCACCAACAUGCUUGCCAAUGCUUUUGUUCUUUUUUUGUUUUUUUUGUUUCUAUUAUUUUUUAUUAUUACGUCUCCUCAAUUCUACUCCAGUAGCUCUUCUUUCUUCCCGCUUUCAAUUCCAAUUCCAUCUUUAUUCUUGAAAAAGUAUUUACAAGAUAAAAAUUAACAUUUUGCAAAUUAAUUUAACAUAAAAAUAUAUUUGGGGAGUAUUAAGAUAAUUUAGAAAUGAUGAGCGCAUUAAUCGACACAAUAAGUGCAAAACUAAUAAUUUUAUCCUUAUUAAAUAUACACUUUUUAUUGUCAAUCACUGGUCCACAUAAUCGGACUUGGUCAACAAGAUGCACCGUUAAGUGGACCAUUAUGUCAAAAAAAGAAGGUUGGAAGAAUUGCUCAAACAAGCACAUAGUGACGUAAUGUUGUUUUUCCAGUUUUUCAAGAGAUUUUGUUUCUAUCACCUUACUACAUAAUGCAUUGAAGUAAAAGCACAUCCUAAUGAUAGCUUUUCUAACAUUUUCUGGCAAACAACCACGGAUUGCUAAGGGCAGCAAUUGUUGCAUCAAAGUGUGGCAGUCAUGAGAUUUAAGACCUUGAAGCCGAAAAUCAUCCAAGUUUACAAGACUCCUGAAGUUGGAAGAAUAACCUUCUGGAACUUUGGUUUCAAACAAAGUUUGACAGAACAUUUGUUUCUCUUUUUUACUCAAGGUGUAAGGUGCUGCAGGUAUGGAAUUUUUAUCAUUUUCACUAGGAAUUAAUUUGCCCCUAAUUUGUAAUUCAAUUAGAUCUCUUCUAGCCUUGACCCCAUCUUUCGUCUUUCCAGAUUGAUGAAGUAAUGUGCCAUAGAUGCUCUCACAAACAUUUCCUCAAUGUGCGUCACAUCUAACACAUGGUGAACUAAUAAAUGUUGCCAAUACUCUAAAUAAAAAAAAAUGAUUUUCUUUUGAGUAAUUUGUCAAUAUCAUUAUCACAAUCAUCACGCUUUCGCUUGCUGCCUCUAUGCUUACCACUCUUAUAGUUAAUACCAUCUACCUGUUUCAAAAUUUCUUGACCAAACAAAGUUUUUGGAGAUUUAUCUCACUACAACAAAAACAGUAUGUNNNNNNNNNNNNNNNNNNNNNNNNNNNNNNNNNNNNNNNNNNNNNNNNNNNNNNNNNNNNNNNNNNNNNNNNNNNNNNNNNNNNNNNNNNNNNNNNNNNNUGUUGGUUAAUGAUAAAUGCUACCAAAAAUGAAUGGUAGCAUUUUGAACAAUGCUAAGUUAGCCGGUGUAACUAAAAGUAUUACACAUUAGUAGCAUUUUUUACAUGCCACAAAUAUGAUACAUAGCAUUGAAUUAGUGGAAUGCAAUUAGCUUUUGUCGCUUUAGGUGAAUGCUAUCAUUGUUCAAAGAGAGCAUUUAGAAAACGCUACCAAAUCGUGUACAGUUCCCUUGCAAAUCUCCAACAUAACUUUUAUAAAAUGCUAUAAAAACAUUAACAUCAUGCUAUCAUAGCAUUUCAAUGCUCUUCAUUCAAUUCAUGAAUUCAAUAAAUCAUUUUAGUCAUUCUAUUGAUUAAAAAGAAAUUAUUCUUCAUUCAAUUCAUUAAUUCAAUACAUCAUUUUAGUCUUUGAUGACAAAGAAAUUAUACAUUAUUCGUUGAUAAAAUAAAAAUACUUAAACAUCCAUAAUCAUAUAUUAAACUUUCAACUACAACAUUUACAAAAAAUAAGUAUGCAGCUAUCAGACUUCUAUACUUUCUAGUGACCUUUAAACAAAAUAUUAGAUAUUAUCUUCAAUUUCUCCUCACUCUUCAAUACAUUUUUGCAGAAUAUCCUUGAUCACCUGCAUUAUGAAUUUAAAAAUAAAUAAGAAUUUUAUUCUGUUAAUAAAAAAGAAACAAAAUAAUGCCUCCUUAACAAACUUUUCCCAUAUAAGUAAAUUAGGAAAAUUAAAGUGUACUUAACUUCAAAUCACGCUUACAUUCAUCCAAACCAUCAACUUUGACAUACAAUCCAUAAAUGCUAGGUCAUUAAGGAUAUAAUAAGUAUAUGGAAAAAGGAUAAAAAUAGCAAUACCUAGUACAAAAUGAAAAUCAAAUGUUGUAAUAAAUCAACUCAAACACCAAUAAAGAAAUUCUAUAACUUUAUUUUGUAAUUCGCUUGGAAGCCAUUUUAUUUUUCUUCACAUUCCAUCUACCCAAUUAAUCUUCUGCAGGAGUUUGUACCUAUGUUAGACAUAAAUUUAAGAAUAUGAGCGAACUACACAAACGUAAGGAGCAAUUAUGAUAACUUAUUCAUGCCUUUGUAUCAAUUAAAUAUCGCCUUAUGCAACAAUUUUUUCUUCUUUUUUUUAGUACUAGUGCAUUUAAUUUAACCUACAAGAAUUAUGUAUUAAUGCUAAUCAUAUAAACAAAACAUGAGGCUAUCACGGAUUUUGAGAGACUUUUGAGAACUUUCAGCAUCUAGUCCUUUUGUACGGGCACAAUCUAAAUAACCAAGCAAUAUGGGCUUAUUGAUAAUCUUGUUUGUGUCUAAUGACCACUUUAAUAAGUUAAAUUCAAGUUUUCUAGCUUAACAAAUAAAACCCAAACACUACCAAGAACAAAUAAAUUUAGAUUAAUUUAAGUCUUCAUUUAAACAAAACAAAAAGAAAACCAUGUGCAUGAGACUAAAUUCGGCAAGAUAAAUCUUCACUUAUGGAUCUCACUUAAGCAUCAAUUAGUUGGAAAAAUGCAACAACAACCAUUACCCUAACCAUAAAUAAUGAGGCAUCAUAAAGAUCUACCUCAAUUGAAGUCUUCCCUCUUUUAAAAUGCCAAUGCAACCCAUAAAUGUUGUAGCUCAGGACAAAAUUCUGGCUGUUAAAGAUCUACAAGUUCUAAUUAAAUUAGUACAUAUUCUCAAACUUAGAAACUACACAGAAGUUGUAGUGCCAAGUUUUUAGAAACUGCACAUCAAUCAACUCAUUUCUUUCUUUCACAAUAUCACAAUAUUGAUGUAAAACUUUAUCUAUAUACACUAUCUAGCUGGAAACCGACAGAAUGAUUCUCUAAUCACCCUCCCUAAAGAAAUAUUUACUAACUAAAAAGAAAUAAUUAAGAUGAAAAAAACCUAUUAUGUGAUCGAUAUACAAAAUUUCGGAUUGUUAAUGCAUAAAUGAGAUUUUUCAUAGUUUUUGAUAUAUUACUUCUAAAUGUAAGAAAAACAAAUGAACCAAACAUAUAAGAAAUUGCUCCAUAUAAAAUGGAAUCAACAUAAGAAAUCUUAUAGUGACAAUUGAAAACCCUAAAUUUGGUAAAUUAAAUUAAAAAAUUAAAGCUUACAUGUAAAUAUUCAUGUGAAAGAUUUGAGGGAAGACCCAACAACAACAAGCCUUGAGACAAUAAAGAUUAAGGAUCAGAACUUUUUCAUUUUGAGAGAUCUAGCUNNNNNNNNNNNNNNNNNNNNNNNNNNNNNNNNNNNNNNNNNNNNNNNNNNNNNNNNNNNNNNNNNNNNNNNNNNNNNNNNNNNNNNNNNNNNNNNNNNNNNNNNNNNNNNNNNNNNNGCCGCCCCCCCGCCGGAUUGUCUCUUCAUCUACCCCAGAUAAAGCCAGAGAUGUACCAUCAACAAGUCAUACAAUAGUUCCAGUGGCUCAAACUAGUGAAAUUAAUGUGAGGAUUCAAAAAGCAAAAAAUUUUGCAGUAGCACAAGCACAGCAAGAGGGCUGCACCGGAAACUUCAAAAUUUUUGAUUCACCAUUUAGGAAUUUUCUUAUGCCUGUAAUUCCAACUAGAAAAGAACUAGCUAGAUAGUUUCAUAGUUCUUAUCUUUAGUACUUUGUAAGCAGUUAGGAGACUGAAUGCCAUAGGUUCACAAGCUUGUAAAAAAAAAAGGUUAUAAAAUCAGGCAAACAAAAGAAAUUGACAAAAGCAGGGGAUUUUAGGCAGAAUCUAGAGAAAGACAGAAAAAGAAGGGAUGUAGGCUUUAGAUAUCCUAUUAUAAUAUUAAAUUUUGGGAAAAGAGAUGCCCACGUGUUUCUAAUCUUGGCGGUAGAUUUAUUUACUUGUUUUUUUCUUUUCGCAGCAUUUUUUAAAUGUUACAAAGGUGUGUUUUUUCGUAGCAUUUUAAAAGACCUACGUUUGUUAAUGUAAUAUAUGACAUUUAAAAAAAUGUUAUUAAUAAAAUAUAAAAUGCUAUAAAAAGUAAAAUGUUAUUAUUAAUGAAAUAAAAUGCUAUAAAAAGUAAAAUGUUAUCACUUAGAUAUUUAAUUAUAGCGUUUUUUAGAUUAAAUGCUAUUACAUAAUGCUACUAAAAGUGAUUUUUCUUGUAGUGUCUCUUUCUGCCUUAUUAUUGAAAACCUUCUGCAGUGAUCUAAAUGAGUGGUCAUGUGGCAAAAAUCGACGGUGCCCUAAAAAUACACAUUUUUUACUAUGUGUAAGCCACUGUGACUUUUUGUCUAGGUCACAGACUGGACAAGCAUAGUAACCUUAACAGUACAACCUGAAAGAUUCCCAUAUGCGGGAAAGUCACUAAUAGUCCACAUCAAGACAGCCUGCAAAUUGCAGGUUUGCUUUUUAAAAGUAUCAUAAGUUUCUACACCAAUAUUCCAAAGACUUUUCAAAUCAUCAAUUAAGGGUGCUAGGUAGACAUCUAGAUCAUUCCUUGGUUGUUUAGGUCCAUAUAUCAAUAAAGACAACCUAAUGAAUUUUGUCUUCAUGCACAUCCAUGGAGGAAGAUUGUAAAUGACCAACAUAACUGGUCGGCAACUAUAGGUAGAACUAAGAGUGCUGUGUGGAUUAACCCCAUCAGUUGAGAGAGCUAGACGAAGAUUUCUAGGUUCUUGGCCAAAAUCAGGCCACUUAGAGUCAACUAAAUGCCAUACUGGUGAAUCUGCUGGAUGGCAAAGUUUGCCAUCUCUAGUUCGGUGAAAAGCAUGCCAAGUUAAGUUCUCGGCAGUUUGGGGUGAUUGAAACAUAAGUUUAAAUCUAGAAAUAGGAGGAAAAUACCACUACUUAUUUUGACAUUUUUUUAUUUUUCCACUUAGACUGUCCACAAGUAGGACACUUAUUCAAAUCUGCAUACUCUUUGCGGAACAGAAUGCAAUCAUUCUUGCAUGCAUGUAUUUUCGUUGUUUUUUUGGCCUCAUACAUCGACUUCAGAACAUUAUUCUUUUUUGGAAACAUGUCAGAAAGAACUUCUAACAAAGCAUUAAACCCUUGGUCAAACCACCCAUACUUCCCUUUCACAUUAUACAAUUUCACUAACCUUGACAACUUAGAAUACUUUGAACCCAAAUACCAAGGCUUCUCAGCAUCCUCAAGUAUAUCCCUAAAACACUAAGGAUUUUGAUCACAUUGUUCAUAUGCAUCAUGGAUCAUGUCCUCAACAUUACUGUGAUCUUGGAACCUAAAUUCGUGAUUUUCAUAAUACUUUGGGCAACUUGCAGAGGCUGCAUUUAAAUCAACCUAUCCAUGUUUAUCCCAAACAAUAUAUGUUGGCAAAAAACCAUUUUGAAAUAAAUGACCCUUUAUUCGUUCAAGAGUAUGGAACUCUAGGUUGCAACACUCAUUACAAGGACAUCUAACUAAUCUACGAUAUUCAGAAUUAAGCAUAACAAAAUUCACUAACCCCUGCACUCCAUCUUCAUAUUCUUUGGACACUCUUGCUGACCAUAUCCAAGAUUUAUCCAUUUUAACAAGAUACCUGUUAAUGUAAAAUUUUAUUUAAAUGAAACAAAUAGUGAAAUUAAGUUGCCAUGCAUCAUUCUCAACAUACACUAAAUUAUUAAAUUAAGCAAUCACACGUCAUUCCCAACAUACACCGAAUUGUUAAAUUAAGCAACCAUGCAUACCUUUCUCACAAGUAAAGCAACAGAGGACAAAAUAAGACAUUUGAUGUCAAUGAACCCAUUAUCAUAAGUCACCAAUGUAUAGCUAAAGUGAAAAUGUAUCUAUGUUAAACAUGUAUUCAUACCUUCAGCAAUGAAACACCUUCUCGUAAUUUUGUAGAAGAUUUUUAGCAUAACAGCAAAACAAUAAUUUAUAAAAUUGAAUUAAUCGAAGAAACUAUCUGCCAACCACAUGCAAACUAUGACAAUAUCAAUACUUUUAUCAGUAAAUAUAUUAACCAUGGUCAGAAAGGUAAAUCAAACUUCUGUAUCUUAGAACCAAUAUUAAAAACAUCUUUAAAAAAUCAAUGUAGAUUGUAUUCAUAUAAUACCAGUUUCAAAUGACAGACUGAUAAGUUUAUAACAUAAAUUGGAAAGAAACAAUGAAAACACCGCAACCAAUAGAUACAGUUCUCAUAGUAUAUCCAGGAUGACCAGGAAGAUAAACUAAAUUUCUAGAUACUACAGUCAAAUUCACAAAAUCUUUAAAAAUUCAAUACCAAGGCUAUUCAUAUGAUUCCAAUUACAAAUGAAAGACUGAUAAGUAUGAAAAAAAUCAGAGCCAAUAAAUACAGUUUUAGAAGCUUAUCCAACAUGGUGAGAAAGGUUAAUUAAAUUUCUACCUCUUAUAAGUAAUUUUAGAAAAUCAUUGCGAAUUCAAGAUGCUAUACAUAUAAUACCAGUUGCAAAAUAAAGCUUAAUUAAUGUAUAAUUUAAAAUAAAAAGAAAAUAAGCAAAUAGCUUAUCCUUAGUACAAUAAUCAAUAACUCAUACAUUUUGUCAAAUACCUUACAUGCACAAUUUUGUAUCAUCUUCUUUUGAAAAAUCUUGUUUUAAAUUCUACCCGCACAAAUACAAUACCCAACAAGAGAAAAACAUGUAAAUGUAAAAAAACAAUACUCAGCCUAAAUUGGAUAAAAUAAAAAAUAGAACUAGCUCCAAGUGUUUCAAAUUGAUGUUGUCUAUUAUUGGGCAUGGUUAUUUUGACAAAAGAUUGAAGAAUAAAGUAACAGAUAAUCAUAAGUUUGUUUAUUAGUCAAUACAAAAUAGGAAUUGAUACAUAGACAAUGAAAUCUAUCUCUCUAGGAUCUAAUGCCUCUGCUCUUUAAAAAAUUACAGCAAGUCCAAAAAGAACCCAAUGCCUGGUCUCUCUCAAGAAUCUGUAGAAAAUAGUUAGUUGAAAAAAUAUAAGUAAUAUUAAAUACAACCAAUGUCCAUGAAUAAUAAGAAUGACUUUGGGAAGGAUUAAGAAGAAAUUAUUAGACUGUGAUAUCCAUGCAGUUUAGUACAAUGAUUUUAUACUCUUCUUUAACCUUGAUCAAUUGAGUUUAGAUAUCUAAAGUUAAAGCAAUAGUGUAACUCAACAAAAUCUAAUCAAGUAAAUGCAUAAUGAGAUUCAUUUCAUGCUCUAAGUUCGCAUAUCAUCACGUUUAUUUAAGAAAUGUUUAGCAAACAAGUAAUUGAGAGCAAAUAUAUAUCAAGUAAUCAACUAAUAAAAUAUUUAGAAUUAGACAAAAUAUAAAAAAGGAAAUAUUAAAAAUACAAAGUUACCUAUAACUUGAGGUCGUAAUUAGAACUAGCAACUAUAUUAUGAUGAUGCGCAUUGGAUGUGUAUGGAACCUAUUAACAAAAAACACAUAUUAAGUAGAUUGCGGUGUAAAAGAUUAUAUUAGUUAAAAUAGUUAUACCUGAUCACUUAUGAAUUGACUCAUCCCUAUCAUCACAAUAGUUGAAAUAGUGCUGUAAAAAUGAACAUAGUCUAUCAUACUUGACCUGCAUGUCACUAAUUCGAACUUACCAUAACUAGAUUGCAAAUCAAGAUAUUUAGAUUGCAAAUCACUAUAUUUGGAUUGCAAGUCAUUGUAUUUGGAUUUUAAUUCUUUGCUAUUCGACUGGAGAAGAAUUAACUUAUUUUGUAACAUUUGAUAACUGUGAGUCACAUUUUGACGUGAGACAUAUGAAGUUGAUGGACUUUGACCAUAAGUUCAAGCAUAUCCAUGGCCAUCAAUUCUCAUCACUUGAGUGAAUACUUGCUCUCUCAUAAAUUGUUUUUGUUGCUUAAUGGGUAUUUUAUACAGAUUUUCAUUGAAAUGACCUUGUAAAUUGAUAAUGUUGAAGUGUGAGCUCUGAAAAUGAUUUCCAGAGAAUCAUACGACAUGUCAGCUCAUGGUUGUACUAGCAUAUGACAUGUAGGUUGUGGUUAUUCAAAGCCAUAUGACAAUGUUACUUGGUCAUCUAUUUAUAGAUAAGUAAAGCACGUGAUCGUCACAUGUUUUCACUUAUCAACACGACCUAUUCAGUUUUCAUUUUCGAACCUUCAUUAAAUGUGAAAAAAACAUGUGGCUCAGGGGCUGUUAUAUUCUAUUACAAGGGCGGGAAAAUUCUGGGUUUUGGUUACAAAAGUUAGCUGACUAGUGGGGGAACUUUCUAGGGUCUCUUAAGCGUGUAUAUAUAGCCAGGGGCAAAGUUUAUUAUGUUCCCGCCAUAUAGGCGUCUUUACUUUUUAUCACAUCAAUAAAUCAUGUUACUGCUUUUCAGUAGUAAUUAAUUUUCUCCAAUAUUUAUUGUUAUUGUUGUCGUAUUGACAAGUUUAUUAUACAUUAACAAGUUCAUUAUGUAUUUUAGUGUUUUAUUGUAGUUUAUCAUGGUGUCGAAAAGAAAUAGAGGUUUAUCCAUGGAUAGCUUACUUCAGCAGCAAGCAGAAUAACAAAAACAGUUAUGCUCCUCUUCUCGUUCGCAUUCACAUGCACCACAAGAUGAAGGUAUAUAUUGUCAUGUAUUCUAACAUACAAUCCUUUUUUUUUACCCUUAUAUUAAUGCAUCUUGUGCUACUUUUUUGUUUUUUAUGUUUUUGGAUAAUGUUUCUAUUAUUCCUAUUUCUUCAUUGUUUUUUUACUAUUUUUAGCCUAUUUUUUCUUGUUUCUGGGGUAAUUUAGAUAUUAUAUUUUGGUUAAUUUUGUAGUUUGGAGUGAGUCAUCAUUAAUUAGGCAACUCUUGUCCUGCCCUUGGUCUAGAUAUAUUUGGAAGGAAGUAAAGUUAUGUAAUGCGUACACUUCAUUGUUCAAGUCACUGUUGCAAAAAUAUUAUUUUUUUUUAACUAUCACUAACCUAAUUUGGCUUUUAUGUGUUGCAACAAUAACUAAUUACUCCUUUCUUAGUCUAACCUUUUUAUUUAUUUAUUUUUUUCAAUGUUUUAACGGUUAAAGUUAUAAGACAAUAACUUAUUUUGUAUUGAAUUAUAGGAGAACAUUGAUGCUCCAGAAGCCUAUAACUUCAUUGUUUAAGGCACAUUAGUAAACUAUGGACGGCUUGGAAGUCUAGAGUGAAGACUGACUAUUAUACUGCUUAAACAAAUGAAGAGUUUCUUGCAUCUAUUCUUGAUAGGGUUAUUGAAGAGCAGUGGAGGAGACAUGUAGCAUAUUAGGAUAAUGAGGAAGUUAAGGUAUAUGGUUAAUAACAAUAAAAUGAUAAUACUGGUUUAUUGGGAUAGUAAUUUAAGAAUGUACUUCAGUAGUAAUUACAUAUAUAGUAUUUACAGGCACGUGCUGAACAGAAUAAGAUUAACCAUUCACAACUAUCUUCCCUUCUUAGAACAAUUUGAACUUCAUUUGCCCCAAAAAAGAAAAGAAGAAGAAAUAAAAAAAGGUACCCAUUUUCUUAAUAUAAUGCUAGAUUGUGUUCUCCUUUUUCAAUUUAUCUUUAAGCAACAACUUACUUAAUAUAAUGCCAAAUUGAGGUUGUUGAUAACUUGUAGGAAUCUGCACUUAUACUUAUUUUAUAAUCUAGAUUUAAAUUCAUGUGUAUGAUGGAGCUGAAUCGUUUUUGUUUCUUUAGGAUGGUAAAUGAGACAUUGUUUUCACUAAAAUUAUUGUCAAGAAUUUCUUGCCCUAACUAUUUCUAUCUUAUUGCAUAUUUAGGUAAUUUUUUUUUAAAAAAAAGAAAGAAAAAAGCAACAACUGACAUGUGAAUCUUAUGUCUAUUAUGAAGAGAUAUAAGCUUAUUUGUUACUCUUAUGUCUAAAAUUUUUAGAUGAAGAAAAUUUGGAAAAAGACAGAUCGGAUAAGUGUGUUUGUAGAGACUCGAACAAGAUCUUAUGGUAGCAUAAGUGAUGUGAAGAGUGAACAAAUAAUUGCAAGUUUCUUUUUUUUUAAGUAUUAUAAUUCCUUACUUUUGUAAAUGCUAUAAUUAAUAUUAUCUGUUAGACCUUGAUCAAAAUUAAUCAAUCAAGACUCCCCAAGAUUAGCUAAACACUAUAAUAUUUGCUAAAGAAAUACCAAGUAGUCACAAGAGAAACAGAAGCAAAACUAAAAACACCAAUCAACAAAGAACAUAAUUAAAGUGGUUCGGCCUGGAGAUGGCCUACAUCCACUGAAGAAUAGAGCAGCAAUCUUUAUUCAAUCACUAGGAACAAGAUACAAGUUUAUAGACGAAGUUACAAGCUUCACACACGUUGAUCUCUUUUCUCUUAAGGCUAUAUAUACAUGCUUAAGAGACCCCAGAAAGUUCCCCCACCAAUCAGCUAACUUCUAUAACCAAAACCCAUAAUUUUCCCUCCCUUGUAACAUAAUAUAACAGCCCUUGAGCCACGUGUUUCUUUCACAUUUAAUUAAGGCUCCAAAACUGCAACUCAGCAGGUCGUGUUGAUAAGUGAAAACAUGUGACGAUCACGUGCUUUACUUAUCUAUAAAUGGAUGACCAAGUAACAUUGUCAUAUGGCUUUGAAUAACCACAACCUACAUGUCAUAUGCUAUUACAACCAUGAGCUGACAUGUCGUAUGACUCUCUGGAAAUCAGUUUCAGAGCUCACACUUUAACAUUCUCCACCUUGAGCUUGAAAUCCUCAUGAUCUUGCUACUCUUCUCUUCUCUUCAACUACCUGUCACUUAUUUUUGACAUAUUCCUGCUAAUUCUAAGCAAAGCUUGAACUUAGCAGUUGUAACUGGUUUAGCCAGCAUAUCUGUAACAUUCUUGUCUUUAUGAAUCUUCUGCAGCUUUACUAUUGCUUUUAACACUUCCAGCCUUAUGAAAUGCAACUUGAUAUCGAUGUGCUUGGUCCUUUCAUGGUGUGUUUGAUUUUUUCUCAAACAUAUAGCACUUUGGCUGUCACAAUUUAUCAUCAUUGACCUCUGAUCGACACCAAGCUCUUUAAGCAUUCCUUUAAGCCAGAUGGAUUCUUUAACCGCUUUUGCAGCAGCUAUGUACUUAGUUUCUAUUGUUGAAAGUGCCACAACACUUUGCAGUUGAGCCUUCCAAUUGACAGUACAAUUGUUGAAUGUGAAAAGGUAUCCAAUAAGUGACCUUCAACAAUCCCCAGCAUAAUAAGAAUCCACAUAGCCAACAAUCUGACUACUAUCUUGUCUUUGUCCUCCAUACAUCAACCCAUAUAUUGCUGUCUCAUUUAGGUACCUGAGAAUCCAUUUUACAGCCCUCUAGUGUUCCUUACCAGGGUUUGCCAUAUACCUGCUUACAACACUCACAGCAUAUGAUAAAUCAGGCCUAGUUAAGACCAUAGCAUACAUUAAGCAGCCUACAGCACUUGCAUAAGGUACAUUCAUCAUCUCAGACAUUUCAGCUUCUGCUUUUGGACACAACUGAUCAGAUAGUCUGAAAUGAGGUGCUAAGGGUGUUUGAACUAUCUUUGAGUUUGCCAUUCCAAACUUAUCAAGUACCCUUUUGAUGUAUUCUUCCUGAAUAAGAAACAGAGUUCCAAUAUUUCUAUUCCUGUGUAACUGUAUUCCCAGAAUUUUCUUUGCUGGACUAAGAUCCUUCAUGUCAAACUCUCUUUUAAGCUUCUAUUUCAGGUCGUCAAUUAAACUCAUACUCACACUGGCAAUAAGCAUAUCAUCUACAUACAAUACCAAGUAAACCAUCACCCCUGAAUCCUCUCUAAAGUAAACACAAUAAUCCAAGUUACACCUCUGAAAUUUCUGCUUUUAACAUUAAGCUGUCAAAUCUGAGGUACCAUUGCCUUGGGGGACUGUUUAAGUCCAUACAUAGACUUUUUCAAAUGAAAAACCCAGUCAGCCUUUGAUUCAUCUAUGAAGCCUUCAGGCUGUGCCAUUACAAUAUGCUCUUGUAAUUCCCCAUAUAAGAAUGUUGUUUUUACAUCCAUUUGUUCUAAGUGCAUGUUGUUUACUGCCACCAGUGACAUGAUGAUUCUUAUAGAGGCAUGCCUCACUACAGGUGAAAAUACCUCAGUAAAGUCAAUGCCCUUAUUUUGAGUGAAUCCUUUUGCAACAAGUCUAGCUUUGAAUCUCACUGGUUCCACUCUUGAGAUGCCCUGCUUGAGUUUGAACACCCAUUUGCAGUCUAUCACUUUUUUCUUAUCUGGUUUUCUCACAAGUACCUAGGUGUCAUUCUUAUUCAAAGAAUCAAUUUCUUCCUUCAUGGCUUCCAAUCACUGGUCUUCAUUCUUCCCUGAAACAGCUUCCUUAUAGGAUUUAGGUUCAUCAUAGUCCAGUCCAUGACUUACUGUUAGUGCAUAUGUAAUCAGAUCUGCAUAUACAUACUUCUUUGGUGCCCUUAUAACUCUCAUUUCACUAUCCUUGGCCAGCUGAUAAUCUUGCAAUGUUGUUUGACUUUCUAAAGUUUCAUCAGAAUUAUCUACAUCUCUUCCCUCAUCUUCUGAUGUCUCAUAUGAAGUUGUAUCCCCAGAUUUUCUAGUAAGCUCCACCUUAAUAUGAUCUUUCAGUAAAUUAGUGUCAUUGUUUGAGUCUUCAAGCUUCUGUGUAUAGCUCUUAAGCAUUUCUUGUUCAUUGAAGACCACAUCUCUACUGACUAUACACCUGGGUGGCUUUAGAUCAGUACACCAAAGCUUAUAGCCCUUCACACCUUCUGGAUAUCCAAGAAAAACACAUUUCAGAGCCCUAGGCUCAAGCUUUCCUUACUUCACAUGUGCAAAUGCUGGGCAGCCAAAUAUCUUUAAAUCAGAAUAAUUUGCAGCUCUGCCUGACCACAUUUCUAUAGGUGUUUUAAAGUCUAUGGCACUGGAUGGACUUUUGUUGACUAAGUAACAAGCUGUCAUCAGAGUUUCAGCCCAUAAAGAAUGAGGAAGUUUUGAGUGAAUUAGUAGACACCUUACUUUGUUCAUGAAAGUUCUAUUCAUCCUCUCAGCAAGUCCAUUUUGCUAUGGAGUAUGCCUUACUGUCUUGUGUCUUACAACUUCAUUCUGAGCACAGAAAUCAUCAAACAGUUGAUUGCAAAAUUCCAAUCCAUUAUCAGUCCUUAGCCUUUUGACUUUUCUACCUGUUUGUGUUUCUACUAGUGCUUUCCACAACUUAAACUUCUUAAAGACUUCAUUUUUACCCUUCAAGAGAUACACCCAAACCAUUCUAGAAUAGUCAUCAAUCAAGGAUAUGAAGCAUUUAGCUCCACUUAAAGAAGUUGUCUGUGCUGGUCCCCACAGAUCAGAAUGGAUAUAAUCUAAAGUCCCUUUGGUCUUAUGCACUGUAGUUUUGAAGCUAGUUCUAGAGGAUUUACUUAGGACACAUACCUCACAGAACUCAACAGGGCCUAACUUAUCAUCCCUUAAGACUCCCUGCCUUUCUAAGAUCUUCAUCCCCUUCUCACUCAUAUGCCCCAAUCUCAUGUGCCACAUUAGUGUUUUAUUUAGAUUCUGACUUGUUGAGACACUAACAUCCCCAAAAUGGUUGUCUCUUACAGCACAUACAAGCUUAUUUUUUGCCCUCUUUAUUAUCACAAUAGACCAUCUAAUUAUCUUCAUAACACCAGAUUCCAUUUUAAUGAUACAACCCAUUUUAUCAAGAAUUCCUAGGGAUAUUAAGUUUCUUUUUAGCUCAGGAACAUGCCUAACUUCACUUAAUUCCCUAAUCACCCCAUCAAACAUUUUAAGCCUAAUGGUUCCAAGACCAACUAUUUUGCAAAAUGAGUUGUUUCCCAUCAUGACUUCCCCACCAUUAAAAAGUCUAUAACUGGAAAAAAAGAUUUUUAUCAGGGCACAUGUGAUAAGUGCAUCCAGAAUCUAACACCCACUUACCAUUGGUUUGAGUUCCAGUGGCCAGAAGAACACCAGCUGAGUCAUAGCCAUCAUCAUCCUUUUUUUUUCUAAUGCAACAACAUUUUCAUUAUUUUUGGGUCCAUUUUUUCCAUUGUUCUUUCUUUCUGGACAGUCCUUCUUGAAAUGUCCAUCUUUGUGGCACUGGAAACAUUUCAGAUUUUUAUUCUUUGACUUAGACUUGCUGCAUUUUUUGUUCUUGUUACUGAAAUCCUUCUUCUCUAGUUUACCCCUUGCUGUUAAGCCUUCUCCAUCUUUUGUUUCUGACUUCUUUGUAACCUAUUUAGAACUAAGAGAAUCUUUUACAUCAACCAUGGUUAUUGAUUGCCUUCUAUAUAACAACGUGUCUAUAAAAUGUUCAUAGGAAGGUGGGACAAAUGAUAACAAGAUUAUAGAAUGAUCAUGUUGUAGUUAUCAAUGUGAUUUGCCAGAGAGCUACCCUCAUCUAUCUGCAAUGUAUACAACCUCUUCUUGGUGCAUAGUCUCUUGGUUAGAGAUUUCUUCGUAUAUAGGUCUUCUAAUUUCUUCCAGAGGCCUGCAACAGUUGUUUGAUCCCCCACUUCCCUCAGAACUUCAUCUCCCAGACUCAAGAUUAAGGUACUAUGAGCCUUGUCCAAUCCCAAACUUGAUUAUUUUCAUAUAACAAAUGGUUGAAAUUCCAUUGUAAAAUUAAACUCAUUAAGUAUCUUUCUGAGUCGAUCAUCAACCAAAUCACGCAUUAAAAGAACGAACUUCAUAUCAUUAUUAUAAUGAAUUUCCCAUGAAAUGUAACUUUGCCCAAGUGAGGAUUUUUAUCCCUUGCAUCGAUAUAGCUCAUUGUGUCAGCCUUUAAUACAACACCGAAAUUUUAUGUUGUUUUAUUCAUAUCAUUAUCUUUUGUGCAUAAUCGACAGCUAUUAACAGUGUAGCCUUUGGAUCUUUGUGCAAACUUCUUUGGACCGUUGGCUAGAUUUAAAAUUUCUUCGAAGAAUUCUACAAUUGACGCUCGUUGCAAAGUUUUAACCUAUAAAUACAUAUUAGAAAUAAAAAAAAUUGCUAUUACUUGAAACAAAAAUUCACAAUCGCAAUGUUUGAGAGACUUACAAGAUUCGAAAACUAUGUAUGAAAUACUUCAUUGUGAACUUUUUUAAUGUGAUGUUUUGCACCACGCAAUAUCUCUCGCUUGAGAAUUGCUAGAUGUUGCCCUAUGUCAAUUCAAUCAUUACUUAGUAAGUCACUGGAUAAAUGAUAAUUAAAAACUAGAGAUAAAAAUAUUUGAACAAAAAAUAUACACUACAUACUCGGUGAAAAAUGGUUACAGUACCUGUGUUGAAUAACACAUAUUUGUGUACCUGAACCCAUGAAACAUUAUUAAGACAUAAUUUAACCCCUUUACUGCCAGGACACCCAAAUUUGUUACCACCAACAUCAUUACAAAAUGGUUGGUUACUUUUGGUUUCUACCUUGUCAAUGUAACUUUAACAAAAAUUCAUACUUUCCUCCAUAAGGUACCCUUAAGCAAUUGAAGCCUCAAGAAGUGCUUGAUUUUGCACAUACUUUCAAGGUCAGUAGCUCCUUAUAACCAAAAGAUAUGAAGAAUAUAACAAAAAAUGUAAGACAUAAAUAUAGUAAAAAAAUACGAGUAAAAACAUUGUUGCAGUACCUUUCAAUGAAAAACAGCCAUUGGCAUUGAACAGGACCAGCAAUUAAUGCCUCUUUAGCUAGAUAAAUAGGUAAAUGCUCUAUCAUAUCUAAAAAGAACAUUGGAAAAAUCUUCUCAAGAUGACAAAGGGAAAGGGAAAUUCUCUCUUGUAUUUUGAGUAAGUCUUCAGAUACGUUCACUUUGAGCAUAGUUGACAAAAAUAAUUGCUUAAUUCAAUCAAAGUUUCAACAAUAUUUGUAGGUAAUGCUCUACGUUAGCCAGAGGAAGUAAUAUUUGCAUCAAUACAUGACUGCCAUAGCAUUUAAGACCCCAAAUGCUAAAUUCUUCAGUAUGGACACAUCGAGCAUUAAGUAUAUCAUACAACUAAAAUUUACACUUCAAUUCCAGAUAACCGGGAAGGUCUUAUCCCCACUUCUUUAUUUUAUCAAAAAAAAAAAUACUUUGUCUUUCUGAAACUGAUGACAUCUUGGAAAAAAAUUAAUAGAGGCCCAAGUAAAAAUAUUUUCUGAAAAAUCACUGAUAAUCCAUAACAGUGCUACAUGUAAUUUUAACAUUUGAUUGCACGAAACAUCAUAGCUAAGUACCCCUUUCAGCCUAUAAUUCUUUCAACUUCUUAAUCAAUGGUUGCAAAUAAACAUCAAUCUUGUUACCGGCACUUUAGGUCUAUCAAUAAGCACAUAUAAAUAUUAUGAAUGGUUGUUUUGUGCACAUCCAAGGUGGAAAAAUGUGUGGAAUUAAAACUACAGGCCAUUUACAAUUUGAUACAGACAUCGUUCUAAACUGAUUCAAACUAUUACUUUCUAAUCCAAGCCUAACAUUACGAAUAUCUAGAACGAAAUCAAUAUAUGUUUGAUCAAAUGAUUUCAAUGCAGGAUUAUCAGUAGGAUGCCUUAGUACGCAAUCAUUAAUGCAUGAUUUAGCAUGCCAUCUCAUAAAAGAAGAAUUCACAUCAAUUUUUUAUAUAUAGAUGCAUAACAAUGUUAGUACAAAUUCAGACUCAUUAACAUAAUAUUUGAGUGUAAGGACUGCCUCAUGUGUUAGUACAAAUUUAUCUAUCCCAUUAUGAGCUAAUAUAACACAAUUAAAGAUUAUAUUUGUCCACAAUAUACUACUGUAUAGGGUAUGUCAAAAUCAGACUCAUUAACAUAAUAUUUGAUCACUUAAUAAAUGAGUUUGUCAAAAUUGCUCCUUAAUAUUUGACAUUAGUCACGUAUUAAUUCAGUAAAAUAUAGAAAACAAUUAGAAUGAUUUAUGCCAGUCCACAAAAUGUGAGAAAUAAAACUAACAAGAAGUUGAUGGAUUUAAAUGAUUUCUUCACGCUCGUAAGGUCAAGUUCAGGUUAUCAGACGGCUAAGAACAGGGUGUUGAAAAGUCAUGCACGUGACAUUCAAAUUCAAAAAUGCAUGCAAAAUUUCAAAUGCCUACCAAACAUUUGAAGAAAAAAUAGAAAGUUGGCAAAUUUGUCAAAUUUGCCAAAUGGACACCAUUGACUAUUGGCUUAGGUUAGGUGGAAUAGUAAAGGGGCUAGUGCAAUAGUGCCAUUAUUUUCCUUAUAAAUAGAUGGCGCUUCUUCCAUUCUUUUGGAUCCCAAAAUUAUUAAGCUUAUAAGUUUCUAAGCUUUUGAGAGAAGUGAGAGAAGUGUGUCUGGAGAAUUUAUCUUUCCUGCAGAGUGUGAGAGUACUGGGUAUAUUUGGGUUUCUGGGAAGUGAGAUUCGUUACUCAAAUAUUGUACUCUAUUAAUUGUUAAAUAAACAAUUAUUCUUUCUUGGCUCCAUGGAUGUAAGUUUAAUUACCGAACCACGUAAUUCUUGUGUCCUUUAUUUUUCUGUAAUUAUUUUGUACGCUUGAUUUCGCAUUCCGCGCACAACAAGUGGUAUCAGAGCCGAAGGUUCGUACUUUGGGGGAUACGGCACUGUUCACGUAUACGGUACUGUUCACAUACGGUACUGUUCACGUAUACGGUGGAGACAACCAUUUGUACUUGGGAGAUAGUCUAUUGUAAAUAGUGUGUAUUUUUGCAUGUCUAGGAAAGUUCUGUCAACAAAGGCGAUAAGAGUCUAAGGAUUCUGGGUUUUAAUUAGGACCGAGUUACCGUCUAGUUUCUUGGGAACUUUCCUGGUGCAUUUAUUCAUGCGAAAUUAACAUCAUAGAAACUGUUUUUCAAGUGGAAAUAGUUCGUUGAGAAAAUGGUAGAAGGUGAAACUUCCAGAAUUGGGGAGAGAUCUACCGAGACUAUUUCAGGAGACACUUCAUGUGGGAGGCGAGAUUUGUCAAAUCGCUAUUCAGCACUUGUUAUAGAAGGCCAGAAGAUCGAUGUUGAAAAGUUUGAUGGGAAAAUCAACUUCGGCAUGUGGAGGCGCGAAGUUAUGGAUGCCCUUAUUCAAAUCGAUCUCGAUGCUGUUCUGAAAAAUAAAAGACACUUGUAUGAUGAAGAAAUUUGGGAUCGUAUGAACGAGAAAGCUUGUGGUCAGAUCAGAUCUUGUUUGACCAAGGAGGUGAAAUACUUGGUGAAAGAUGAGGAGUGUGCGGUGACUUUGUGGCGUACAUUGGAGGAGAAGUACCUGGUGAAAAGUCCUGAAAAUCGCCUUCAUGGAAUGAGCCAAGUAUAUGGUUUUCGAAUGAAGCCUGGGGUGUCAAUGCACGAUCAUGUUUCAAGAUUUGAAAAGUUAUUUGCUGAUUUGAAGAAUCUUGAUGAAGAUAUUAAGGAUGAAGUCAAGGCUAUGAUUCUGUUACACUCACUACCAGAGGAAUAUAGCCAUUUUGUGACUACUUUGAUAUAUGGGAAGAGUGUGAUCGUCUUUAAAGAUGUUUGCACAAUAUUGACUAGCUUAGAGAUUCGGAAUAAUGAUAAAAAUUCUGAACGAGCAUCGUCUGAAGCUUUGGUGAGCAGAGAUUGGGAGAUGGAGAAACAGAAGAAGCGUGGUGGAAAGAAUUCUCGAUCCAAAUCGAGAAUUAGAAAUAUAGCCCGAGAUGAGUGUGCCUUUUGUCAUGAAAAGGGCCAUUGGAGGAAAGAUUGUCCAAAGGCUCAAAAGAGAAAUAAGAAGAAACCAGCAGCAGCAAACAUGGCACGGAAAGAUGAGGGCUCUGAUUAUUCACUAAGUAUUACUCCUGCAGCAUACGUGGCUAGUUCGAGCGAGUGGAUACUUGAUACUGGAUCAACUUAUCAUUUGUGUCCUAUUAAGGAAUGGUUUAUGGAUUUUCGUAAUUUGGAAUCCGGUGCAGUUGUGAUGGGGAAUGAUCAACCUUGUCGCACAAUGGGGAUAGGAACAAUUCGGCUCAAAAUGUUUGAUGGAAUGGUUAGAGAACUCAAAGAGGUUAGAUUUGUUCCAGCUUUAAAGAAAAAUCUAAUUUUUGUGGGUGCUUUGGAAGCUAAAGGCUACAAGGUUACCAUUGAAGAUGGCACAAUGAAGUUUACGCAUAGGGCUAUGGUGAUUCUGCAAGGGGUUCGGCGUCACAAUUUGUACUAUUUGAAGGGAGGUACAACUGAUAAAGCAAAUGCUGUUGAGACACACAGUGACACCACCAAGCUAUGUCAUGUACGACUGGGACAUGCUGAAGAGAAGUCUUUGCAAACUCUGAUGAGGCAUGGACUUUUAAAAGGUACCAAAACCUGUAAAUUAAAUUUCUGUGAGCAUUGUGUAGUAGGCAAGAAAACAAGGGUCAAGUUUGGUACAGCUAAUCACGAUACUCGUGAGAUCCUUGAAUAUAUUCAUAGUGAUGUAUGGGGACCAACCAAGACUGCAUCAAUUGGUGGAAGCCAUUAUUUUGUUACAUUUGUUGAUGAUUUCUCUAGAUGUGUGUGGGUGUACACCAUGCGAGCAAAUGAUGAGGUUCUAGAGAUUUUCGUGAAAUGGAAGAAAUUAGUGGAGACUCAAACUGGCAGAAAGAUCAAAGUAUUACGAUCUGAUAAUAGGGGUGAAUAUGCUUCUGAUCCAUUCUUGCAAGUAUGCCAGAACGAGGGUAUUAAAAGACAUUUCACGGUGAGACAUACUCCGCAACAUAACGGUGUGGCUGAGCGUAUGAAUUGUACUUUACUGGAGAAGGUACGGUGUUUGUUAUCUAAUGCUGGUUUAGAUAAAAAGUUUUGGGCUGAAGCUGUGAGCUACGCAAGUCACUUGGUAAACCGAUUGCCUUCUGCUGCAAUUAGAGGUAAAACUCCUAUGGAAAUGUGGUCUAGAAAGCAUGCACAAGACUAUGAUUCCCUUCGUAUAUUCGGGUGUCCAGCUUAUUAUCAUGUUAAAGAUGGUAAACUGGAUCCUCGUGCUAGAAAAGCUAUCUUUGUGGGAUUCAAAGGUGGAGUAAAGGGUUUCAAGCUUUGAGAUCUCGAAGAUAAAAAGUUUGUGUGUAGCAGAGAUGUCACAUUUGAUGAAGCUUCAAUAAUAAAAGCUUCAAGUUCUCAGCAGGUGGAGAACAAAACCGAAGAGGUAUUGCAGCGGGUGGCGUUUGAUGCAACUCCAUAUGUACGAGUUAGUUCUACAUCAAAGAAGAGUUCAACUAUGGAUGUGACACCUAAAGUUGAAGAACAAGUUGUUUCUUUUGAUGUCCCACAAAAUGAAGAAACAAUUGAUGAUGUAGAUAAUGAUGAUUUUAUAGCAACAAGGAGGCUAAGAAGAGAGACAAAGAAACCCGGAUGACUUACUAAAGAUAUGGUGGUAGCCUAUGCACUUCCAGUUAUUGAUGAUGACAUCCCCAACACUUUCGGUAAAGCAUUACGCAUCAGUGAAAGUGAUCAGUGGAAGCUAGCCAUGGAGGAAGAGAUGAAAUCUCUCCAUCAAAACCAUACUUGGGAACUUGUAAAGUUACCAAAGGGGAAAAGGGCUAUUGGCAAUAAAUGGGUCUACACCAAAAAGCAAAGAUCUCCGAAUCAAAUAACUCCUCGAUACAAGGCAAGGCUCGUGGCAAAAGGUUUUGCUCAAAAGGAAGGUAUUGACUACAAUGAAGUUUUCUCUCCAGUUGUAAAACAUACUUCCAUUCGUAUCCUACUUGCCUUAGUUGCAGAAUAUGAGUUAGAGUUGGCUCAGUUGGAUGUUAAGACGAUGUUCUUACAUAGAGAUUUGGAGGAGGAAAUCUAUAUGAUUCAGCCCUGUGGUUUCAAAGUUGCUGGAAAGGAGAAUCAUGUGUGUAGGUUGAUUAAAUAUUUGUACGAACUGAAGCAAUCGCCAAGGCAGUGGUACAAAAGAUUUGAUCAAUUUAUAUAAGGGCAGAAAUUCACCAAAAGUGAACACGAUCAUUGUGUUUACUUUAGAAGACUACCAGAUGGAGCUUUCAUCUAUUUGCUACUCUAUGUCGACGAUAUGCUUAUAGCUUCGAAGAAUAGAGAUGAGAUCGAAAGAUUAAAGAAGCAGCUGGCUUCUGAGUUCGAGAUGAAAGACUUGAGUGAUGCACAGAGAAUACUUGGGAUAGAGAUUCGUAGAGACAAGAAGAAUGGGAGCGUGUGGUUGACUCAAAAGUCUUAUUUGAAGAAAGUGCUAGAAAGAUUCGGUAUGGAUAAUAAACCGAUAUGUACACCUCUAGCUCCUCAUUUUAAAUUAAGCUCUUCUUCAUGUCCUAAAUCUCAAGAGGAGCGCGAUUACAUGGCUCGUGUUCCAUAUACUAGUGAUGUGGGUAGUCUUAUGUAUGCUAUGGUAUGCACAAGGCCCGAUAUAUCUCAAGCAGUAAGCAUGGUUAGUAGAUACAUGCACAGUCCGGGUAAAAAUCAAUGGCUUGCAGUAAAAUGGAUUCUCCGAUAUUUGUAUGGGACAGUUGAUGUUGGGUUAUUAUUCAAGAAGGAUUUUGGUCAACAAUGUGUUGGGUAUUGUGAUUCGGAUUUCGCUAGAGACCUUGACAAGCGAAGAUCAACAACGGGCUACGUAUUCACAUUGGGUGGAGGUCCGGUUAGCUGGAGGUCGAUUCUACAAUCGACAAUUGCUCUGUCCACUACGGAAGCAGAGUAUAUGGCAGCAACUGAAGCUGUAAAAGAAGCUACCUAGUUGAAAGGCUUGUUAGGUGAUUUGGGAGUAAUCCAGGAGAACAUUGCGGUCUUCUGUGAUAAUCAAAGUGCGAUAUUCCUUACGAAGAAUCAAACAUAUCACGCUCGGACGAAGCACAUAGAUGUGAAAUAUCAUUAUGUGAGGGAGAUUAUCAAGAGCGGUAUCGUGUUGUUGAGAAAGAUCGAUACCAAAGAUAAUCCAUCAGAUAUGUUGACGAAGGUAGUUUCUGGAGUUAAGUUUCAACAUUGCUUGAAAUUAAUUCAAAUCCUUCGAUUGUGUUAAGAUAUGUCCUUCGGGAAUUAUGAACUAUGGUUGGCUUGAUCCCAAAUUUUGGGUACGUAGGCAGUCGAAUCGACACAGCCAUUCUAGAUCCUUAUUGAAGGAUCAGUUUGGCGAUGAGGGUUCAUUGGUAGUCGACUCAGAUUUGGACAAAUUUUCGCCGAGUUGGAGAAUUGUUGAAAAGUCAUGCACGUGACAUUCAAAUUCAAAAAUGCAUGCAAAAUUUCAAAUGGCUACCAAACAUUUGAAGAAAAAAUGGAAAGUUGGCAAAUUUGUCAAAUUUGCCAAAUGGACACCAUUGACUAUUGGCUUAGGUUAGGUGGAAUAGUAAAGGGGUUGGUGCAAUAGUGCCAUUAUUUUCCCUAUAAAUAGAUGGCACUUCUUCCAUUCUUUUGGAUCCCAAAAUUGUUAAGCUUAUAAGUUUCUAAGCUUUUGAGAGAAGUGAGAGAAGUGUGUCUGGGAAAUUUAUCUUUCCUGCAGAGUGUGAGAGUACUGGGUAUAUUUGGAUUUCUGGGAAGUGAGAUUCAUUACUCAAAUAUUGUACUCUAUUAAUUGUUAAAUAAACAAUUAUUCUUUCUUGCCUCCGUGGAUGUAGGUUUAAUUACCGAACCACGUAAUUCUUGUGUCCUUUAUUUUUCUAUAAUUAUUUGGUACGCUUGAUUCCGCAUUCCGCGCACAACACAAGGGUGUUGAGCUUUUGACAGACAAUAUGAUGGAGAAGUUUAAGGUUGCUUGGAAUGUAGAUGGCCAGGGUUAAAAGAUUGCUUCGUUUCCAGUUUACCCGAGAAUUGGAAAAGUAGGAAAUUAAUAAUAGUUGAUUUAAGCUUAAAUUAAUAUAUAUUGUUGAUGCUAAACUUUAGUCGAGUUGAUUUGUUGGCUAGCAAUCAGACCUCAAUGUGAAUAUUUAAAUUUAUAUAUGGAAGAGUGGUUUGCCAAUUUUUUAAAUUUUCAACAUUUCAAAUUCUUAAUUAAUACAUAUUGUUGAUGUUGAAAUCUAGUCGAGUCAAUUUGUUGGUUACCAACUAGACCUCGACGCAAAUAUUUAAAUUUAUAUGUGCGAGAGCAGUUUUUCAAUCUCUUGAAUCAGCAAGAAUCCAUGAACUCGAGUAAAUUCUCCACUAACACCUGCAAUAACAGAAAGCAAUAAGAGGCAAUAAAAAUUUUUCUACCUUUAACCCUUCGAUGCCCAAUUUAUUUUUUUGGGUUUAUUAGAAAAAUUAAAGUAGUGUCUGGUUUUUUAAUGUAAUAGAAAUAGAAAGAAAAAUCUCAACGUAAAGAGAGUGAAAAAUAAAAGGUAGUCUAAAGACGAAAAAAUUGAACCUAUUUUGGUUUUCAUAGUUUGUUUUUAUAGAGGUAUGAAUCCUUUUCUCCAUUGACUUUACUUGUCAAAAGUAAAAUCACAAGUCGUCCGCCCCGAAAUCCGCUGCAUUGAAUCACUUUAUCGAAAUUUAACUGCACAGGAAGGUGUCUUGUUGCUUCAUUUCAUCAUCCAUGACGCAUUCUCUGUAUCAGUUCCAAUUUUAUCCGAUGCUGCAAAGAGACCAUGAUGAAUCCUCUGAUCCCAUUAUUAGUAAAAUUCUUUACAAAAGUGAACCAUAAAGUAAGACAGCUUGGACCAACAUUUAUAAAAGUUGAAGCACAAACAAAAAAGGCAAGCCCAUAACUAUUUAAUCUUUUGAAAUUAAAAGGUUAAAAAUGAAAAAUUGGGGUCAAAAACUCUUUCUAAUGCUCUCCAAGUUCAACUUGGCUUCGCCUGAUAACUCCUACGAUAUUGACCUCUUAAUUUUAAUGGUAUAACGUCACAGCCAACUUUAGUUUUUAUUUAUUUAUUUAUUUUUUAAUGGCCCCCAUCGAACCAAAACCUUGGAUUGGUACCUAACCUAAUUUUAUAUUUGGAUGCAAAUUUUCAGCUAGCUAGGACGUUCAAAAGUGGCAUGGGCACGGGCACAAGCUCCAAACAAUUAGAAUUUGCAACAAAGCCACCCAACGAUAGAUAUCAUCUUACCACACCAGUUAGGGUCGGUUCUACCAGUUCGGAGACCUUAAUGAAUUUUUUUUCGAAGGCCUUUUUACAUUAAACAAUAUGUGCUUAGAAUAAUUAGAAUGAUAACACAUACAAAGUUGACUAGUUGAGAUGAAUAUGAUGAUCAAACGUCAGAUGAUAAAAAUGAAUUUUAUAGAAAAGAUCAGAAGAAUUUUCUUUAUAGAUACGAGAGUAAAAAACUUUAGGUUGUUGAUUCAAUAUCCAUUAGUGAGGUUUUAAAUAGGGUUAAUAGGAUCCUAAAAGUUUUAAAAUCUAACAUUAAUAAUUUUAAUAGAGUAAUUAUUUUUUUGGAAAGGGAAAGCAUUGGAUUUUUUUCUUGUAAUUAUUAUCAAAAUAAAGUUUCAAAGUGUUAAAAUCAUUAUUAUACAGUAAAAAUUGUAUUUUUAAUUAAAACAAUUACUUUUAAGGUAAAGAUUAUUAAACAUGGAGUUGAUGAUGAAUGACAGUAAUAAUAAUGAGAUGCAUAAAAAUUAAAAUUUUCUAUAGUAUAAAUUUAACUUUAAAAAAUAGAAUCUUAGAAUAAUUAUUAUAAUUGUAUUAAUAAAUAAAUACUCAAAAUUAUUAUUUUCUUAAAUAUGAGACCUUAGCCGACCACUUAAUUUGUCUAGUCCUAAAGCCACCAACAACACCAGUCAUGAUCAAUGUUCAUAGCUAGAGAAAUUCUCAAAUACAUUAGAGGCAGCAUGUCAGCCAUACAAUAAGCAAAUUAUGUUAUGUUAUGUGUGCAUUUAUUUUGAAAAACUAUCAUGCAAGUGGUGGAUAUAUUUAAUUCAAUUACACAUGUCAUGCAUGCAUCAAUUAGUUGUAAUACAUCAUAAGUAUUUUAGAAUUUCUCCAAUACCAAUCGUGGCAGGCAGCACAAUCAACUGUAGAUCUAGCGACAAUUAAUGCUUAAGCCAUGCACUGGUUCGACUUGCCUUAUUUCUACAAUCAAGUCCCUAGUGAUGUAAUAGCUAUGUGGUGCUACACUGCUUAAAUUAGUGGACAACAAGUACAUGACAGUUAAUUUUCCGUUUGAGCCUGCGGAUGAAGCGGAUAAUACAGGGCCAUUUGCUCAAUUUGUUAUAGAGAAAAUGAUGGAUUUAGGGAGUUAUUUUACAAGAUUUGGACCCAAUACUAAGUUGAUCUUGUGCUCAAAUCUUCAUAAUUUGUUGUUAGAUGUAUGUGUAUAGUAAUAUAUGGUUAAGAUUUAAUUAAUUUUAUAUUCUUAUCCAAAAACUACCAAUUGUAUUCUUCCAAAAAGUUAAUAAAAAAUUUAACUUAACACUGAAUCUAAAUCCUAUUUUACAUAUUUAAAGUUAGGGUUGGCGUAUCAUACUGCUAAGGAUAAGGGUGUUGAGCUUUUUACUUAAACUAUGAUAGAGAAUUUUAAACGUGCUUGGAAUGAAGAUGCGCAGAGCCAAAAGAUCGUUUGGCUUCCGAUUUACUUGAGGAAUAGUAAAGGGGGUGAUUAGUGUUAAAAAUUAUAUGUUUAGUAAGGGAUAAAAAUUUUAUUUUGUGCUUAUAAUAUAAUUUACAUUUGUAAUUAUGUAACAUAUUAUGAAUUUCUAAUUAUUUUUCUAAAUAUUUGAUUUUUUUGUGUUUUUAGGUAAAAACAAUAAUUUUACGCAAUUUGAGGCUUCAAACAAAUGUACAGAUGUUAAAUUUGGAUUCUAAAAGUCCGAGAAAUUAGGUAUUUGUCAAGGAGGAUUUGCGGCUUUUGUUGUAAAUUUAUAAUUUUUUACCAUAGUAAAUAAGGUAAUUGUGAAAUUAUAAGUUUUUAAUAUGUUAGGUGCUGUAAUUGUUAGUGGAAUGUGUUGGAUGUGAUUGAGUGGAUUAAGUUAGGUUUAUGUUUUGUUAGUGGGACAAAUGUAUGACUAAGAUGCAAUUAGCUUUAUUUAUUUGUGUGGUGUGAAUUAAUCAUAUAUUAGUGUAAAUAGAGCGGGGUAACACACCUCUCCACACAUUUUCUUCUCUUUUUUCCCCUCAAUUGCUUCUUCUCAUCUCUCUUUGUAAUAUAUUUUUAAUAAAUAAAAUUAGUUUUAUUUCCUAUUUUCAAAUACCAUUUUUUUAAUUAUGUAUUUUUCAAUUUUAAUAAUUCCAUUUAUUUCAAAUAUGUUUAGCUAAAUACUAAUAGUUAGGGUAAGUGAAACUCUUAGUAGAAAAAUAUGAUUUAAUUAAAUUUUAUUUUUAAUUAUAUAAAUUAAAUUAUUUUCUAUUUAAUUUUAUCCAUAUUUUAUAUUUUUAUAUUUUGAUUUAUUGUAGACAAACGUGAGAGUUUAGCAUAAUGAAUUCUUAAUAUCUUAGUAUAAAGUAUGGUAAAAUGAUAUUUUGACUUAUUGUAGACAAAUUAAGUUUUGGCACAGUAAGUACUUAAUCCAUAAUAAAAUUAAUGGGAUAAUAAUUGUAAUUUAUACAAUUAAUAUUUUGAGCAAUAAAAUAAUUUUUUUAUUAAAUUAUAUUUAUUACUAAAAGUGGAUCCAUAACCCUAACUAAUUUAAUUUAAUAGUUUUCACAAAUUAAAUUGCAUAUAUUUAAAUUUUAUUUUCAUUCUUUAGAUAAACUUAAAUAAACAAAUUAAAUCUUUUUUUGUGGAUCGACCUUGGACCCACCGAGUUAUAGUAUAACUAGGCACUCUUAUACUUAGAAGUAAAUUAAACACUUUUAAGUUGUGCCAGUGGGAAAUGAUAUUAUUAUUUAAUUGAAGAUUGUAAAAUGGAAUAAAGAUUGAAGGGUCAAUAUUAUAUGAUUUGGAUUAUUAAUUUUAUUAAUAUUUUUUUCUCUCUUCCCUUUGAUAUUUAAUUUUCUUAAUUUUUACUAAGAUUUGGAGAAAUAAUCAUGUAGACCUCUAUAUUUUCAAUAAAGGACACCAAGACCCUCUUUUGAUAAAAUACCUUUUGGUUCUAUUAACUCAAAAAUUUAACUCCAAAUAAAUACAAUUAUAAUAUUAAAAUAAAUAUAACAAUAUAUAUUUUAAUACUUUGCAAUCCUAUAUUAAACUAAAUUUAUUUUAAAUAGAAAAAUAAUAUUAAAAUAACUAAAUAAAAAUUUAAAUUAAAUUCAAUAUUAUAUAAAAUAAUUUUAAUGUUAUUAAUACAUGAGAUAUGUUUUAUUAAUUGUAAAAUCUAUUUAACCCAAAUAUUUAUUUAAAAUAUUUAUAAUAAAUAUAUUAUUACAAUAAAUAUAAUAAUUUACAUUUUAAAAAUAUUUUAUAUAUUAAAAGUAUUCUAAUUUUAUUAGUCUACUAGACAAAUUAAAUUGUUUAAAUAAUAUUUAUAUUAAUUAAAAAAUUUAAAGUUAAUUUCUUUAGUUACAAUCUACUAAGGAUAUUAUAGUCAAAAGGGGCCUUGGUGUCCCUUAUUGAAACCUUUGGGUCUACAUGAUUAUUUCCCUAAACUUGGUGGGUGUAGGUGCCUUUUCUCUUUCUACUUUUCUUUUUUCUCUCUCUUAUAAAUCUAUAAAUGGAAACAUUAUAGAUCAUGAUUUCUUGUGAGACGCUGGGAGUUACUGGUAACUAAAGGCUUGCAAGUGGGGAGACUAAGAGAUCUAUCUUAUGAACAACUAGAUUUAUAUAUUUUAAUAAAUUCAUAAUAAUCCCCUUGGAUGUUCAUUACAAAAGAAAAUGCCUCAUUAAGACCUUUACUUAACAAAAAAAAAAAAAAACCGUCAUAGGAAACAAAUAUUAGUAAAGGAAAAAAAGUACGUCAUUUGUUGAUGUCUUGACAUAUAUGAUUCUUGAAGAUAUGAAGUUAUCUCAUUAAAAUCUUACUAGGAAAAAUGCUAUUGGAUAAAAACGGAUGGAGCUACUUAAACCAACCAAACUACUUAUUAAACUCUCUUUUAAAAAUAAUUUUAUGAUUAAAAUAUCACUAAAUUAAAUUACAAUUAUGCACAUUAAAAUAUAGUAAAAAAUAAUUUUUUUUUUACUCUUUGAACCUAUCUUUACAUUCAAUACAGUUUUGCUAAACCCCAAAUAUAUUUUCAUUAAACUUUAAUAGACUAGAGACAAUAUUCUUCUUUCAAGCCACAUAUUUUUGUUAAGUGGGCAUAUGUGAUUGGAUUCAGGGUAAUAAAGUUGGUGGUUAUCUCUUUGUUUGCAUUUGGCAAUGGGCAACAAUCAAGGACAAUUGUUGUUGACGGCAACAAUUCUUAUAAUUUGAUGGAUAUUGACUUUGUGGAGGAACAAUACAAUAUUAACAAUAAUUUGAAUCACGAACAGUAUGAAAUUCUUUAAUUCAUAUUUGAUUUUUGGGAUUUUUUUUUUCUAUUCGAAAUUGAUAGAGAGGUUUUCCAAAUGUAGCCUAUAGUUUUAGUAACCAUAUUCGAAAUGUAACUUGUAGUUUCAAUAACCAUAUUCUAUUAUAUGCAAGAUAUGUUUCCAUCAGAUCUAUCAAUUCUGAUACAGAUUCUGUGAUGGAUUAUAACAGUGAAUUUACAACUUAUGAGGUAACUUUAGAUUAUAAUCAACCUUGCAUUAAUGUUUAUGGAAUUUUAUUUAACAUCCAUGACAUUUUUGCCUAUCUAGACAUUCAAGAGUAGAGAACCAAUAAUUUAGUGAACUUGUGAUGUUAGAAAGAAAAAUGGUAUAAUGGUUGUCAUCAAGAGAUCUAAAAUUGGUCACAGUGGUAAAAGAUCAAGGAUCUUAUUUGGUUGUGACACAGGUGAAAAGUAUAAAAAUAAAUAAAUAAGAAGAAAGACAACAAAAAAGAUUCAAAAUAGAGAAUAACUGGUACAAAAGAUACGGAUGUCCUUUAAAAGUUAAACAUUUAUAACAAUUGGAUACUAAAUAUAGUGCGUUGAGUGCAUAAUUAUCCAAUUUUAAAAAUCUUGAACGUUACUCAUUUGCAGGGAGAUUAAUUGUAGAAAAAAGACCAAUAUUAGUUGACAUGUCAAAAAAUAUAGUAUAACUAAAAGAUAUUUUAGUCACUUAAAAAAAAGAUGUUUUUAAUGUUUCUACAAUGAAGUCAACAGAAAAUGUACUAUAAAGAUAUAAAGUGAUUGAGAUGGCUGGCAGAUCACAAAUGCGGCAACUUUUAAAUAAGUUAUCUGAAUUUAAUUACAUCAAGUGGGAUAGGUGUUAUGACAACAUAGACAUUGCAAAAGACCUAUUUUAGGCGCACCUAAGAGCAUGGAGUUGUUACACACAUUUCCUAGUGUUCUAUUGAUGGACUGUACUUACAAACUCAAUAAAUAUUAUCUUCAUUUUUUUUGAGAUUUUAUAGGAAUGGCAUCAACUGACAUGACUUUUAAUGUUGCUUAUACAUAUAUGAGUUCUGAGCGGGAAUAAAGCUACACAUAGGCUAGACAGAUUAAGGAGUUUAAUGGACAAUGAUUUUUUAUCUAAGGUCAUUCUCACUGACAGAAAGUUGGCUUUAAUGAAUGCCAUUGAGAAAAUUUUUCCUAAUGCAAAGCAUUUUUUAUGUAGAUGGCAUAUUGGUAUUGAUGUCAUAGCAAACUGCAAAAAGUUAUUUGCAGCAAAUGAUAAGUGGGAGAAGUUCAUAAUGAGUUGGAACUUAUUGGUAUUAUCUUUAAAUGAAAUUGAAUUCAUUGACCACUAUAAAACCAUGCACAAAUAUUUUGCAUAUCUUUUUGGAAGUGAUGCAAUAUGUAACAGAUACAUGGUUGAACAACUAUAAAGAAAGAUUUGUUUUAGUGUAGACUAGGAAUGACAAUGAAGAGGGGUGGGGGUGGGGAGCCAUACCCCAUUCCCUCCCUCCCCCAUUAAAAAUUUUGCCUCCAUUUCCCACCCCGCCCUUUAAUAAAUUUAGUGGGGCAGGGAUAAGAAAUUCACAUAUGGGGAGUGAUUUCUCCAUCCCUACCCCAUUUCUCAUUUGUUUAUUUUAUAGCAAGUAUAGAUAAAUAUCGAAUUUUCUUUUAGUUAUAACCUAUUUAUAUUAGGUAGAAAUAAAAAGAAAAUUUAUUAACUAACAUUAUAAUUGAUAAAACAAGAAUUAUUGAAUAAAAAUUAAAAAAAUUAUAUAUAAUAAGGAUUGGGGUAGGGGUGGUGUGGGAAGUACAAAAUCAAAUCUCACCCUAUUAAUAAUUUGAGAUUAUUUUUCCCCAAUUCCUUAUCCCAUUCCCUAAAAAUUAUUCAAAAUUUACCCCAUUUGGGGUGGGGCCUCAUGGGGCUCUAAACCCAUAGAAGAUUUUGCCGUCCCUAGCGUUGACAGCUAAAAGUAUGAUCUUUGGAAACUAGACAACAUAUAUAUAUAUAUAUAUAUAAUUUUAAUUUUACCAUUAACUUACUCAUCUAAUUUAUUCAUAUAUUAUCAUCAUCAUUAUCAUCUUUUUAAUAGGGUUAAAAGUGCACAAUCAAGGUUGAAGAAGUAUCUUUCCAUCAUUAAAGGAAAUUUUAAGACAUUAUGGGCAAAGAUACACAAUUUACUUGAGCUAUAGUACACAUAUAUUAAAGCAUCAUUUGAGAAAAUUUUGACAAUUGUGCAACAUCUAUUCAUGCCUAUGGAAUUCAAACAUAUCGAGGCUUCAUAUAUGUAAAUGCAUUAAGUAUAAUCCUUAGUGACCUGAAACGUGUUAAUUUAUAUUAGGGUUGACCACUCUGUAUGCAGGUUUGUUGUUUGCCAAAUGUAUAGUUUACCAUGUGCUCAUGAGGUUGCAGAAUACAAAAGAAAAUCACAGCUUAUUCUGCUUGAGGGAAUUAAUCUUCAUUGGAAAAAAAACUGAUUUAGUAGUUGUUACUUAGAAGCAAAAGAUGGAGUUAAGUUGUCAGCCAAAGUUUGCGUUAAUUUCUAAGCAGUUUAAUGAGAGUUCUAUUUAAAUCCAGUUAGAAUCCUAGGAGUAUCUUUCUUUUAGAUCCAAAAGUGAAGACAAGAAUACGAGGUCGACCAUCUAUCAAAGUUGAUACUUCUACCUAUCAUGACCCAUUUGCUUUUACGUUAGUAUCAUAUGGGCAAGAAAUUUGUUCAUUUACUGUGAAGAGUAAUUCAGUUCCAUUUGUUAAAUCAAAAGAUGAGGUUGAACAUAGAAAGAGACUAAAAACAAAGGCAAUACAAAUUUCCACUUAAGUUACUUAGUAAGUCAUUUAAUUUAAUUUUUUUAUUAUGUAUAAUACUUAUAUUUGGACGUUAACAAAAGUAUGUUAGUCAAAUCAACUACGUUCUUAAGUUAUUUUUGGAAGUAAGUGAUGUUUUUAAAAUUACUGGAGCAACACAGGAUACUUUAAGACUAAGGCUUUUUCCUUACUCCUUAAGAGAUUGAGCUAAACUAUGGUUAAACUCAUUACCAUCUAAUUCCAUCACUACAUGGAAUGACUUGGCUGACAAAUUCUUAAUGAAAUAUGUUCCACCAAUCAAGAAUGCAAAAUUGCAGAAUGAGAUCACUUCCUUUCACCAACUUGAAGAUGAGAGUUUGUAUGAGGCUUGUGAGAGAUUUAAAGAGUUGCUCAGAAGGUGUCCUCUUCAUGGCAUUCCUUGCUGUAUACAGCUAGAAACCUUUUAUAAUAGGUUAAAUCCAAGUAUGAGAUUGAUGGUUGAUAGUUCAGCAAAUGGAGCUCUGUUAUCUAAAUCUUACACUGAAGCCUAUGAAAUUUUAGAGAGAAUUGCCAAUAAUAAUUAUCAGUGGCCAUCAACUAGACAGACAACAGCAAGAAGAGCAGCGAGGGUACAUAAUAUAGAUGCAAUUACAACAUUAUCAGCACAAGUAACUUACUUGACUAACAUAGUGAAAGCCAUGACUUCUGCUCCUACAGCGGUAAAGCAAGUUGCUGAACUGUCUUGCGUGUAUUGUAGUGAGGAACAUGUAUUUGACAACUGUCUAGGAAAUCCAGCAUCAGUAAGCUAUGUGGGCAAUUUCAACCGACAGCCUCAAAACAACCCAUACUCAAAUACUUACAACCCUGGAUGGAAGCAACGCCCAAAUUUCUCAUGGAGCAAUCAAAAUCAAAAUGCUUCAACACUGAGUGGACAGAACAGAAAUACUCAACCACUUGGUUUUCAUCAGCAGAAUCAACGGCAAAAACACAUUAGCCAUGAUCCACUUACUUCACUGGAAACACUUAUCAAGGAAUACAUUGCGAAGAAUGAAGUAAUUGUGCAAAGUCAAAGUUGUAUCUCUAAGAAACUUGGAAAACCAAAUUCGACAGCUUGCCACAACAAUGAGUAGCAGAUCUCAGGGAAGUUUGCCAGCAAUACAGAAGAUCCAAGAAGAGAGGAAAAAGAACAUUGUAAAGUAAUCAACCUAAGAUCUAGAAAGAAUGUUGAUAUCCCUAUUGAUGUGACUAAAAAAAAGUUGGAACUUAACUCCUAAUAAGAACCACCUCAAGAUGAGAGCAUGUUACAACAACCCAGCCAUCAAGAUAUUGGUGCUAAUGGUCAAGCUACAACAACUUUGGAAGGGAAUCAACCAAUAAAUGCUGAAGAAGAAGUUGCAACACCAAUGGUGAACACUUACAAUAAAUCAAAUGAGCAGAGAUUGGUACCUCCUGAAGUUGCCCAGCAAUUUAAGCAUCCACCCCCUUUCCCACAGAGAUUCCAUAAAUAAAAACAAGACAAACAGUUUAGCAAAUUACUGGAAGUACUGAAGCAGUUACACAUCAACAUACCUUUCGUGGAAGCAUUGGAGUAAAUGCCUAAUUAUGUGAAAUUUCUAAAAGAUAUCUUGGCAAGAAAAAAAGGUUGAAAGAAUUUAAAACGUUGUUGUAACACAGGAAUGCAGUCACAUGCUUCAAAGUAAGAUCCCUAAAAAAUUAAAGGAUCUAGGAAGCUUCACAAUACCAUGUUCCAUUGGAACUAGGUACAAAGUCAAAGCACUUUAUGACUUGGGAGCCAGCACUAAGCUGGUGCCAUUAUCUGUAUUUAAGGAAUUGAGAGUAGGAGAGUUCAGGGCAACAACAGUCACUCUACAAUUAGCUGACAGAUCUCAUGCAUACCCUGAAGGAAAGAUUGAGGAUGUAUUGGUGAAGGUUGACAAAUUCAUCUUUCCUGUGGAUUUCAUUGUACUAGACUUUGAGGCUGAUAAAGAGGUACCAAUUAUACUUGGGAGACUUUUCCUAGCAACCGAGAAGACUCUGAUAGAUGUGCAAAAAUGAGGGUAAAUGACCAACAAGUCACCUUCAAUGUAUUAGAAGCCAUGAAUAACCCUGAUAAGGCAGAAGAUUGUAAUUUCCUGAGUGUUGUGGAUCUUGCUGUAGCAGACAGAAUAAAUAGAUGCUGCAGUAACGCGGUUAAUGAAGCUGCAACCUUUGAAAGCUUUGAAGAAGAAGAUGUUGCAGCAAAUUAGAUAGAUUGGAUGGGAGAAAGGCAAUCUAACAGACAUAGCAGAUUUAUUGAACCUUUAAAUCUUUCAGACAUGGAAGUAAAGACAACUUUACCAUCUAUUGAAUCACCUCAUACUCUUGAAUUAAAAUUGUUACCUUCACAUUUGAAAUAUGCUUAUCUUGGUCAAAACAAUACACUUCCUGUAAUCAUUUUAUCUACUUUGGAUGCAGAUCAAGAAAGGAGCUUGAUAGAUGUGCUUGAGAGAUACAGAAAAGCAAUUGGAUGGACUAUGGCAGACAUUAAAGGGAUCAACCCAUCCAUAUGCAUGCAUAAAAUUCUAUUAGAGGACUACUGCAAUAAUUCAGUAGAGCAACAGAGAAGGUUAAAUCUCAUUACGAAGGAAGUUGUGAAAAAAAAAUUUAUCAAAUGACUGGAUGCUGGGAUCAUAUACCCGAUAUCAGACAGUUCAUGGGUAAGCCCAGUUCAAUUUAUUCCAAAGAAGUGAGGAAUAACAGUGAUAGCAAAUAAAAAGAAUGAACUUAUUCCCACAAGAACAGUGACUGGAUGGAGGGUAUGUAUGGAUUACAAGAAGCUCAACAAAGCCAUACGGAAGGAUUACUUCCCACUUUUAUUUAUAGAUCAAAUGUUGGAUAGACUUGCUGGAAAACAAUAUUAUUGUUUCCUAGAUGGGUAUUCAAGCUACAACCAAAUUGUUAUAGCCCUAGAGGAUCAGGAAAAGACUACAUUUACAUGUCCUUAUAGAACUUUUGCCUUCAGAAUGAUGCCCUUUAGUUUAUACAAUGCUCCAGCAACUUUUUAGAGAUGUAUGAUGUCUAUUUUUUCGGAUAUGGUGGGGCAAACAUUGGAAGUCUUCAUGGAUGAUUUCUUAGUCUUCAGAGAGACAUAUAUUGAUUGUUUACACAACUUGGAAGAAGUUCUUAAAAGAUGUGAGGUGACUAACUUAGUACUCAAUUGGGAAAAAUGUCACUUCAUGGUGCAAGAAGGCAUAAUGUUGGGUCAUAAGGUGUCUAAGAGUAGCAUAGUGGUAGAUAAAGUGAAAAUAGAAGUGAUCGAUAAAUUGCCACCUCCCACUUCAAUAAAGGGGAUUAGAAGUUUUUUGGGUCAUGCUGGAUUUUAUAAAAGAUUCAUAAAAUAAUUUUCCAAAAUAGCUAAACCAUUAUGCUCAUUGCUAGAACAUGACAAGCUUUUUCAUUUUAAUAAAGACUGUCUUCAAGCCUUUGGAGAAUUGAAGAAAUCUUUGAUCGCUGCACCGGUGGUUAUAGCACCAGAUUGGACUCUACCAUUUGAGCUGAUGCGUGAUGCCAGUGACCAUUCUGUUGGGGUAGUGUUGGGGCAGAGGAAGAAUAAAGUUUUCCACUCUAUAUAUACUACGCCAACAAACCUCUUACUCAAGCUCAGAUAAAUUACACCACUACAGAGAAAGAGUUGCUAGCAAUAGUAUUUAUUUUCGAUAAGUUUAAAGCUUACUUGGUGGGUACUAAAGUGACAGUGUACAUAGAUCAUGCAGCCAUUAAGCACCUGAUCUCAAAAAAGGAUGCUAAACCGAGAUUAAUAAGAUGGAUCUUAUUACUUCAUGAGUUUGAUUUGGAAAUUAAAGAUAAAAAAGGGACUGAAAAUCAAGUAGCAGACCAUCUGUCUAGGCUAGAAGCAGACGCAAGCACAUUGAUAAAGAAAGACAUCACUGAAACUUUUCCUAAUGAACAACUGUUAGUAAUACAACAGGCAUAGAUGCUGCAGCAAUCCAAAUCUCCAAGGUAUGCAAAUUUUACUAACUACUUAGUAAGUUGAUUGCUACCACCCGAGUUGAAGUUUCAGUAGAAAAAGAAAUUUCUUCAUGAUGUGAGAAGUUACUAGUGGGAUGAGCCAUAUUUGUAUAAGUUAUGCUCAGAUCAAGUAAUACGAAGAUGUGCUUCAGAAGAAGAAAUUCCUUUUAUACUGGAAUCUUGCCAUGUUGUAGCAUAUGGAAGACAUUUUGGUGGUCACAGAACAGGUGCUAAGGUUCUGCAAUCAGGUUAUUACUGGCCUUCUAUUUUUAAAGAUGCUUAUGAGUUUGCUAAAUAUUGUGACAGGUUUCAAAGGACAGGAAACAUAACUCAAAGACAUGAAAUGCCAUUGACGAACAUUCUGGAAGUGGAGAUUUUCGAUGUAUGGGGAAUAAACUUCAUGGGUCCUUUUCCACCAUCCUUUGGGAACUUAUAUAUCCUGGUUGCUGUGGAUUAUGACUCCAAAUGGGUAGAAGCUGUAGCAUUACCUAUUAAUGAUGCUAGAGCAGUAGUGAACUUCCUUCAGAAAAGAAUCUUUUUCAGGUUUGGCACUCCACGAGCAAUUAUUAGUGAUGAGAGUACUCAUUUCUGCAACAAAGUAUUUGCUGCAGCUAUGGUGAAACAUGAAGUCGAGCAUAAAAUAGCAAUAGCAUAUCACCCACAAUCCAAUGGCCAGGCAGAAGUGUCUAAUAGGGAGAUUAAGAAGAUCCUUGAAAAAGUGGUGAAUCCAUCAAGAAAUGAUUGGUUAUUGGGCUUACAGAAUAGCAUACAAGACACCACUAGACAUGUCUCCCAACUGAAUUGUAUAUGGGAAAGCUUGCCACUUGCCACUCGAGCUAGAGCACAAAGCAAACUGGGCACUGAAGCAAUUAAAUUGGGAUAUACAUGCUGCAGCAGAGCAAAGAAAACUUCAACUAUGUGAGCUUGAUGAAUUACCGUUAUUCUCAUAUGAAAAUGCAAGAAUCUAUAAAGAGAGAACAAAACACUAGCAUGACAAACACAUUCAACACAAGAAAUUAAUCCAUAGUCAAUAAGUUCUGCUCCAUAAUACGAGGUUAAGACUAUUUUCAAGAAAGCUGAAAUCUAGAUGGUAUGAACCUUUCAAGCUGCUCAGAAUCUACCCUCAUGGAGCUGUUGAUCUCUUAGAUGAAAAGACAUACCAGGAAUUCAAAGUUAAUGGGUACAGAGUUAAGCAUUACAUGCAUUCAGCUACAUAUUGUUCAAAGGAGGUCUUACUCCUUAGAGAACUGGAAUUAUGAGCACUCAAGUAAGGUCAGGCUAAAGAACCUUAAAUCAAGCGCUCGAUGGGAGGCAACCCAUUGCUGAGGCAGUCGUUUCUAAUGAGAUGGAUCCUCCAUGGCUUUGUCAUAGAAUUUUUUUCUUUAUUUAUUUAUUAUUAUCUUUAUUUAGAAUGGUUUAACUUUUAUCUUUUCUUGUUUUGUUUUUUUCUUGUUACUCUAAAAAAAAAAAGUGCCAAGUCACACUUAUUAAAGUUAGAUUCAAUACUAACAAUUGGGGCUGUAAUGUUAACAGAUUACAGAGGCAAGCCACGUGUUAGCAGCUAUUUACGGAGAGUGUGUAACCGUUGCUAGAGCACACAAUUGGGUGCUGCAGCAACCAAUAUUACCGUUACAGUAACUUAAUCAAGGAGCCUCCCACUUUACCGUUGGAGAUAAUAUGUGAUAGAUGGUUGGGUUUUGGAUAGAAAUUGAGGAAGAAUAUCCCUUAAAUUACUACAUUAAUUUCUCUUGCCUAUUUUUAUGGGAUAUGCUUAAUAAAUUUAAAAAAUUAUUCCCUAAUUUAUCUCUUUUACUGAAUUUGUUUUCAUUUAAUUCCACCUAUAUAAGGGCGUCACUGUGCAUAUUGACCUCUAACACUAUUUUCUUUCCCCUUCGCAGUUCCGACUCUAAUACUUCAUAACUUUUUCUUCUCGUUUCACUUUUGGCAUAUUACCAUCGAAAUCUUACUGUUAUAGGAAUGUCGAGGUACAAAAGGACAACUAGCCAACUAAAAGAUCCCUACGAUUCCAAAGUUACCAUGCGGAAGAAAACUAUGAAGAAUUUAUUGAACUGCACAAGAUUAUGAAAGAAAAAGGGUUUUAGUUCCCAACUCAACCCUUAGGAAUUAUGCAAUCAUUAUACAAUGCUACAGCAAAGCGCUGGUGGUUGGAGUUUUGUAACCACCCUCGAGGCCCUGUGUUGCCAUUGGUGAAAGAAUUUUACGCCAAUUUGGUAAGCUCUGGUCAGCACAAUAUUUAGGUAAGAAACUCGCUUAUUCCAUUAGAUUCUCGAGUUAUAAAUGCUUUCUAUAAUUUACUUUCUGAAGUUAAUUGCGAGUAUGCCAAAUUGCUUGACAAAUUAACCCCACAAAGAUGGAACAAAAUUUUGACAACACUUACUGUAAAAGGUGCAUCUUGGGCUAAUGAAGAAGGGCGUGUGAUUAAUAGGAUAGAUUUGACACCCAUUGCUAAGGUGUGGGUGAAAUUUCUAAAAUUCAGACUUAUGCCAACCACCCACACCACUACUGUUUCACAAGAAAGGUUAGUAUUGUUGUAUGUUAUUGUUAGAGGGUUACCCAUAGAUAUGGGAAGCAUUAUCGAAAAAGAAAUUCGGGACUGUGCCAUGAAAAAUCACAAAGCAGCUGCCAUACUAUUUCCUUCACUCAUCACCAGCAUCUGUGUGGUAUCAAGAGUUCGCCUUGAUACAAAAGAUGAGCAUGUCAAGAAUAAUGGUGCCCUCACUGCACGCACUAUCGAAAGAAUUGAUGGUGAAGUUACUGGAGCCCCAUCUGAACCAGCUGUUGUAACAGGGGCAAGAAUAGUUAUUGGGUUAGAACAGAGAAUCUAAGCACUGAGCACCAGCAUCACCCAAUGUGCUGAAGCUCAGCAGAGGGAAAACAAUAGGUUUUGGAGCUAUUUGUAGCAUUUGGAAAACCACCUACACCAAUUUGCUGUAUAUAUGAAACGUGCCCACCGAAAUUUUCCUGAUUCAUUACUCCAACAAUACAAUUUUGAAACCGCCACUACAGAGGCUCCAACAGAAGUCAGUGAAGAAGCUACUGACACAGAUGAACCAGAGGAAGAAGCUACAGUAGAAUCGCAAGCAGAGGUCGAAACAGAUGCUGAUGAUCAAUCUGACCAACUCGAAGAAGAGGGUGUCAAAUCUGCAACUGAUAGUUCCCUGACAGAGGAAAAUGAAGAGCCUGAGAAAGAGCUCGAGGAACCCCUAGCCAAGACCUCCUCUAAAUCCAGAAAAAAGCAUAUCAUACAAGAAGAGGACGAUGAACCAAUAGAAGAGCCUCUUAUUCCAGUCAUUUCUAGAAAUGGUAAAAAGAAAGUAAUCACCCCUCCUGCCUUUGAUGAUGAAGCCGAGCAAAUUGAUGCAGAGCUGGAAGCUGCAGCAGCUAGAGUUACUCGUACACCCGCAGAGAUAAAGCAACUGCUUGAUAUCAUUGCCGCAAUUAUAGAUGAGGGAUAUGCAGCCGAAGCCCCAGCUCCAGCUCCUUCACAGCAAACUCCCAACAAAAAAAAAUGGGGCACUUCUGGAGGCGUUGCUGCAGCAGACAUACUAGAAAAAAAAAGGACCAGAUCUAUUUCAUCCAGGCAGACUGCACCAACUACAACUCCUCCCACUAGCCCGUUAUAGAAAAAGAAAUAGAUGUUGCCAGCUACCGCACCGCAAGCAUCCCCUAAAGAAUGGCUGCGGAGCGCAUAAAAAAAGCGCUGAAGUCACUGUACCUUGCUGUAGCAUUACCCCAGCAACAGGGGAGUACCCCCUACCUGCUAGUUUCCUUUAAUUUUUUUUCUUUUCUUCUAAAAAACUUGUCUUGCAUCUAGUUUUAAAUUUCUGAUUCAUUUUGCAUGUCCUUUUUAUUGUAAGCAUGUCUAGUUUAUAUGGUUUUCUCUUGUGUGUUUGUGAGGACACAACACCUCUCAAGUUUGGGGGGGUUGUGUUUCUAAUUACAUGUGUUUAUGCCUGUGUUGUGUGUUGUGUGAGCUCUGUUAUCUAAUAUUUGUGUAUGGAUUUGAAGACCUAAUGAAGAUAAAUUGAGUGUUCAUGAGAGUGCCAAGCAGAGAUAGCUAUAGAUGGAGGUUGAAAUUCUAUCCUGACACUUAGACUUUGGUUGAGUUUUAUGAGAAUGUUGUAGCAAAGCCAAGAAAACAAAAAGGAGUAGGAAAUAUCUCAAGUUUGAGGGAAAAUUUUAGUUGAAUUGUACUCAUUAUUAAAAUAAAUUUGGCUCCAAUGGCUCAAGUUGCUGAGUAACCAGGCCUGAGUAUGUACCCCAUAUGCAGACUUGAGUCCAAAGGCAACAAAAGUUAUGAGCAUUGCUGUAGCAUCUAUGGCGUAAAAAAAAAUCCUUUGUCUAGGAUAUUGAGUAGUCAAGUCUGUUCAUGAGCCUCAUGUUCAGCCUUGAGUUAAAAGAUAUCUUUAGAUAAGACUAUGCUAUGAGUAUUGCUACAGCAACUCUGAUCUGUGCAUUGAUUGAGUAAUUAGGUGUCAUCAUUACAAGUGAUCGACAUUCACAUGAAAAAUAAAUGUUGCAGUGACGAGGGUUAGGUGUUCUUAAAAAAAUAUUUUUUUUUGUUUUGUUAUAGCACAGUUUGAGUAUAUGUAUGAUUUCUGCUCCCCCAUAUGUGAAUAUAUUUGUGUUCUACCUCUGAAUUAUAUGCAAUGUCUUUGUAAUGUUGUAGCACCUCUAAAACUUGAUCAAAGUGGCACACACACACUCUGGACCGAAUGAGGCCUAAGUCUAAAACUUGAACUGCUGUGGCAAUUUUAUAUGAUUAAGAAUGUGAUCUAAGGGUAGACGAAUCCUUGCAAAAUUCAUGACAGAGCUAAGUUAUUUGUUGCAUGAUUGUGUAAUUGAAGAGUGAGUGUUGUUGUCAUUACUUGAGGACAAGUAAUGGUUUAAGUUUGGGGGUGUGAUAACUCUAUGAAAUGAGAGUUAUCAUGGCACUUUUAGACUUAAAUCAAUAAUACUUAGAGAGUAAAUGAUAUGUUUUCAUUGUGGUUUUGUUAUAUUUCGCAUAAACAUUCAUUUCAAUUUAGUUUUAGUAAAUUUUGCUUGAUUUAGAGUAAUUUGUGCUCAAAUUGUGUGCUUAAUUGUAGGUGUCCAGAAGCUUAUUUUUCAUGGAAGGAAUGUUGUUGCAAUAGCUCACAAAAAUGAGGAAGAACAUGACUACAUAAGAAUUGAAACAAAAAUUGGAACAAUGUGGUGCUGUAGCCGUUGUUGGAGCAGUCAUUGCUGUAGCAAUCCUGGAACAAUGAUAGAGAAAAUUUAGCGCGGGAUAUAUGCAGAAUCAAUAUCUGUAGUUUCCUAAUCUGGCUUAUGCGUGCCCUAGUUUUCCGUUUUACCCUAGUUUUUCAGAUAUAAAAAGGGCACGCAUCAUAUGAAAAAAGGUGGCGAAUUAACAUUGGAGAAAUCAAAGGGAAAAGGAGAACAAAAUCUAAAUUCACGGGAAAGCAAGUUUGCACCAGUGAAGAUAAACCAGUAGAACUAUUGUGGAUUCAAUUUUCAUCGUUCUUUUCUUGUUCUUUUACUUACUCUUUGAUUGAAUCGAUGUAUUUCAUGGCUGAUAUUUUGUUAUUUGUUUUACUUUUUCAAAGUAUGAACAAAACUUGAUUGUAGUUGAGUGACAAACAAUCUAAAUGGGUUUUUGACUGUUCUUAUGAGUUGUUGUAUGAUUUCUGUAGCAUUUUACUCUAAUAGCUAUUAUUAUAAUCGUUAUUUCGGUUGACCACCCAUUUAAUGAUUCAAGUUAAGAUAGAGCCGCAAAAGGGCUUGUCUUAGUGGAAAUUAUUAGAGUAAUACUUGAUCUUAAUUUAAGUUUCCUGGACUAAGUUUACUUAAGUCCCAAAAGGGCUAUAUUUGAGUUCAGAUUUGUGAAGACCUAGACAUAGGAAUUCACCUUGUAGGGUAAAGAGAAUGUAUGCUCAUAAUGCCAUACCGUAUGUGCAUUAACAACUAGUCAUUGUUAAGGUGCUUAAGGGUAUGAGAAAUCUGACAAAUGACAACUGAGGAUGCAAAAUAAUUCUGCCCAGUGCUGUAGGAAUUGUUGUAGCAACUGGUGUUAAUUUAGACAAAACAGUCAUCCUUGAAGAGAGUUUGAUCAUUCAGCUACCUCAUUCUCAUUGAAUUCUUCUUACGCAAUUCAUUUAAUUUUUUUUAUUACUGCAUUGAUUUGUUUUAUUUUUGUUUUUCUUUUAUUGUUUAUUUCGGUAAAAAUUCACUUUUAAUUAGAUCUUUUUUUAGAACAAAGGAAGUUUGGACUAUCGUGAUUGUUGUAGCCUUUCUAGUAACACCAAUCCCUAAGGAGACGAUCUCGAAUAUUCAUCACUUUAUUACUUGUUGUGUCCACUUACGCAUUGACAUUAAUAGCAAUUGAGUUUAUUUACCAACAUUGGGCAUUCAACUUCGGGACUUCUGGUGCGGUGGGAGAUUCAGCUUGCGGGUACGGGCCUUAUGACAGCGGCUCGGUGUCACUCAUGAGGCAACGAUUGGACAUCAAUUCAAGCGCAGGAGACUGGGUAUUCAGCAGCGGUAAGAGACUUGAGCAAUUGAAUUUUGGUGAAUUUCAAAUUCAGAUUUAGUUGGAUAUUGGUGAGUUUUAUGAAUUGUGAUUUGGGGAAAAUAAAGAUUCCUAAAUUAUUAUAUUUUUUUGUAUUUUUUUAUAAAUAUUAAUAAAAGUAAAUUUAUAAAUUAUAAUUUUUUUUUUUUUCAAAAAGCUUACCCUGGUUGCAGCCUUGGUUACCCUACCUUGAGCUUCGCCUCUGUUUUUCCCUUUUCUCAACCUCUCACUCCUAAGUAGCCUCUUCCACUGUAUAAUUCAUCCAACGAACCUUAACUAGUGGAAUGACUCAGGCUCUUAAGACUUGCUCCUUCUCAUCAACAAUCUCUAUUGGUUGUUCUUCGUAAGUCAUAUCAUUUGAUAUUUGGAUAGGUUAGUAAUCCAAAACGUGAAAAGGAUCAGUAAUGUACUUCCUUAAAACUAACACAUGAAACACAUUGUAAAGCCUUGAUAGGCUUGGAGAUAAGGCUAUUCGAUAAGCACCUGCACCAAUCUUCUUAAGAAUCUCAAAAGGCCCAAUAAACGGUGGGCUGAGUUUGCCUUUCUUCCCAAAUCGAAAAACAUCCUUCCACGGUUAGACUUUUAGGAAGACAUGGUUUCCGACCUGAAAUUCUAAAUCUCGUGUAUGCCGAUCAACAUAACUUUUCUCUCAGCUUUGAGCUGUACGGAGAUGUUAUCUGCUAAGCUUAAUCUUAUCCGCAAUAAUCUGAACCAACUUUGGCCCUAAUAACUUCCGCUCGCUAACUUCGUCCCAACAAAUGGGCAAUCUACACUUCCUCCAAAGGCAAGUGAUCUCCCCAUCUAUCUCCCAACUCCAGGACACAAGCUCGCAACAUGCCCUCAAGAGUAUGGAUAAUUCUUUCUAACUUACCAUCUGUCUGAGGAUGAAAAGUUGUACUGAAAUAUAACUUGGUACCAAAACUCUUAUGCAAGCUAGCCCAAAAAUUUACAGUAAAUCAUGGAUCUUUAUCUGAAACAAUAGACACCGGCACUCCAUGCAAUCUCACUAUCUCUUUAAUAAAUAGCUCUGCCAACUGCCAAAGUUUGCAAGUACAUUUAAUUGGUAAUAAGUGAUUUGACUUAGGCAAUCGAUCAACGAUAACCGAAAUAGAGUUUCUACCUUCUUCAGAGUGUGGUGAUCCACUUAUAAAAUCCAGUGUGAUAUGCUCCCACUUCCAUUUUAGAAUAGAAAGUGAUUGAAGAGUCCCUGCAGGUCUUUGGUGCUCAGUCUUCAUCUGCUGAUACACCAAACAUUUUGCUACGUAUCCAGCAACAUUAUUUUUCAUAUUCCUCCACUUGAAAUUUUUCUUCAAUUCUCGAUACAUCCUAGUUCUACCUGGAUAUGCACUAAAAGUUGUAUCAUGAGCCUCUCUUAUUAUCUCAUUCUUUAACUUCUCAUCAGUUGGUACACAAAGUUGUUGCCUCACCCAUAAAACACCAUCAUCAGCUACUCUAAACUCAUAGCGAUCACUUUUUACUUCUUCAACGAUCUUUCUGAGUUCAGGAUCUUCCUUUUGUGCUGUCUUGAUUCUGUCUAUCAAGGUAGGCUAAACACUCAAGUCAUAUAAAAUAUCCAUCUCACCAUGUGCAACCACUUUAAUCCUAAUCUUUCUGAGGUCCUCUAGCGUAUGGCCUUGAGUAGUAAUCAUAUGUGCCAACCCACCAGAUGAUUUCUUACUUAGAGCAUCGACCACUACAUUUACCUUAUCAGGAUGGUAAUCGAUCGAACAAUCAUAAUCCUUCACCAGUUUUAGCCAUCUUCUUUACCUCAAAUUCAAAUCCUUCUGGUGAACAAAUACUUCAAACUCUUGUGAUCCAUAUAGAUCUCACAAGUCUCAGCACAAAGGUAGUAUCUCCAGAUCUUCAAGACAAAAACUAUUGCUGUUAACUUUAGAUUAUAGGUUGGAUAAUUCUGUUCAUAAGUCUAAAUUGUGAUGAAGCAUAAGCAACCACUUUACCAUGUUGCAUCAGCACACAUCCCAACCAUUUUCUAAAAGCAUCACUGUAAAUAACAUAUCCACUACCACCAAAUGAAAUAGUCAAAACAGGUGCAAAGACCAAUCUAUUCUUCAACUCUUGAAAGCUCUUCUUGCAAUCCUCAUUCCAUUCAAACUUUACAUUCUUCCUAGUCAACUUCAUCAGAGGAAUUGCAAGAUUGGAGAACCCAUUCACAAAUCUCUGAUAGUAUCCAGCCAAGCCUAAAAAACUCAUAACUUCAGUAACGUUAGUCGAUCUUGGCCACUUUAUUGUGGCCUCAACCUUAGCUGGAUCAAUUGAUAUACCAUCCUUAGAAGCUACAUGCCCAAGGAAAAUAACAUGAUCUAGGCAAAAUUCACACUUCUUAAACUUUUGAUAAAGUUUCUUCUCUUGAAGUGUUUGAAAAACUACCCUCAAAUGGUCCUCAUGCUCUUCUAUAGUCUUAGAGUACAACAAAAUACCAUCAAUAAAUACAAUAACAAAUCAGUCAAGAUACGGUUGAAACACUUUAUUCAUCAAGUCCAUGAAGGCUGCUGGGGUUCGUUAACCCAAAAGGCAUUACCAGAAACUCAUAAUACCUAUAUCGAGUAUGAAAAGCAAUCUUAGGUAAAUCAUUUUUCACCUUAAACUACCAGUAACUAAUGCACAACCACUUAAAUCCAUCAUGCUUUUUUAUAAAAAAUACUAGAGCACCCCAAGGAAACACACUAGGGUGAAUAAAACAUUUAUCAAGAAGUUUUUGCAGUUGGAUUUUGAACUCUUUCAGUUCGAUUAGCGCCACCUGAUAGGGUGCUUUAGAAAUAGGUGCGGUGCCAGGCAAUAAAUCUAUUGAGAAUUCAAGUUCUCGAUUAGGAGGCAACCCAUGCAAAUUUUCUAGAAAAAUGUCUGGGAACUCUCUGACCACACGAAUGUCACAAAGUGAAACUUCACCACUGUCAUCAGCUACCACAUAACUAGGAAGCCCUUAUAUCCUUCGGUCAACAUCUUAUGAGCUUUUAGCAUAGAUAUCAACAAGCUGCUUCUAUUUUAUUUGCCUUGAAAAUAGAGCUUAGACUCUCCAAGAAUAGUAAGUACUUCCUCAAAAAAAUAAUGAACAUUAGCAUGAUAUGUUGCCAAACAAUUCAUCCCCAAAAUAACAUCAAAAUAUUGCAUUAGAAUUGGCAGUAGAUCAAUAAUGAAUUCUUUGUCAUGAAAACUGAUUGGGCAAGACUUAUAAACCCGAUUCACUAUCAUAUUAUCAUCCAUAAGAGUAGCAAUAGAUAGAUAACACGCAAGUGGCUCAGUAUUUCUAUCCGCAUGACAAGCAAAAGCACAUGAUACAAAAGAGUGUAUAGCACCAGAAUCAAAUAACAUUCUAGCAUCUUUAGAAAAUAAGGAUGGAGUACCUGUCACAACAUCAUUAGAUGGCUCAGUAUCCUGCUCUGUCAUCGCAAAUACACAACCUUAAACCCUGGGCUUCUUCCUCUAACUGUCAUCAUCUUGGGUACGAUUACCAUCAUUACGCUUCUUAGGACAAUCACUGAUCUUAUGUCCCAUUUGCCCACAGCAAAAACAUGCACCCAUGAAAAAAAGGUCAUUUACUUCGAUGCAUCUUUCCACAAGUUUAGCAUGGAGGAAUAUUUUUUGGAAAGGAAGAUCCAUCACCUUUCUGUGAAGACUUGUCACCCCCACUUGUACUUUUCUGAUUAUUAUUAGAGCUUUUCCCUUGUGAUCCUCCCUGCAGCCCAUGCUUCUUCCACUGUUGUUGUCUCUUCUAGGAUCUAUUAACAUGUGUCUCCCUAAAAAGGGCCCUAUCCACCAAAUCAUCAUAAUUUGUUAUCCUCAAGGGCUCCAAAGGAUCUCUAGUAGAUGAAUUUAAUCACUCAAUGAAGCGUUUACAUCUCUUCUCCUUAUUAUCAACCAACGUUGGAGCAAAUCGAGAUAAGGUAUUGAAGGUGUCCUCAUACGCCGCCAUAAACUUACUACCCUGAAUUAAAUUCAGAAACUUUCUUUCCAUCUUCUCGACGACACUCCAAGGAAAGUAUUUCUCGUAGAAUGCGUCCAUGAACAUCUUCCAAGUAAUUGUUCCUUUACAUAGGUUGUUCCUCAACAAUCGGGCCCUUCCCUCUCACUAGUGAUCCGCCUCGCCUUGAAGCACGAAUGAGGCAAAAACCACCCUUUGCUCAUCAGUACAACUGAUAGCCUCUAAUAUCUUCUGUACUUGCUUCAGCCAUGCCUCGGCUGCCAUAGGGUCAGUUGUCCUACGGAACACAUGUGGCCCUAACUUUUGGAAUUACUCUAAAGUCGCCACCAUUUUGCCUCUAGCAGCAGCACCUUACCCUCUGACUCUAGCAUUCUGAGCAGGACCACCACCUUGAGCCAUCCCCUCAAUCAACCUAGUUUGUCUCUGCAUAAUAUCAGCCAAUGCUUGAUUUCUUCAGGAAUAUGACUUCAAUCAUAAUUAUAACCACGAUCUUUAGCAUGUUUAUAACUUCGUCAUGACAAUGAUUUUGACCAUGUGUCUAUGUGAUAGAAUUUUUCUUCAAAAACUAACUUUGUGCCUUUAAGGUUAGCGCGUUUUGUGCCUAUUAGGUUAGUGAGCUCAAUAUUGUUGUUGCAAAAUCAUGUUUAAAGCAUGAAAUGUUGAGCAUGUCUUCUUUAUCAAUAAUUUUCUUUCCACAUAUCUUCAACUGUAAUGUCAUUUUGUAAAGCCCAGAGUUGUGAUAAUGGGCUAAUUUGAAAAAUUACUAUCAAAACUGAUUUUAUUUGAGUGAGGAAUUCUGUCUUCAAUUAAGACUUCAUGUCAAUUCAAGCAAUAACUUCCUUUCAGUUGGAUGAGCUUGAUUAUGUUACUGAGUCUUAUAGCUUCCGGAUGACUUAUUGAGACAUAUGGCUUCUAAUUACUGAGAUAGAAUUCAAGAUAAAUAAUUUUCACCAAAAAUACUGUAGGCUUCAAAUUCAUGCUUCAUUGGAUUUGUCAUCUUCAAUACAUCUUUUGGGCUUUUAGAAUAUUCAAAUAUGUGGCUUCAAAUGAGUAGGCUUCAGUCUUGAUACUUUAAGGAUCCAAUCAGAAUUUUUUAUGCUUCAAUCUUGGUUUUGUACGCUUUGGUCUUGACUUAUGCUUCUGUCUUGACUUAUGCUUCUGUCUUGUACGAUUUGGUCCUUACUUAUAACUUUAGAUAUAUAAAAUAAACAAGAAGAAAUACAAUAGCUAGUCAUAUUUUUUGAUGUGGAAGAUCCAAAUUAAUGACAACUUCAGAGUAUAUUUAUAAAGAUAGCUUUAUUAAUUAAAUAGAUAAAAUAAAAGAACAAGGGAUAAGAUACUUCCUGCACCAAAAUGAUAGUCAUGCUAGCUAAUAACGUGUUAUAAUCAUUGACAAUAUAUGUAGAAAGUAUUAAUUAAUAAAUACACGAUAUAAAUUAAUAAAUACAUGAUACAAAGGAAGGUGAUAUUUUUGUAAUUGAUGAGGUUUCAAUUUAGGAUACAAAUCACGAAGAGCCGUGCUCUCUAUUUAUAGGAUCCAUUAGCCAAUCAAAACAAAGCCAAGCCUUAGGGCAUGUCAUGAUCAGAACACCCACGCUUGAUUGGCAGGUAAAAACUCAUUUGGUCCCUAUAUUUUGAGGUUAGUGUCCGUUUAGUCCCUACAUUUUUAAAAAUACCUCAAAUUAUCCCUACCAUUAAAUUAUUGACAUCCUUACCAUUACUUUUUGUUCAUUUUAACUUUUUUUUAUAAUAUUACCCUAUUACAAUAAAGUUCUUUUUUUAGACAUUAUUAAAAAGAAAAAUCAAAUUACCAGUUUAAGACCAAAAAAUAAAAUAAAAACAAUAUAUAUAUAUAUAAAUUUUUGUGGAACACUCUGCUGAGGAGUUAAAAUAUUAAUUUUUCUAAAAAAUUGAUAAUUUACUUUUUUACACAAUUAAUUUUUUUGGACACACAUGAGCUUCCACAAAAAUUAAUAUAUAUCUUUUUUGUUUUUAUUUUAUUUUUGGGUUUAAUUUGAUAAUCCAAUUUUUUAUUAAUAUCCAAAAAAGAAACAUUGCUGUAAGAGUGUAAUAUUGUAAAAACAUGCUAAAAAAAAUAAAAAAUAAUGGCAUAAGUGUCAAUAUUUAAUAGUAAGGAUGUUUUGAGGUAUUUUUAAAAAUAUAAGGAUUAAAUGGACACUCAUAAUAUAGGGACUAAACAAGCUUUUAUCCCUUGAUUGACAUAAUUAGCUCUUUAGCCAUCCAAUCUCUUCAGAUGUUUUGUUGAAUGGCCAAUCAAAGCAAACUGUGUGUAUUUGAUGGUCCUGUUUCAAUUUUUCUUAGGUGAUUUUCCGAGCUUUACUACUAGCUGACUUUGCUCACCCAAAUAACUUAGCUAAUUAACUAUAGCUAGUUAAAUUGGUCUAAGCUGAUAGUGGAUAGCCACCAAUUUCCAUUACGAAUUAAUUAAAAAUCUAUACCUAAUCCAAUAAGAAGACUUAUCUUUGUUGAAUGUUGCUCUAUCUUGUUGAAAUUUUGCCAUUGAAUAUGAUGAUUAUAGAAGACAAAAGCGUAAGGACAAGCAUGCUAAUGUUGAAACCAAGCAAAUGCGGCACCUUCGGAAAAAAAAAAAAAGUAAGGUUUUUCAGAGCAUGGUAAUAGUAGUGAAACAAUGAAUGACACAUGUACAAAAAAGAAUAUAAAAGCACACAAUAUUAAAAGACAAACAAAAUUAAUUACAGGAUAAAAAAUACACCACAGGAUAAUAAUUUUUUAUUUUUAUAUAAUUUUUAUUAAAUUUUGUAUUAUUUUCUAUGCAUAUAUCAUUAUUCAUAAUCAUACCGAGUGCACGUCGUAAAAACUGCACAUGAAGAUGUGUUAUGGCUUCAUUUCAUCAUCCAAGACGCAUCCUCUUAUCCAAUUACUUUUUAAAUUCUUUACACCAGUGGACCACAAAAUAAGACAACCUGGACCUACAUGCAUUUACACAAACUGAAUCGCAAACAAACUCUGCUUUGAUCUCUUUCAUUGAACCUGAACGAGAACUGUCAAUGAUAGACAGCCAACUUUGAUUGAACUUGGACUAGAUCGAGUAAUAAUAGAGAGCCAAUUCUAAAUAGUAGCGAAUUCAAAGGAUUAAAUUACAUAAUAACAAAAUGUAAUCAAUAAUAAAAUUUUAUACAUUAAUGAGUUUGUGGAGGUUACUUUAGUAAAUUUAAUAGGGCUAAAUUAAAUAAUAGUAAAUUUGACUACUGUAAACAUUUAUUUUUUUAAUUAAAGUAUGAGCUUUUAUAUGUUUCAUAGUCAAAAUUUAAAUUUUAUAGGUUUAUGAAUUUAUAGACCUAUUUUUAUAAAUUUAACACGAUUAUUUUAAUAAAUUUAAUGGUUCUAAUUAAUAAUUCAAACAAUUAUCUCAUUAAUUAUUUUUAAAUUAUUUUCUCCAUUGGAAGCUUGAACUCCUAAUGGUCAUGAGGUGAAUCUGCCUUUAAACUCCGCCAUCUUAACCCCAUAAGAGAGCAAAGUCGUAGUUCAAUACUUCUAUAGAUACCUUUAACAGCUUAAAUUAAUGACAAAAUUAUCCCAAAAAAAUUCUCUAAGUGGAGUUGAUGUGGGCUCAUUGAUGAAGUCCAUACCAUCAUCUUUGCGAAGAAAAGGGAAUCUUUGAAAAUUAAAGGAAGAAUGAAAAGUUCGGUCAAAAUUUAACGCUUUAUGAGCUUGUCCUCGUUCUGGGCUUCCGCAGAUAGACCAUACCAAAUUAAUUUCUAACUAAAAUUUGUCUGUUCGUCUACUACAUCAAAUUCUAAAACCUAUAUAAAGAAGAAACGAAACAAGUGAUCAGUAGAUUUAUCUCAAUUCUACAUUGUCAACACUUAUUUAGAAAAAAACAGAAAAGAUGGCAGAUAUGUUCGUUAAGCAGGCAAAGCAAUACGCGGAAGCACGACCAAAUUAUCCAGAAGAAUUGUUCAAAUUCAUUGCCUCUAAAACACCCAAACACGAGCUUGCAUGGGACGUCGGCACCGGAAGCGGCCAGGCCGCUGCAUCCGUAAGUUUACUUUUCACAUCUUUAGAUUUUAUUUUUGAAUAAUACAAAAGUUCCAUAUUAAUAUUUCAGAAUUCUGAUCCCAAGCUAUAAGAAAGUUGAAUUAUAUAAUUGUUAAAUUCAGGGAUAGCAGAAAUUCUCAUGGGAUGAGUCUUGAAGGAUUUUUCCCAUUUGUGUAGGGUGUGGGAACAAUUUUAUAUCUCAAUUAAAAUUCGGGGAAUGAACAUAGAUAACUUAACACUCAAUAUCUUAUACAAGGAGAAGAUGAGGAUUCAGUGAAUUCCUCAUCUCUCUCGUUUCCCCAUUUUUUAUUUUAAUUUUUAAUUUUAAUUUUAUUUUAUUUCUGUUAAAAUUUUUAGUAAUUAUAUUUAAAAUUUAAAUUGUGAUGGUAUGGAUAUAAAUAAAAAAAAUAUCACAAUAGAUAUGAACACUUGAAGAUUGACGAAGAUAAUUUUCUUAAUGAUUUAUACCAUGUGACUUUUAUGUAUGUGUUCAACCCUGAAGUUCUAUUUUUACUUAAUUUCAUAGAUUAUCUUGUAAUUUUGAUGACAUUAAUUUAAUUAGUUUGAUGAAAAUGAUUUUAAUGAUUGAAAUUUGUUUUGAUGUAUUUGUGUUGUUAAAUGAUUUAUAUUUUUACUUUAAUAUGAUUAAAUCAAGUUAAAAAAUCAGUUGUUCGGGAUCGAGUGUCUUUGGGGAUCUCCAUCCCUAUCCUCAAGCAAUUUUAAAAAGGAUGGGGAGAGUACAAGGAUACAAGUAGAGUAUCAGAAAUAGAUACAGGAAUGUCGAUCUCCUCCCAUUGCCAAUCCCUAGUUAAAUCCCUAUUAUUUUCAUUGAUUAAUUAUGUAUGUAUUAUCUACAAAUCAAUAUCCACAUUAUCUCGAAAUUUAGUCGUGAGACUAGUACAGAAAAAUCUUAUCUAACUACCAAGGAGGGAACUAGAGUAUCCCGGCAACCUUGAGGAUGAAAAAAAAAAAAAACACAAAAACUGAGUAUGGGUUGAAAUUUCACCAUGUCUAUGGAAUUUUUAUAUAUGGCCUUCUCAAUUUUGUGUACUUUUGUUAUAGCCUCCUAUAUUUUAUAUUUUUUCUCAAUUAUAUGUCUUCAGCUUGCACCAAUCUACAAGAAUGUCAUUGCUACAGACACAAGCCCAAAACAGCUAGAAUUCGCAAUAAAGCUCCCCAACAUUCGGUAUCAACUUACUCCUCCAACCAUGUCCAUAACUGAGCUUGAACAAAAUGUGGCAACACAAUCAAGUGUAGAUCUAGUGACAAUUGCUACAGCACUACAUUGGUUUGACUUGCCUCAAUUUUACAAACAAGUAAAAUGGGUACUCAAAAAACCUAAUGGAGUAAUAGCGGCAUGGACCUACUACUGGCCCAAAAUCAACGAGUUCGUAGAUGCAGUUUUCAAGUCAUUUCACUCCGUUGAUUAUGAGCCAUUUCGGGAACCACAACCUAAAUUGGUGGAGAACAAGUACAUGAGCAUUGAUUUUCCAUUUGAGCCUGUAGAUGGGGUGGAUAAUACGGGGCCGUUUGAUCAGUUUGUUUUAGAGAAGUUGAUGGAUUUAGAUGAUUACUUAACGUUCAUACAGUCAAGUUCAGGUUAUCAGACGGCUAAGAACAGGGGUGUUGAGCUUUUGACAGACAAUAUGAUGGAGAAGUUUAACGUUGCUUGGAAUUCAGAUGGCCAGAGUAAAAAGGUUGCUCGAUUUCCACUUUAUCUGAGAAUUGGAAAAGUAGAAAAUUAAUAAUAGUUUAUUCAAGCUUUAAUACAUAUUGUUGAUGAUGAAUCUAGUCGAGUUGAUUUGUCGGCUUGCAACCAGACCUCCAUGUCAGUAUUUAAAUUUAUACGUAGGAGAGCGGUUUGUCAAUCUCUUGAAUUUUCAGCAGGAAUCCACGAACUCGAACAAAAUUCUCCACGAACACUUACUAUAACAGAAAUCAAUAAUUGGCAUUAGAAGUUUUUCUGGCGUUGAAAUUAAUUUUUUGGAUUUAUUAAAAAAAUAGAAAUAGUCCCUGGUUUUUAGUAUAACAGAAACAGAAAGAAGACACGUCCAUAAAGAGAGUGAAAAGUAAAAGAUAGUCUAAAGAGAGAAAAGUUGAAUUUGCAAUGAAUCACUUCAUUUUUAUGAAAAUUUAGAUACUAAGCUUGGAGUAUAAGUUGUGAAAACCGAACGUCUUGUUGCUUCAUUUCAUCAUCCAUGGUGCAUUCUCUUCAUUCUCUGUAUCGGUUCUAAUUUUAUCGGAUGUUCCAAAGAGACCACGAUGGAUCCUGUGUUUCCAUUAAUAUUAAAAUUCUUUACAACAAUGAACCACAAGGUAAGACAACCCGGACCAACAUUUACAAUAAUUGAAGCACAAAGGAAAAAAGCCAAGUCCAUGCCUAUUUAAUCUUCGUAAGUUUUAAAAAGUUAAAAAUGAAAAAUCGGGGUCAAAAUUGAACACUUCUAAGGUUUCCCAAGUUCAAUUUGGCUUCGCCUGAUAACUCCUACCAUAUUAGCAUCUUAAUUUUACUGAUAUAAUGUUACAGCCAGCUUUAGUUUUUAUUUUCUUUAAUGGCCCCCCGUAGAACCAAAACCCUGGAUUGCUACCUACCCUAACUUUAUAUUUGUAUGUAAAUUUUCAACCAGCUGGGGUGUUAAAAAAUGUUAUAGGCUCAGACCCAAGCCCCAAACAAUUAGAAUUUUGAACAAAGCUACCGACGAUUGGAUAUCGCUGCACUGCACCACCAAUGUCCUGAACUUGAACAAACUGUCGCAGCACAAUCAACUAUAGAUCUAGUGACAAUUGCUCAAGCCGUGCACUGGUUCGACCGAGUCAUUUUUAGUUUUACAAUCAAGUCAAAGGGGUACUCAAAAAAUCCAAUGGUGUAAUAGCUACGGUGGAGCGGCACAGUCCCAGAAGUGAACAUAUCCAUCGAUGCAGUUUUCAAACCGUUUUACACCGUUGAUUAUGAACCAUAUUGGGACAACGUUAAUCGGUGGAAAACAAGCACAUGACAGAUUUUCGUUUGAGCCUUCGGAUGGAGUGUUGUGUAAAUUAGCAAGUGUACGUACUAGUUGACUCAACUAAAAUAAUGAAGAGUAGAGUAUCAUUCCACGAAGAUUGUAUAUCUUAUUAGAUACUGAAAUUAUUCUAACUCUAAUUUAUUUGAAUAACCAAAUAAGUGAAUUUAAAUUACAAACUUAAUAAAAUAAAAUAACUAAAAAUUAAAUAAAGAUGCAAGUAGUAAUAGAAAUCACUAAGAGAUUUAGACACUAUGACAUCUGGUUUCACCAUAACCAAUUCAAUUUAAUCAUCCAUUUAUGUUAUUAAAGAUUAUUACUCAUGUUGACAGUGAAUUUCCCUAAUUUAUUCAAUAUCAUCUCCCGAAUAAUAUCAAAAAUACCCCCACAUAUUAACUAACUAUAUCUCCAUGUAAAUUUAAAUAUGUAAAAAUUCAUUAAGCUCUAUAGAAAUUCUUAGAUAAAACUGCACGAAUCACGCUGGCGCAUCUUUGUCUUUCAUUCAAUUCACGACAUUCAUUACACAGAGCAAAAAUACAUAAAUUUCCUCUUGGUCUCUUUACGUAUCCUCAAAUCAUUCAAAUAUUGGCCAAAUAUUUAAAAGCAUUAAGCACAAUAAUGAGCACUCAAUCAUGGAAUAACAAAUUAAAAGUAACAUAGAUUUAUGAAAUUAAAUUUUCAUAGUUAUGCUACAUCGUAGCUCUAGUAAAAUAAAUUAUUUCAUAGGAAUAUAAAAGAAUUCAUAAACAUUUUAGGGAACAUUCAAGUACAACAAUAGAAAAGAGGAAAAGAAAAACUCAAGAAUUAAUCCGGCUUCUCUUUGGAUGUCUUAUAGCUGCUUCUCCUUGAUUCUGUUUGUGCGCCUGCUUUAGCUUUUGCCCUGUUUUCUUCUUUUGAUAAUACUCAAUCGAUGGCCUUUAAAUGAUUAACCCAAAAGGAUUAAAAAACAAACUCAUGAAAGUAAGCCAAGCCGCUUUUAAAUUCUUAGGUCAUCAUAUUGCAAAUUCAAAUGCCCAAGUUCACGUGCAUGCCAUAUUUGUCAACUAAAUCUUCAAUGCUUUAGUUGAAUAGUCAACCUCAUCUCACAUUGGAUUCUUCUGUUAUGUGUAAAUCGAUUCAAUCAAAAUUCAUUUUCAAAAUUUUCAAUAUCAACAGCUCUUGUAUCAAAUAAUAAACAAAGUAGGACAAACUAACCACAUCCUCUUGAUAUUUAAAAAUAAAAAAUAAAAAUGCACAUGCCUAAAUUUGUAUUUUCUUGGGAUUUCUCGUAAAGCACAUGCUUUUGCUUUUCUUAUAUAUAUAGUAAGAAGCUUUUAUCUCCACCCCUUAAGGUAGUCUUCUUUUCAUGGUAGAUUAUCCUUUACAUGUUGAUGGUAUAUAGGCCCAAAUUAUUAAAGGAUAGCUUCACUCUUAAGGGUUAUAAGUAACUAUUUCUGACUAUGGUGCCAGGAUAAACACAAGUAAUGUAGAAUCGAGGUAAACAAUCUGAAAGAAUCGAUAUAAAUGUUCAAGAUAUUUAAAUAAUCACAAUGAAGAGAAAUUAAUAUAAGAAUCAAUUAUAAACUAAGACAAUAUUCAUCCGUUUCUGAGAAUCAUAUUCAUUUUCAACCAUAUACUCAUCAUUGGCAUAAAAACAACAUACAAACAACACAAAAUUUUAUUUAUUUAUUUAUUUUAAAUGAAAGCAAAUAUUCCCACCCUGAAACUUAAAAUCAACAUUGUCCUUAAUGUAAAUAGAUAGAAAAGGAACAGAGAAACUCCCCAGUUUUGCACUUGAAGAUUUAAACUUAUACUUGAGUCGUUGAAAGGCAUGUGCAAAUUUGAUGAUCGUCGACCCUCAAACUUAUGCAGAAACCUAGAUAAAAUAAAAUAAGUAAAAGAAAAGAAUAACAAAUGAAAUGAGGAAAAAUGAAAAUACAAAAUAAAAAUAAUAAUAAGUGAAGUUUUGAAAGCUUGGGUUGCCUCUUAAGAAGCGGUUAAUUUGUAGUCAUUAGCUUGACUGUCUUUGGUCGUCAUUCAGGAUUAGACAGCCCAAUAGCUAUCUUGUGUUAAUCAAAUGAAUCAUCUAAAAGGGUUUCAAUCAAUGACCGUUGACUUGUUUGUAUCAUCAGAAAUUUCUGCCACGCCAGACAGAAAGACUUAUGUUAUUGUAAAAGGGCCCGACCAACAUGAUCGCAACUUGCCUAGGAAGAGUCAAUGUCAAGAAUUAUAUAAUAAAACCUUUUGACCAACCUAAAAUUCACGUAUGAGGAUAUGUUUGUCAUGCAAAUUUUUAGUGCAGACUUUAUAGAUUCGAGCAUUCUCAUAAGUUGCAUUGAGAAAUUCAUCUAUUUCAUUAAGUUGCAACAAUCUCUUCUCUCUUGCAGCUUGCAUGUCAAAGUUCAAAAUCUUCAUAGCCCAAUAUGCCCUAUGCUUAAGUUCAACAUGUAGAUGGCAUGCUUUUCUAAAUACUGGAUGAUAAGGAGACAUAACAAUAGGUGUUUUCAAAACUGUUUGAUUAACCUAGAGUGUAUCGUCUAGUUUUUUUGACCAAUUAUUCUGUGACACGUUUACAGUUUUCUCCAAAAUUCUCUUUAAUUCCCAAUUAAAGGCUUCAACUUGGCCACUGGUUUAUGGAUGGUAAGGAGUGGCAACUCUACGUGUAACUCCAUAUUUUUUCAAGAGGGCUUUGCCAAUUGCAAAAAUAUUUCCCACCAUCACUUAUAGUGGCUUUUGGAGUGCCAAAUUGUGAGAAAAUAUUUUUCUUUAAAAAAUUCACAACGACCCUUACAUCAUUUGAAGGCAAAGUAAUAGCUUUGACCCACUUAGAAAUAUAAUCAACAGCCACUAGAAUAUAUUUAUUCUUGAAGAAAGAUGGAAAUGGACACAUGAAGUCGAUUCCCUAAACAUCAAACAAUUCUACUACAAGAAUAUUAUUUAACGACAUUUUAUUCUUCCUUGAAAUGUUACCAGUUUUUCGACAUUAGUCACAAGUAGCAACAAAAAUGUAAGCAUCUUUAAAUAAGAUGGGCCAAUAAAAACUUGAUUGAAGCACCUUUGCUGCAGUUCUGGAUACACCAAAGUGUCCAACAACCUCAUAGGAGUGACAGUGCUAUAGAAUGCAUCUCAUCUCUUCUUUUAGGACUCAUCAUUGAAUGAUUUGGUUUAAACAAUACUUAUAUAAGAAUGGAUCUUCCCAAAAAUAAGAUUUGGCAUAUGAGAGGAAUUUUUGCUUCUGUUGAUAUGAUAAAUUAAAAGGAACAAUGAUGCUCACCAAAUAAUUUACAAAAAUUGCAUACCAUGGUGCAUCAAAAGUUUAAAGAACCAAUAACUUUUCAUUAGAAAAUUCUUCGAUAAUUGAAACCAUUACAUUCAAAAGUUUAAAGAACCAGAAACUUUACAUUAGAAAAUUCUACAUUCAAAAGUUUAAAGAACUAGUAACUUUUUAUUAGAAAAUUCUACAUUCAAAAGUUUAAAGAACUAGUAACUUUUCAUUAGAAAAUUCUUCGAUAAUUGAAACCACUACAUUAUCUUUUUGUUGUCUUUGCUCUAAUCGAAAUAAGUAAUCUGUUGAGUGUUAGAAAAUGUAUAUUUAUAAAGGAGAAAAUCGUCAUUUUAUACUUUAAGUUUUACUAACACCCUUACUUUUAUGUAUUUGAGUUUCUUGUGACUUAAUUAUGUGUGUUUUAUUUUAAUUAAAUAUUUUAUGUAUUUUAGGGGCAUCAUGGUCAUUUCAAAAUGAACGAGAAAUCAAACGGUAAAACGGAAAUCACUUUUGAACUCAGGACAGUCAAAAACCUUAAGAGGAGCAUAAAAGGAAAAAUGUCACUGUUCACAUAUAUGGUAUUAUUCAUAUGUACGGUAUUGUCUACGCUACUCUUCACGACACUGUUCAAAUAGACGAAUCGAUGAUGUGGCAUUGACUGAUGAGGUGUCAUAAUUUCAUUAGAGAAAAUUCUUAUGAACUAUUGAUUGGUGACAUGGCAGCAUAACAGUGGACCAAAAAUCGUGUGUACGGUACAUGCAUAUACACAGGAUUAUUUUCAACCAAUCCGCGUCACUGUUCAAACCAGUUGACUAUUCAAACUGCGUGGUCAAACCGUAUCACUGUUCAAACUGCGUACUGUUGACUGAUGACGUGGCGCAAUCCUAAGCGUCCAAAUUGUUUUUAAUCCGAUAGUCAUGAUUUACUUAAUGUAUCUAUAAAAAGGGGGCCUCCCCCCUAAUUUGGCAUCUCUGGAUCCAUUUUUGGACUCUAUUUUCUGUAAUUCCUUCUCCAUCUUGUAUUUUCUAUGUAUUUUAAUAAAUUUCCAUUUUGCCCCUAGUUCAAUUAUGAGUAGCUAAUUUUCUUUCAAGCUUGGGUUGAAGGUGAAGUCUCAACAUGUGUUAUGGGCUUUAUUUGGUAAAUUUAUUUUCUCUUCCCCUCUAGUUUUUGUGAAUUUUUUGACUUCUCAUCGACAAAUAAUAAUAAUCUUGUCUAGAUACCGCUCUGGUUUCACCGGCUCCCUAGUAUAAGGUUAUUAUUAUUUGGCACGAUAAGCCCUUAGCACCAUAUUGAUUAAAGUGUGGUUCAUGAGGUAUAGAUUCCCCCCUCAUGAUUUAAUUGGCAGUAAUAAAUAAUAUUUAGCCCAUAGUGCAUGUUGAUACGAAUCCAGAUACUCAAGCACUUCAAUCAUAAUAGUUUUCUCUUCAAUUUAUUCUCGCCAUUUUAAUUCAAAUUUUAGAAUAAUUUAAAUCACUUCCACCACAAAUCCAACCACCCUCAUACAAAAUUAAUUCUACAUAUAAUUAAAAUUCAUCAUCUCGUGGGAUCGACACUCGUCACCAUUAAUCUAUUCUACAAUAGAUUUUGCGAGUUUAAUAAAAUUUGGACAAUAAAUGUUUGGCACUGUUGCUGGGGAGGUAAGUUAUUUUAAUUCGUAGAAUUAAGUUUUGUGAAUAAUAUCUUUUAUUUAUUUUCUUGUAUUUUUUCUUAUUAAAAAAAGAAAAAAAGUGAAUCUACAUUUAGAGGUAAGAAUUUCUUUUCUUUUUCUCUUCUUUAAAAUUCUGUAAUUUAAUUUUCAAUUUAUUUUUCUUUGUAAUUUUUUUUGUUUAUCUUAUUAAUUUAUUUUUAGUUAAUUUAUUUAACGUAUUUUUUUAAGUGUGUUUUUUUUAGAAAGGUUGUAACAUCGUGAUAAGGUUAGUAUCGUAAUAUCUCAUUCUUGUUUAUUUUUAUUAAUUUUGUUCUCAUUUUUUUGUAUUUAUUGCAUGCAUGGUCGAAGGUCAUUAUUACCUAAUCUUGAGCCUAUAGACCUUGAACUUGAAAAAACAUUGCGCACACACAAACACAUUAAAGAUAAAAAUAAAAUGGAUUUGCAACAACAACAAGCACCACAGGAGAGGCCAUUUAAGGACUACUUUAGUCCCUUAGCUAAUUUGAGCAUAUCAUGCAUAAGAUACUCAAAUGUAGCUGCUAGGAGUUUUGAACUAAAACCUAGUGUGCCAAAUUGUCUCCCAACAUUCUAUGGCCUAGAAAAUGAGGACCCAUAUAAUCAUCUGAAUGAUUUUCAUACUGUUUGUCAAACAUUUAAAUAUGAGAAUUUUUCAGACGAUGAUGUCAAACUUAGAUUAUUCCCAUUUUCUUUAAAGGAUAGAGCUCGUUCAUGGCUAAAUACUUUGUCUGCCAAUAGCAUCACAUCAUAGGAACAAAUGGUAACAAAAUUUUUGAAAAAAUACUUCCCAGUGCAUAAAACCAAUGUUAUUUGCAAGGAAAUCUCAGAGUUUACUCAGAGAGAGGACGAGCAGUUUUUCGAAACAUGGGAGCAAUUCAAUGGGCUGGCACCAAUGCCAAUACAUUUUGGAGGGAUUCUUGUCGAAUGUGUAAGAAUGGCUAAUGGCAACAAGUGGAGGAGAGCUAAUGUCAAAAAGUGCAUAAGAGAUUUGAGAAUUUUUCCAGCGACAAGUGGAUAAUUUCCAAUAAUGGAGUCGAUCACUCAGGAAUACAAGAAGAAUUAAGGGAGUGAAUGAAGUUCACAUUGGCUAGUCAAGUUUAGAAAUUAAUGAAGUCAAAGCGAUAAUUGAAGGUCUCUCUCGACAAAUAGCAUCAUUAUCGACUGCUAAAUCAACAGAACCACAUGACCAUGACUCAUACUCAGAUCAAGCUAAUGCCAUAAGUGUAAUGAGAAAACCAUGAAAUUACAACCCAUACUCCAACACAUAUAACCCUGGAUGGAGAGACCACCCUAAUUUUUCAUGGUCUCAAGGAUUCCAACAGAAUGGACCAGUAGCUCCAGCUCCACCAAUGCAACCAAUGCCUCAAACUCCUCAAGCCUCUCAGCCACCAUUUAGACCAUACAAUCAGAACUAGAACUACUCUCAACCCAGACCAUGGGAGGAUGUAUUUCAAAAUUUCAAGAAUGUUACUCACUCUACGAUUGAACAACAAAACUGCACCAUUGAUGGACUACGAAAUGAGAUGAGAGCAGGUUUCAACUCACAAGCCCAAUCAGUUUCAAGCCUCGAGAAGAUGGUAGGACAACUUGCUUCUUCAGUUCAGACCUUGGCAAUGACUGUUGAGAAAGGCAGGUUUCUAAGUCAACCAGUGCCUAAUCUAAAGGAGUACAUGAAGCAAGUACCAGUUCACCACAUCAGCAUAGAGAGGUCAAAGCAGUAGUGACCUUGCAAAAAGGAAAAGAAGUCGACAACAAAGUAGAGAUGCCGGUGACAAAAGAAAAUCAAAUUGUACCUGUGAAUGUUGAGGACUCACCAUCGGAAGAGAAAGAAGAAGCCAACUCACGAGAAUAUGUUCCCAAAACUCCAUUUCCUCAGAGGUUAGCUAAAGGAAAGAAGGGAAAAUCCACAGGUGAGAUUCUUGAAAUUUUCAAACAGGUAAAUGUUAACAUCCUUUUACUUGAUGCUAUAAAAUAAGUGCCAUCUUAUGCCAAGUUUCUUAAAGAUCUUUGUACUAAAAAGAGAAAUAUUCAUGUUCAAAAUAAUGCAUUUUUAACUACAAACGUUAAUUCUAUACUCCAACACAAAAUUCCUUUAAAAUGUAAAGACCCAGGCUCCCCCACCAUCUCAUGUAGUAUAGGGAACCAAACAAUUGAGAAUGCUUUGUUGGAUUUAGGAGCUAGUGUAAAUCUGUUGUCUUAUUCAGUAUUUGUAAAACUUGGAUUGGGAGAAUUACACCUAACUCCAGUGGUGUUACAGCUUGCAAAUCGGUCCACGAAAAUACCUCGUGGUAUUGUGGAGGACGUGCUUAUCCAGGUAGAAAAGUUUUAUUUUCCUGUUGAUUUCAUUGUAAUUGACACUCAACCAAUACAUGAUUCAAAGAAGCACAUCCCCAUUAUUCUAGGCCAACCUUUCUUGGCAACUGUGGAUGCUCACAUUCAAUGCAGGACUGGAAAUAUGUAGUUGUCCUUCGAUAACAUGACUGUGGAGCUAAAUGUUGAGUGUUAGAAAAUGUAUAUUUAUAAAGGAGAAAAUCAUCAUUUUAUAUUUCAAGUCUUACUAACAACCCUUACGUUUAUGUAUUUAAGCUUCUUGUAAUUUAAUUAUGUGUGUUUGAUUUUAAUUAAGUAUUUUAUGUAUUUUAGGGGCAUCAUAGUCAUUUCACAAUAAAUGAGAGAUCAAACGGCAAAACAAACAUUACUUUUGAACUCAGGACGGUCGAAAACCUUAGGAGGAGCAUAAAAGGAAAAAAUGGUACUGUUCACAUGUACGAUACUAUUCACAUAUACAGUACUGUCUACGUUACUGUUCACGACACUGUUCACAUAGACGGAUUGAUGACGUGGCAUUGACCGAUGAUGUGGCAUUGACUGAUGAGGUGUCAUGAUCCUGUUGGACUAAAAUUCUUAUGUACUGUUGAUAGUGAUGUGGUAGCAUAUUAGUGGACCAAAAAACGCGCGUACGGUACAUGCAAUACAAGGGAUUAUUUUCAACCAAACCGCGUAUUGUUCAAACCGCGUGGUCAAACCGCGUACUAUUGACUGAUGACGUGGCGCAAUCCUGAGCGUCCAAACUGUUUUUAAUCCGAUGGCUAUGAUUUACUCAAUGUAUCGAUAAAAAGGAGACCUCUCCCCCCCUAAUUUGGCAUCUCUGAAUCCAUUUUUGGACUCCAUUUUCUGUAAUUCCUUCUCUAUCUUGUAUUUUCUAUGUAUUUUAAUAAAUUUCCAUUUUUCCCCUAGUUCAAUUAUGAGUAGCUAAUUUUCUUUCAAGCUUGGGUUGAAGGUGAAGUCUCAACAUGUGUUAUGAGCUUUAUUUAGUAAAUUUAUUUUCUCUUCCCCUCUACUUUUUGUGGAUGUAAACUUUUCGUUGACAAAUAAUAAUAAUCUUGUCUAGUACCGCCCUGGUUUCACCGGUUCCCUAGUACAAGGUUAUUAUUAUUUAGCACGAUAAGCCCUUAACACCAUAUUGAUUAGAGCGUGGUUCAUGAGGUGUAGAUUCCCCCCUCAUGAUUUAAUUCGCAUUAAUAAGGAUUAAUUUAAUAGAUUUUCACUUCAAUUUAUUCUUGUCAUUUUAAUUCAAAUUUUAGGAUAAUCCAAAUCAUUUUCACUACAAAUCCAACCACCUUCAUACAAAAUUAAUUCUACACAAUUAAAAUUCACCUCCUCGUGGGAUCGACACUCGUCACCAUUAAUCUAUUCUACAAUAGAUUCGUGCGCUUGCGAGUUCAAUAAAAUUUGCACAACAAGUUUUUGGCACCGUUGCCGGAGAGUUAAGUUAUUUUAAUUGAUAGAAUUAAUUUUUGUGAAUAAUUUCUUUUAUUUUUUUCUUGUAUUUUUUUUUAUUAAAAAAAAAGUGAAUCUGCAUUUAGAGGUUAGUAUUUCUUUUCUUUUCUCUUAUUUAAAAUUCUGUAAUUUAAUUUUCAAGUUAUUUUUUUUGUAAUUUUUGUUUAUCUUACUAAUUUUAUUUUUUUUAUUUUUAGUUAAUUUAUUUCAUGUAUUUUUCUGUGUAUUUUUAUAGUAAGGUUGUAAUAGCGCGAUAAGGUUAGUACCAUAAUUUCUCAUUCUUCUUUAUUUUUAUUUGUUUUGUUCCCAUUUAUUUUUUGUUCCUUACAUGCAUGGUUGUAGGUUGUUAUUACCUAAUCUUGACCUAUAGACCUUGAAUUAGAAAAAACAAUGCGCACGCACAAACACGUUAAAAAUAAAAUAGAUUUGCAACAAGCACCACCGGAGAGGCCAUUUAAGGACUACUUCAGUCCCUUAGCUAAUUUGAGCACAUCAUGCAUAAGAUAUCCAAAUGUAGUUGCUAUGAGUUUUGAACCAAAGCCUAGUGUACUAAAUUGUCUCCCAACAUUUUAUGGCCUAGAAAAUGAGGGCCCAUAUAAUCAUCUGAAUGAUUUUCAUGCUAUUUGUCAAACUUUUAAAUAUGAGAAUUUUUCAGAUGAUGAUGUUAAACUCAGAUUAUUCCCAUUUUCUUUAAAUGAUAGAGCUCGUUCAUGGUUAAAUAUUUUGCCUGUUAAUAGCAUCACAUCAUGGGAACAAAUGGUAACUAAAUUUUUGAAUAAAUAUUUCCCAGUGCAUAAAACCAUUGCUAUUCGCAAGGAAAUCUCAGAGUUUACCCCGAGAGAAGACGAGCAAUUUUUUGAAACAGGGGAGCGAUUGAAUGAGCUACUCUUUAUGUGUCCGUACGAGAAAUGACACCAAUACCAAUACUUUUUGGAGGGAUUAUUGCCGAAUGUGGAAGAAUGACUAAUGGCAACAAGUGGGGGAGAGCUAAUGUCAAAAAGUGCAUCAGAGAUUUAGGACUUCUUCCAGUGACAAGCGGAUAAUUCCAAACAACGGAGUAGAUCACUAAGGAAUACUAGAAGAAUUAAAGGAGUAAAUGAGGUUCACAUUGGCGAGUCAAGUUCAUAAAUCAAAGAAGUUAAGGAGAUGGUUGAAGGUCUCUCUCGACAAAUAGCAUCGUUAUCGACUGCUAAACCAACAGAGUCACAUGACCAUAACUCAUACUCAGAUCAAGCCAAUGCCAUAGGUGUAAUGAGAAAACCAUCAAAUUACAACCCAUACUCCAACACAUAUAACCCUGGAUGGAGAGACCACCCCAAUUUUUCAUGGUCUCAAGGAUUCCAACAGAAUGGACCAGCAGCUCCAGCUCUACCAAUGCAACUAAUUCCUCAAAUUGCUCAAGCUUCUCAGCCACCAUUUAGACCAUACAAUCAGAACCAGAACUACUCUCAACCUAGACCAUAAGAGGAUUCAUUCAAGAAUCUCAAGAAUCUUACUAACUCCACGAUUGAGCAACAGAACCGCACCAUUGAUGGACUACGAAAUGAGUUGAGAGCAGGCUUCAACUCACAAGCUCAAUCUGUUUCCAGCCUCGAGAAGAUGGUGGGACAACUUGCUUCUUCAGUUCAGACCUUGGCAAUGACUGUUGAGAAAGAUAAAUUUCCAAGUCAACCAGUGCCUAAUCCUAAAGGAGUACAUGAAGCAAGUACCAGUUCACCACAGCAGCAUGGAGAAGUCAAAUCAGUCAUGACCUUGCGAAAAGGAAAAGAAGUCGACAACAAAGUGGAGAUGCAGGUGACAAAAGAAAAUCAAAUUGUACCUGUAAAUGUUGAAGACUCGCCAUCAGAGGAGAAAGAAGAAACCAACCCAUGAGAAUACGUUCCUAAAGCUCCAUUUCCUCAGAGGUUAGCUAAAGAAAAGAAGGGAAAAUCCACAGGUGAGAUUCUUGAAAUCUUCAAACAGGUAAGUGUUAACAUCCCUUUACUUGAUGCUAUAAAACAAGUUCCAUCUUAUGCCAAGUUUCGUAAAGACCUUUGUACUAAAAAGAGAAAUAUUGAUGUUCAAAAGAAGGUAUUUUUAACAGAAAACGUUAGUUCUAUACUCCAACACAAAAUUCCUCUGAAAUGCAAAGACCGAGGCGCCCCCAUAUGUAGUAUAGGGAACCAUACAAUUAAGAAUGCUUUGUUGGAUUUAGGAGCUAACGUAAAUCUGUUACCUUACUGUAUAUUCGUGAAACUUGGACUUGGAGAAUUACACCCAACUCCAGUGGUGUUACAACUAGUAGAUCGGUCCAUGAAAAUACCUCGUGGUAUUGUGGAGGACGUGCUUAUCCAGGUAGACAAGUUUUAUUUUCCUGUAGAUUUCAUUGUAAUUGACACUCAACCAAUACAGGAUUCAAGGAAGAACAUCCCCAUUAUUCUAGGCUGACCUUUCUUGGCAACUACGGAUGCUCACAUUCAAUGCAGGACUGGAAAUAUGCAGUUGUCCUUCGGUAAUAUGACUAUGGAGCUGAACAUCUUCAACAUUGUGAAACAACUUCAUAAUGGAGAUGAUGGAAUUGUUGAUGUGGAUUUAAUCGAAGCAUUAGUUGAUGACACUUUUGUUUCAAACCUUAGUGAUGAUCCUUUACAAACAUGUUUAACUCACUUUGGUUUGGAUUUUGAUAUUGACAGAUCGGUCGAUGAGGUCAACGCUCUACUUGACUCAACACCAUCCAUGGAUACGAAUAAAUGGAAGUCAAGAGUUGAACAACUAGCACCAUCGGAGAAGAAACUCAUUCCAUCAUCAGAAUCACCACCGAAACUCGAGCUCAAACCAUUGCCCAACACUUUGGAAUAUACAUUUUUGGGAGAAGAAAGUACUCUGCCGGUAAUCAUCUCAUCAUCCCUCAAUGACGAACGAAAAGGUAAGUUGUUGGAUGUUUUAAAAGAGCACAAAGGAGCAUUAUGAUGGACCAUAGUAGACAUAAAAGAUAUAAACCCAGUAGACUACAUGCAUUACAUUCACCUUGAUGAAAAUGCUAAACCUACUAGGGAAAUGCAACGUCGGUUAAAUCCUAACAUAAAAGAAGUUGUUAGAACUGAAGUCCUCAAGCUAUUAGAUACAGGUAUUAUUUACCCAAUUUCUGAUACUUCAUGGGUCAGUCAUGUGCAAGUUGUCCCCAAAAAGUCAGGAGUUACAGUAGUUACGAAUGCCGAUAAUGAAUUGAUACCCACUAGAGUGACUACAUGAUGGUGUGUAAGCAUUGAUUAUAGAAAGUUGAAUUCUGUCACACGUAAAGACCAUUUUUCUUUACCAUUUAUCGAUCAAAUGCUUGAUAGAUUAGUAGGCCAUGAAUUUUAUUGCUUUCUAGAUGGCUAUUCAGGAUACAAUCAGAUUCCUAUAGCACCAAAAGAUCAUGAGAAAACUACUUUCACUUGCCCUUUUGGCACUUUUGCAUAUAGGAGAAUUCCAUAUGGAUUAUGUAAUGCACCUACUACAUUUCAACGAUGCAUGAUAAACAUUUUUUCUGAUAUGGUUGAACGAUUCCUUGAAGUCUUUAUGGAUGACUUUUAUAUUUUUAGUGACUCAUUUGAUUAAUGUUUACAUCAUCUAACACUAGUUCUGCAGAGAUGUAUCGAGAAGAACUUAGUUUUAAAUUGGGAGAAGUGCCAUUUUAUGGUAAAAGAAGGUAUUUUUCUCGGUCACAUCAUUUUAAGCAAAGAUAUUGAGGUUGACAAAGCCAAAAUGGAUCUCAUUUAUAAUCUUCCUCCACCCAAAACAGUCAGAGAAGUAAGAUCUUUUCUUGGACAUGCUGGUUUUUAUAGACGUUUUAUUAAAGAUUUUAGCAAAGUUUCUAGACCCUUAUGCAAUCUACUUGCUAAGGAUAUAUUUUUUGUCUUUGAUGAUUCAUGUCUUGUGGCAUUUGAAAAAUUAAAGCAGUUGUUGACAUCAUUACCCAUCAUUCAGCCCCCAAACUGGAGCUUACCAUUUAAGCUCAUGUGUGAUGCAUCUGAUUAUGCAGUAGGAGCAGUAUUAGGACAAAGGGUUGAUCGAAUUUCUCAUGUUAUUUACUAUACUAGUAUGACAUUGAAUGAUGCACAGUUGAACUAUUCAACUACUGAAAAAGAAAUGCUAGCAGUAGUGUUUGCAUUGGAAAAAUUUAGAUCUUAUCCCAUUGGUUGUAAAAUAAUUAUAUUCACAGAUCAUGCUGCUCUUAAAUAUCUUCUCACAAAGAAAGAUGCAAAAGCUAAAUUAAUUCAUUGGGUAUUACCUUUGUAGGAAUUUGACUUGGAAUUUAAAGAUAAGAAGGGCACAGAAAAUUUGUGGCGGACCAUCUCUCUCGUCUCCAUUUUGACACAAUUAUAGAGCCAUUAAUAUUGAAUGAGUCAUUCCCAGAUGAACAAUUAAUGAGUAUAGAAGUAUUACAGGUCAACUUACAAAGCAUUGGACCAAGAAAGACAAGGCCAAAUUUCUUACAUAAAUAAAGAAUUUCUUUUGGGAUGACCCGUAUUUGUUCAAGUAUUGUGCAGAUCAAAUUGUUAGACGAUGUGUCCUAGAAAAUGAAAUUCAGAAUAUUUUUUCAUUCUGCCAUGAACAAGCUUGUGGAGGCCAUUUCAGUGCUAAGAAAACAGCAACUAAAGUUUUACAAUGCGGUUUCUAUUGGCCAACUAUAUUUUGAGAUGCUUACACUUUCUGUUCUUCAUGUGAUAGGUGUCAACGAAUGAGGAGCAUUACACGAAGGAAGGUUUUAGAUUUUGAGGGAAGUAUGUGUGACAAAUGAAUUCUUUAUUGACAAUUGGGGUUGUAUUGUGACAGAGUACAAAGGCAAGCCACGUGUCAGAAGCUAUUGGAGUAGAGUACGUAACCGUUGCUAAAGCAAACAAUUGGGUGCUGCAGCAACCAAUAUUACCGUUAUAGUAACUGAAAAAUUGGAGCCUCUCACUUACCGUUGGAGAUAAAUUAUGACAGAUGGAUGCAUGGAUUUGGAUAGAAAUUGAGGAAGAAAAAAUCUCCGAAAUUAAUGCAUUAAUUUCUCUUGCCUAUUUUUAUGGGAUAUACUCAAUAAAUUCAAAAUAUUUUCUUCCCUAAUUUAUCUUUCUUUACCGGAUUUAUCUUUAUUUAAAUUCAACUAUAAAAAGGGAAUUACUGUGCGUAGUGACCUACGGCACUAUUUUCCCUCUCCUUCGCAAGCACGACUCUAAUAAUUCUUACCACCAUCUUCUCAUUUUACUCUCAGGCAUAUUACCUUUGAAUUAUUACUGCUAUAGCAAUGCCAAGGUAUAAGAGAACAGCCAGUCGACUAAAAGAUCCUUCACGCUUUUAAAGUUACCACGCAGAAGAAAAAUAUGAAGAAUUCAUUGAACCGCGCAAGAUUCUGGAAGAAAAAGGGUUUCAAUUUCCAGUGCAACUCACCAGAAUUGUUCUAACAGUACACAAUGCUGCAACAAAACAUGGGUGGCUAGAGUUUUGCAACCACCCUCGAGAUCCUGUACUGCCAGUAGUCAAAGAAUUUUACGUCAAUUUGGUAAGCCCUGGUCAGAAAAAUAUUUGGGUAAGAAACACACUUGUUCCAUGAGACUCUCGAGUUAUAAAUGCUUUUUAUAAUUUACCUACUGAAAUUAAUUGUGAGUAUGCCAAGUUGCUUGACAAAUUAACCCCUAAAAGAUGGAACACCAUCUUCACAACUCUUACAGUAGAGGGGGCAUCGUGGGCUAAUGAGCAAGGGCAUGUAAUUAAUAUGAUAGAUUUAAAACCUAUUGCUAAGGUGUGGGUGAAAUUUCUGAAAUCCAGGCUUAUGCCAACCACCCACACUAUUACUGUUUUACAAGAAAAGUUGGUUUUGUUAUAUGUUAUUGUUCGAGGGCUCCCCAUAAAUGUGGGAAGCAUUAUCGAAAAAGAAAUCAAAGAUUGUGCCAUAAAGAAACACAAAGCUGCUACCUUACUAUUCCCUUCACUCAUCACUAGCAUCUGUGUAGUAUCAAAUGUUCGUCUUGAAGCAAAGGAUGAACAUGUCAAGAAUGAUGAUGUCCUUACUGUACGCACCAUUGAGAGAAUUGCUAGUGAAAGUGCUGGAGUAACAACUGAACCAGCUGCUGUAACAGGAGUGAGAUGAGCUAUUGGUUUAGAACAGACAAUCCAAGUGCUGAGCACCAGUAUCACUCAAUGUGCUGAGGCUCAGCAGAGAGAAAACGAUCAGUUUUGGAGCUAUUUACAGCACUUGGAAAGCCACCUAUACCAAUUUGCUCUUUACAAGGAAAAAAACCCACCGAAAUUUCCCUGAUUCAUUGCUCUAGCAGUACAAUUUUACACCACCACCACAGAUGCUCCAGCAGAAGUCAGUGAAGAAGCCACUGACACAGAUAAACCAGAAGCAAAAGCUGCAGCAGACCUACAAGCAAAGGUUGACUCAGAAGAUGUUGAAUAAUCUUAUCAACCUGAGGAAGAAGGUGACAAGUCUGCGACUAACAGCUCACCCACAGAGGCAGAGGAAGAUUCUGAGAAAGAACGUGAGGAACCCCCAGUCAGGACCUCUUCCAAAACCAAGAAAAGGCACAUCAUCCAAGAAGAGGAAGAGAAUAAACCUGAAGAGGAGCCUCUCAUUCUAGUCAUUUCAAGAAAGGGUAAGGAAAAAUAACAACCCCUCCUGCCUCCGAAGAUGAAGCCGAGCAACUCAAUGCAGAGCUGGAAGCUGUAGUAACCAGAGUCACGCAUACACCCACAGAAGCCCAACAACUACUUGACAUCAUUGCCGCCAUUACAGCUGAGGGACAGGCAGCUAAUGUACCAAACCCAGCUCCUUCACAGCCCGCUCCUAGUAAAUUUGUUCUUGCUAGUCUGAGAGGAUCCAGUAAAAGAAAGGGCAGCACUUCUGGAGGCACUGCUAUAGCAGCCUCGACAGAACCAAAAAGGACCAGAUCGGUGUCAACCAAGCAAGCUGCCCCAGCCGCAACUCUUUCCACCAGCCCAUUGAAGAAAAAGACAAAGACGUUGUCAGCUACCUCCCCACAAGCCUCCCCAAAGGAUAAGGUAUGCAGUGCAUCCAAGAAGUGCUGAUGUCAUGCCACCAUGUUGCAGCAAUACCCAAACAACAGGGGAGUAUCCCCUUCUUGCUAGUCAAUUUAUUUAAUUCUGCAAAAAUUUUCUUUCAUUAUGUUUUCAAUUUGUGUGGUAUUUUCUAAUGUCCUCAUCCAUGUCCUUGUCAAAUUGUGUGACUUUGCUAUUGUGUGCUUGUAAGGACACAACACCUUUUCAGUUUGGGGGGGAUGUAUAUAUGGGUGCUUUAGAUAUGUGUUUAUGUAUGUGUUGUGUGAAGCUCUGAUAUCUAAUAUUUGUGUAUGGAUUUGAAAUCCUAAUGAAGAUAAAUUGAGUGUUAAUGGGUGAUUAUAAGAAUGUCGAGUAGAGAUAGUAAUAGAUGGAGAAUGAAAUUCUGUCCUUACACUUAAACUUUGGUGGAGUUUUAUGAGACUACUGCAGUAGAGCCAAAAGAAUAGAAACGAUCUUAAGUUUGGGAGGGAAAAAGUUUGAUUGACUGUGCUGGCUAUGAAAUAAAUUCUGCUCUAAUGGCUCAAGUUGCUGAGUAACCAGAGCUGAGUAUGUACCCCAUAUGUAGAGUUGCGUUCAAAGGCAACAAGAAUUAUGAGCAGUGCUGUAGCAAUUACCUUUGUUAAAAAAAAAAAGAGAAAAGUGAGACAAUAAUACAAGGAAGUCCUCUGUCUAGAAUAUUGAGUAGCCAAGUCUGUUCAUGAACCCCAUGUUCAGCCUUGAGUAAAAGAUAUCUCUAGAUAAGAUUAUGUUACAGAUAUUGCUACAGCAACUCUGAUAUGUGUAUGGUUUGAGUAAUUGGGUGUCAUCAUUACAAUUGAUUAGCAUUCACAUGAAAAAUAAAUGUUGCAGUGGGGAGGUUGAACACUCUCAAGUUUUCAUUCUUAAAGACAGCACAAUUUGAGUAUGAGAGAUUUAUGCUACCCCAUAUAUGAAUAAAAUUGUGUUACUGCUGAAUUACAUGCAAUCUCUUGGUAAUGUUGUAGCAUCUCUAGAAUUCAAUCAAAGUAACACACACACACUAUGGACAGAAGGAAGCUUAAGUCUAGAAUUGAUUUACUAUGGUCAUUUUGCAUUAUUGGGUUUGUGAUCUGAAGGUGGAAGAAUCCUUGUAAAUUUGAUAAAAGAGCUAAGUUGUGUGUUGCAUGAUUUUUGCGUGAAGUGUUAGUAUGUUGUCAUUACUUGAGGACAAGUAACGGUUUAAGUUUGGGGGUGUGAUAACUCUAUGAAAUGAGAGUUAUUACAGCAAUUUUAUACUUAAAUCAAGAUCACUUAGAGAGUAAAUGAGGUGUUUUUAUUAUAUUUUGGUUAUAUUUUGCAUAAAUAUUCAUUUUAGUGAGUCUUAAUAAGUUUUGCUUGAAUUAAAGUAAUUUGUGCUCAAAAUAUGUGCAUAAUUGUAGGUUUUCAAAAGUUUAUAAUUCAUGAAGGGAUGCUGAGAUAUUAAACCAGCAAGAGGAGGAAAGAAUAUGGCCACAAAAGAAGUUAAGCACAACCGAGAACAGUGCAGUGUUCUAGCUGUUGUUAGAGCAACCAUUGUUGUAGCAAUCCUGGAGCACUGAGGGAGAAAACUUAGCGCGGGUCAGCUGCAGAAUUGCGAUCUGCAGUUUUCUAAUUUAACUCAUGCACGCCCGAGACUUUUGUUUACCCUAGUUUUUAGUUAUAAAAGGAGGCGCGCACCACAUAAAACAGGGGCAAGGAAUUAUCAUUAAACACAUUAGAGAGAAAAAGAAGAAGAAGAUCAGAAUUCAAGAGGACAACUUUAGCAGCAUUGAAAAAUCCUGCAGAGUUAUUUGGAUUUACUUUUUUCCGUUCUCAACUUAUACCUUUCUUCUUUCUUUGACUGAUCUAAUGUAUCCCGUGAACAAUAUGUUGAUAUUUGUUUUUCUCUUUCAGAAUAUGAACUAGAUUUGCUUGUAGUUGAAUGACAAACAAUCUAAUGGGUUCUUGACUGUUCUUAUGAGUUGCUAUGUCAUUGUUGUAGCAUUUUACUCUAGUAGCUAUUAUUAUAACUGUUAUUUCAGUUGACCACCCAUUUAAUAGUUCAAGUUAAAAUAGAGCCGCAAAAGGGCAUGUCUUAGUAGAUAUUAUUAGAGUAAUACUUAAUCUUAAUUUAAGUUUCUUGGAUUAAGUUAUCUUGAAUCUCAUAAGGGCUAUACUUGAAGUUAAGAUUUCUGACAAACUAGACAUAGGUACUCACCUUGUAGGGUGGAGAGACUAAAGGGUCAUAAGGCCAUGCCGUAGGUAAAAUAACAAGUGGUCAUUGCUAAUAUACUUAAGGGUGUGAGAGUUCCAACACGUGACAGCUGAGGAUGCAGACUAAUUCUGACUAGUGCUGUAGCAAUUGCUGUAACAACUGGUGUUAACUUGAUGAAAAUCAGUUAGCUCAUAAAGAGAGUUUGAUCAUUCAACUACCAUAUUUUCGAUUGAAUCUUAGACAUAUUUAAUUUAAUUUAUUUCAUUACUGCAUUGAUUUAUUUUAUUCUCUCACAAUUAUCAAUUUCAAUAGAACCUACUUUACAUUUGUUAUCUUCGGACUUAAGUUAGAUUGUACUAUUGUGAUUGCUGUAGCAUUUCUAGUGACAUCAAUCCCUGUGGAGACGAUCUUGAAUAUUCAUCACUUUAUUACUUGUUGUGUACACUUGCACAUUGGCAUCAAUAGCAUUUGAUUACAAAAAUUUACCAACAAAGACCCAUCGUCGGAGGAGAAAGAAGAAACCAACCCACGAGAAUAUGUUCCUAAAGCUCUAUUUCCUCAGAGGUUAGCUAAAGGAAAGAAGGGAAAAUCUACAAGUGAGAUUUUUGAAAUCUUCAAACAGGUAAGUGUUAACAUCUCUUUACUUGAUGCUAUAAAACAAGUGUCAUCUUAUGCCAAGUUUCUUAAAGACCUUGUACUAAAAAGAUAAACAUUCACGUUCAAAAUAAUGUCUUUUUAACAGAAAACGUUAGUUCUAUACUCCAACACAAAAUUCCUCUAAAAUACAAAGACUCAUGCUCCCCCAUUAUCUCAUGUAGUAUAGGGAACCACACAAUUGAGAAUGCUUUGUUGGAUUUAGGAGCUAGUGUAAAUAUGUUACCCUACUCAGUAUUUUUGAAAUUUGGACUGGGAGAAUUACACCCAACUCCAGUGGUGUUACAGCUUGCAGAUCGCUCCACAAAAAUACCUCGUGGUGUUGUGGAGGAAGUGUUUAUCCAGGUAGAUAAGUUUUAUUCUCCUAUUAAUUUUAUUGUAAUUAACACUCAACCAAUCCAGGAUUCAAGGAAGCACAUCCUCAUUAUCCUAGGCUGACCUUUCUUGGCAACUGUCGAUGCUCACAUUCAAUACAGAACUGGGAAUAUGCAGUUGUCCUUUGGCAACAUGACUAUGGAGCUAAACAUCUUCAACAUUGCCAAACAACCUCACAAUACAGAUGAUAGAAUUGUUGAUGUGGAUUUAAUAGAACUAUUAGUUGAUAAUAUUUUUCUUUCAAACCUUAGUGAUGACCCUUUACAAACAUGUUUAAUUCACUUUAGUUUGGAUUUUGAUAUUGACAAAUCAGUUGAUGAGGUCAACGCCCUACUUGACUCAGCACCAUCCAUGGACACUAAUAAAUGGAAGUCAAAAGUUGAACAACUAGCACCAUCAGAAAAGAAACUCAACCCAUCAUCAGAAUCACCAUCUAAACUCGAGCUCAAACCAUUAUCCAACACUUUGGAAUAUUCAUUUUUGGGAGAAGAAAGCACUCUGCAAGUAAUCAUCUCAUCAUCCCUGAAUGACGAACAAAAAGGUAAGUUUUUUGAUGUUUUAAAAGAGCACAAAGGAGCAUUAGGAUGGACCAUAGCUGACAUAAAACGUAUAAACCCAGUAGACUGCAUGCAUUACAUUCACCUUGAUGAAAAUGCUAAACCUACUAGGGAAAUGCAACGUCGGUUAAAUCCUAACAUGAAAGAAGUUGUUAGAACUGAAGUCCUUAAGCUAUUAGAUGCGGGUAUCAUUUACCUCAUUUAUGAUAGUCCUGAUGCAGCCAUGAAUUGAUCGAAAAUAGAUUUCAACUGCUUGCACACUUCACUAGUGGCUUUAGCAAAAAUAAGACUAUCGUUAGCAAACAAGAGGUGUAAAAAAGUCAACGCAUUACAAUUGAAACCAACCCCAUGUAUCAACUUUUCAUCCAUUGCAUGAGACAGUAAAUGUAAUAUAUAUCAACUUUUCAUCCAUUGCUUUUAAUGUCUCCAUCGAUUACGACUAAAAAAGAGGCUGAAGAUAUACCUCACAUAACUAAAUCUACCUAUUUUGCUAAAAAGCCCAUCUUGAACAUUGCUUGUUUUGAAAAAAAAAAAAAAAACCACUCCACUCUGUCGCAAGCUUUAUCUCUUCUACCUCCUCUUUUAUUUCUGAUCUGAUGCAAAACAUUUAUAUCCAAUUACCAAAUUAUCUCUAAUAGACCGUUAAGGAAUAAAAGCAAUUUGAAAAUGGGAAAUGAUUUGAUCUAAGAGAGGUUUAAUUCUAUUUGCAAUUGCUUUGGCCAUCAUCCUAUACACCAUAUUGCACAAACUGAUUGGUCUGAAUUCAUGCACCUUUUUCUAGACUCUUAAUUUUAGGGAUGAGAGCAAUUAAAGUAUGGUUAAGUUAAGAAAUAUUUCCUCCCUCAAUCAGAAAAUGGAAUCACACUUUGGUUACCUUCUCCUGAACUAAAUUCCAAUAUUUUUGGAAAAAUAAUGCUGGAAAUGCAUCUGAACAAGGAGCUUUCAAAGGAUUUAACUGAAAUAAAGCUAUUUUAAGCUCUUUUUUAGAAAAAAAAAAAGGCUAGACUAAAGUGACAGUCAUAUUGUCCUCCAAAGGAUUUGUUAAUUGAAAUAAAGUCACAAGGUAGUCCACAAAUGCCUUCCUAAUAUCUUCAAGGUCCUCUAUCUAGUUGUUUUCUUUGUCUACAAUACCAUGAACUGUGUUUCUUUUUCUCCUGUCAGUUGUUUUGUAUGAAAGAAUUUUUUAUUUUUAUCCCAAGUUUUAACCAUGUGACUCUAAACUUUUGUCUCCGGUAUAAUUCCUCAUUCAUCAUAAAUUUGUCAAUUUGCUACUCCACAGAUUGAUUUCAUCUGGAUUCAUUAAUUCUGGAGGGCUACUUUUAAGAGCAGUUAGCAUAUGCUGAAGACAAUUAAAUUCCUACUUCCUCUUUUGAAAUUUCUAUAAACUCCAAGACUUAGGUCAUGUUUACUAUUGAGGUAGUAAAUAUAAUUUUUAAAUAAUAAUUUUGACUUAGGUCCUAUUUGCUAUUGAGGUACUAUAAUUAUAAAACUGUAACUAUAAAACAAAGUUAAUAGUAUAUAGUAAAUAUAAUUUUUGAAUAACAAUUUUGACAAAAUUAUUACAGAAAUAAUAGAUUUUUCAUCUUAAAAGUAUAAAAUUAAAUUAACUUAGCCGCCAAGCUAUAGCAGCUAUCGUUAACGAUAACUCUAUGAUAUGAGAGUUAUCAUAACAUUUAUAGGCCUAAAGUAAUAUUACUUGGAGAGUUAAUGAUGAGUUUUUAUCCUAUUUUUAGUAAGUUUUGCAUCAGUAUCUAUUUAAGCUUAAUUAUAAUAAUUUGAUGUGUUUAAGAUCAUUUUUAGCUCUAAUUAAUUGUGAUAUUGUAGGUGACCCAAAAGCUCAUGCUUUGUUGAUGGAUGCUUUAGAAGAGGGACUACAUUGCUGCAGCAACAGGCUUGCAGAAAACAACAAAAGACUUAUCUGCAUAUGAACAAAAACAAGACUGAGCCAUAGAAAAUGCAAGAGCAAAUGCUGCAGCAAUCCAGGACCCAAGUACAGACAAAACUGUCCAUGUUGUUCACGUGCUAUCUGAUAGAUUCUGCUACGGCCGUUACUGCACUGCCACUGUCAGGUGCAAACAAAACAGUGGCAAGCAUGGCAAGCAGCACAAAAAGAGAUGUGGUUCUAGAAUACCAAGAAUGCAUAAAUGUCCUCAUGCCUUUUUGGGUUGACCUAAUCCCAAGUUAUAAAAGGGCACAUUUUAAGAAAACACAAUAUGGAUAUAUCCAUUGUGAUAACACACAAAAAAAAAGGGAAAAAAAGGAUUUUAGAGCUGCAGCAGAGGGUAUCUUAUUGUGAAGAAUGAGAAAAAAACUUGAAACUAAAGCGUGACACUUUGGUCCUUUUUGUAUCUCAACUUUAUUCUUAUAUUUUGCUUGUUGUAUUUUCUCUUUGAUGAUGUAUUUCAUGGCAAACGUUUACGUUUUUACUAUUUUAAAGUUCAUCAUCAAAAUAUUAACUAGGCAAUCCAAUAGGGGGUGAAUUGGGUUUUUAAAAAUUAAGCAACUAAAACUUAAUGCAAUUCAAACAAAUCAAUCAAAUUCAAAAUAAACAAAUUAAUGCGCAAUGAAAAAUAAAGAGAUAUGGUAAGAGAGAGCAAACACGUGAUUUUUACGUGAUUCGGCCAACCGUGCCUACGUCCACGCCUCCAAGCUCACCGGGCUUGAGGAUUUCACUAAGUAAGCCUCCAAGGCUUCAACAACUCUUGCAAUUGACUUCCAAUGUGUCAACAAACCUUUACAACAUGAGAUUAUCCCCAAUCUCUUAGCCAAAUAUAUCUCAAUACUUACAACCUCUCAAAGAAAAAGCUUACAAAUGAAUUUUUCUCACAUAUUGUGUUUGAUUGCAAAUGAAAGUUCAAUGUGUAAAUCAAAGAAACAUAAAAAAAUUUAAAGCUCAAUAAUGGUUGUAUGCUCAGUAGCAAGCUUAAUGAUAACUCGUAGAUCUAGCUUUAUUUGAAUUUGAUUGAGUUAUUUUAUAGUUGGAGCUGAAAACUAGCCAUUGUUGACUUUCUGGACAAAAUCAGGUCACCAUUAAUUGCUAUUAGUUAACCAUUUUGACUAGUCCAAAUGACCGUUGAGCUGAGAUUUUAAAUAGUUGGUUAAGCGUUUGGGAUUGUCAGUUAGCUGUUAAUUUUCAUAAAUGUGCAAAACAAAUUUGGCUUGACCGUUUUUGCGAAAUAUUUAUCGAUUGGAAUGUAAUUUCUUUCUGAAAAUUAUCGAUUAGUCGUUUAUUUCUAGAAUCCUACAAAACAAAUUGUGACCAUCUGUUCUUGCUAAACGGUUCACAGUUAUAAUCUAUGACCUUCUAAAAAUUAGCAGUUAACCGUUUUUAGUUAAUGGUUCACCGUUAUUUUUCAGAAUCAGUAUUUUAACAGACUUUUACAGAGAAUGAUUUUCCAGUUAAAGUUGACGAUUAUCCAAUUAAAGUUGGUGAUUAUCCAAAUUCAUAAACAUAUCUAGAAAUAUUAUACAGCUUUAAGCGUUUUUUUAUUAAUGAAAGCUCCAACAUUUUUAAUAAAAAACAUAUAAAUUUUGUUAUCAUCAAAAUCAAUAUUAUAGACACAUACAUGUUAACAAUCAUGAGUUAAACUUUAAAGUAGUUGGGUUUUAAAUUAUCUUAAUGGUUGCUUAACUUAUAUAUGCAUGCUGCUUAGAAUCUACUAUAACAUUUUAUUUUGAUUUUACAUAUUGCAAAUCUUUAUUUUGAUUGACUACUCAUUUAGUGGAUACUAGUUAAGAAGAAGCCUAAAAAAGGUCUAACUUAGUGGAACAAAUUAAUAUAAUACAUGAUUUUAGAUUGGGUUUUCCAAGUCGGGUUUAUCUCAAUUUGAAUAGGGUUAUGCCUAAACUAAGAUUAGUAAAGAACUAGACAUAAGAAUUCACCUUAUAAGGUAAAUAGAGCCUAGAUCGUAUAAUGUUAUGUUUAAUGUUAGUUUUAACAUCUGGUCACUGUUAGAUUGCAUAUAGACAUAAGAUAUCCAACAUGCGACAAACUGAGGAUACAUUAGAGAUUCUGCCUAGUGCUGUAGUAAAUGUUAAACCAACUGCAUCUCAAGGGUAAGAUAGUCAAUAACCAUUAAAUGAGUUUAGAACCCAACUACCCAUUUAUCAUUGAAGUAUGUCUUUUUGUUUGACACUAGUUUUUCCUUACUACAUUUUGUUUAUUGCAUUUUUUAUUUCAUUAGAUCAUUAAUCUCAUCAUUUUUUUUGUUUUAUUUAGUUUACUAAAAUUGCACUAUUAAGAUUGUUGUAGCAAGUCCUAUAAUAUCAAUCCUUAUGACGACGAUCUUGAUACUCAUCAUUAUAUUACUUAUUGUGUACACUUGCACAUUGACACCACUAUACAUUAUAUUGAGUACACACACCAGUUAACCAAACAGUUUAAUGUUUUAUCUUUUUAAGUUACAUAUGCCUAAUCUCAGUUCCAAACAGGACCUAAAAAUUAGUCUAAGAUAUGAGANNNNNNNNNNNNNNNNNNNNNNNNNNNNNNNNNNNNNNNNNNNNNNNNNNNNNNNNNNNNNNNNNNNNNNNNNNNNNNNNNNNNNNNNNNNNNNNNNNNNCCUCCACUCCUUUGGCAAUUGUCAUCCUGAUAGGCUUAUAAUCCAAGACCCCAGUUUCCAUAUGAUCCAAAAAGAAACCUUUAAACCAAUAUCUCUAGUGGUAAUUGUAAAAGGACCUAUCUAAUCUCUCUUGUACCAAAAUUGUGUCAAAUCUCCUAUUAAUUAGACUAUGUAAACAGAGUAGCUGACCAUCUAGCAUUAAAUAACCACAAUCCCCAAUAGUUUGUUUGAAAUCAACCAUUGACUUAGUAGCUACAACAAUCCCCCCUAUUUUUUCUUCAAUAUCAAAGAAACUCAGCGCCUUUAAAGCAAUAAAAGAGAACCCUUACCACUAUACUAUAAGCACUUUAAUCGUAUUUAAAUGUGACGAAAUUCUUUUUAUUGUCUAUUUCAAAAGAGACAUGGGGUAUACUUAAACGGAAAAGGGGUCCACCCCAGUAGCCAACUGCACCCUUCAAACCUUAUCGGUUUACAACAAAAUAGUUAUCAUAAGAUAAUUUAGCCCUGUUAAUCUCCAUCUAUAUAGUCAAAAGUUUAGCCUCUCAUAAAAAUAUAAUAUCCAGCUUAUGAAUUUGGAGAACUUUGGCCAAUGCAUUGAAUGUUCAGGUGUUCCCAAGCACUGAACGUGCCAAUUCAAAAUCCUCAUUUGGCCAAGUAGGGCUAGACACCAGCAACCACCAUUGAAACUUUAUCAGGAUUGACUAAGGAGAAUAUUCAACCAAAACAAUUGGAGCAAGAGAGAGGAAACAUUACAAAGUUUUCCUUCGUUUUCUGAGAAGGUAGCAUUGCUGUUUGAAAUCAUGUAUUCUUUGGGGUCAGACAAUUUUUCACAAAUCUUAUUAGAAUGUCUCUUGGGGCCCAAAUCAUUGCUGGGGACAAUUUGAUAAUUAAGCCCAAUUCAUCCAACCUUUCUCUUCCACCUAGUGAUUUUGUUUGGGCUUGGUUUUGGAGAAAAUUGGCCUAAAUACAAUCCAGGAUUCUCCUUGGACUUGGUCCCCAAAUUUUUAAGAAAUAACUCAUAAUUCAUUCUAUCGGGCCCUACACUCUCUUCAUUAGUACUGGAGCAAAAUCACUAUUAAAAGUUCUUUGUACCUCAUUUGACGUGGUUAUCAUGUUGUCCUCCGUCAUCACCUGAGAUGUCUCAAGCGUAAUGUGGAUGAUUUAAGGUAUUGUGUGGAUUACACAAUAAGUAAAUAAUAUUGUAAUAUUUGUGUAUUUAUUUCAAAAUAAUUAUAGAAACAGUAGUUAUUGAAAUACAAGUAUGCAACCCAAGAGGGGGGGUGAAUUGGUAUUUUAAAAAAUUAUCCUAACAAAAACACACAAUAAUCAAAUCCAACGCCUUAAUAAAUUCGAAAGCAAUAAGUUCAAUAAAAGCACAAUAACAAAUGAGUAAGAGAGAAGAGAAACAAACACAUGAAUUUUUACGUGGUUCGGUAAUCCCCGCCUACGUCCAUGCCUCCAAGCAAUCCAAGCUUAAGGAUUUCACUAUGCAAACCUUCCAAGACUUCAAAUGUUUACAAUUGACUUCAAGGUGUCAAUGAACCUUUACAACAAAGAGAUUAUCUCUCAAUCUCUUCACUCAAGUGUCUCACACACUCAAACACUCACAAUUAAGAUGAGGAAUUGAAAAUUACAAUAAAAACUCUCUUAAAGAGUAGAUAUACAACUUGAAGAACAAAAGAUGAUUCAAGGUUUUAUGAUUUGCGAAAUGAGAGCUCAAUGAAUGUUGUGUGCAUUUUUAUUUUGCUUGCAAGAGAGCUUGAAAAUGAAUUGGAUUUGAAUUUAUAUAGUUUGAGCUCAAAAAAUAGCCAUUAUGCACAUUUUGGUGAUAACCGGUUUACCGUUUAUGAAAUCUGGUUAGCCGCUUGUAUGUUACCGUUAAGGCAAAAAUUUAAAUUUUAGAACAUCUAGCAUGCCGUUUACAAUAUCCGGAUAGCCGUUUAUGCUCCAGAAGCUUACUACCAAAAAUCUGGAUAGCCGUUUAUCAUAUCCGGUUAGCCGCUUGCUACAGUGACUGCUAUAGUAAAUUAUUUUCUAAAAUUAUAGUUUAACCCUAAACUUUAUAAAAUUGUAUUAUGGCCUAAAACGUUAUGAAAGUUUUCAAAUAGGUCCAAUUUCAGAAUUUCUAAAUAAUGCUUUGUCAAUCCUAAAACUUUCUGAAAUUAUGAUAUCACCCAAACUAUGUGAAAUUAUAGAAUGACCCAAAAUAUUUAAAUAUUUUUAAAUAGGUUCAAAUCCGAAAUUUUAAAACAACAUCAAAGAUUAUAAAAUACUUUCAUUUUAGUCCAAAACACUUUAAUUCCAUAAAAUCAUUUUCUUAUUAUAAAAGAACAAUUCAUAAAUCUUUGUUUAACUAACACAUGUGGUUUGUUAUCAUCAAAAUCAAUAUUUAUAGCCAUAUAGGCUAACAGUUAUAUUAAAUUUAAUUCUACAUUUAUAUAUGCAUUAAUUUGUUAUAUCUUCCUCCAUCUUAAAUUAUUCUUUUGCCUCAAUGGUGCAGCCUGAAGAUUUUCAUUCAUCACGAAAAUGGAGCGGUGACAUUCUCUUGUUCAUUGGCUAUGCUCGUGGUAGGUUUUGUCAUUUCCACAAAAGUUGGUUCCGACAUCCAUAAGCCAUAUAUCUUGCACUUUGAGUGGUACGAACUAUAACAUCAAAAUUAAGCUCUGAACUCUCACUUUACAUAUACCUAAUUCUACACAAUAAAAACAUAAAAUAGGAAAUCUUUCAUAAACAAUGCAAAAAGCAGAUACAGGUGCACCAUCUUUAAGUUGUAGCCUUCUAUCUUGACUCAAAUUAUCAUAAAUUUCUCGAAGCUUAGGCCUGUUUUAUUAGUAUCUACUUUACAAAUCAUGCUAUCAAGAAACAGCCGUACAUCUCCGUUCGUACAAGACAAUGGUAAAUCAUGAAUGUGUAUCCAAAAGAUGAGUGAGAGAAUUUAUGGUUUGUUCGGUCACCAACACCAUCAGGUUCCUCCAAACUAUGAGUUGUACUAAUUCACUUAAUAUCUGUAUAAUCUAUGUAUGCUAAUUUGAAUCAUCUUAUAAUUAGUAAUUAUAUUUAAUUCAUACACACAGGUCAUACAUAUAUAAAGUGGGUGUAGUACAAUAGAGAUACUCUAGAAUCUCUCAUCUCCACUAACUAACCCCUACUUAUUAGGAGUGGUUGUUCUAUUCAGGUCAAAUUUUAUUCGAUUUUCGUUUUGGUUCGGGUCAACCGUAAAAUAUGAAUGGUUUACAUCUUCAAGUUCGAUCGAUUUUGAAAUUUGAUUUGUUUUUAACUCUUUAAAAAAAAGGGCAACCCAAUUCCAAUUGCACUCAAGACAUCACGCAUACCCAAUUUCAAUUCACAAACCCAAUCCCCAAUUCACAAUUUGACAAGCACAAAACCAACUCUAACUCAGCCACAGCCUAACCUGAACCCAGCGGUUCCUCCACUGGUCCACGCUGCCGCUACACACUAGCACUAUCAACACAACCUCACUCUCUAGUCUUCUCUUUGAAAUCAACCCACGAGCCACAACUACAGCUUGCUGUUAGCUUGCCCUCACCAAAACAACACCUCAUCUUUCCUCUCACAAGUUCGCCAACGACUUGAACUUGUCGUCGACUCUUUACACAUGGUAAGUCAACUACAAAGUUUGUUUGCUUGACUACAUUUUCUUGCCUUUUUUGUUUAAAUUUUUUUGAUUCAGCUACAUUUGUUGUGUACUAUAUAGUGGUUGCAACUAAAAUCUAUGACAAUUUAUUUGUCAUGUACUAAUGCUAUAUUGCGUUGCAGCUGAAAUAUAUAACAUCAUGUUUAAUUUUUCUUGUAAAUGACAGGAAAGAUAUGACAGAAUAUGUUGAUCAGUUAAUGCAUGGAGAAAGCUAAUUUCUAUAUAUUUAUUAGUUUAAUUAAUUAUGAAACUUAUGUAUAGUGGCCCAGUUGCUUGCUUUAUCAAUUAUCAUCAUUGAACAAUGCAACUACAAAAAGUAAUUGUUGUAAUUUCUUUGUUGUUGUUUUCUUUUAUUAUUGUAAUUUGUAUUGGAAUAUUUUGAACUUAGUGUUUUGGUAACCUGAAUAUUUCAUCAUUUGUUGAAUAUUUCAUCAUUUUGCUAUUUAAUUUGUUUAUCUUUGGCUAUUCCUCGUCUGAGCGGAAUUAUUAACCCAACCCGACCCAUACUGAAUUAUUAACCCAAACUAUUUUCCAAUGCAAAUAGGGGCGGAUCUGUUAGUGGGCAGCCCGGUAUAGAAAAAAAAUUCAGUUAGUUUGAUUAAAAUUACGAAAAUGCCAUUAAUUGUUAAUUAGGAAUAUACCAUCAAUUAUUAAUUACGCAAAUGCCAUCCAUCAUUAUUAUUUUUCCUUUACUUCCACCAACACCAUUAGAAAAAAAAAAAAUUCCAAACCCUUCACGAUUCUUCAUUCUUCAUCAAUUCACCUUCACUGCUUCAUAAAUCACAAUUCAUUAUCCGUUCAUAUCUUCAAAUUUCUUUACGGUUUAUACAUUUUUCUACAUAUGUUACUAUACUUUUAGAACUUGCAUAAAUUAUUUAUUUUUUUAGAUAGAUUUUAUUGAUUUAUUUUACAUAUUAUUUUGAAUGUUUGAUUGGCUUUUUUUUGUUGUAAUUAGUUUGUGAUUUAUCAAUUUGAGUUGAUUUAUUAUUGUUAUUUUUUAACUAAUAAUAUUUUUUUUAAAUGGAAAAGAUGAACAAAAUUGAAUUGUUUAAUUUAUUUAAGCAUGCUAAUUAAGCUUGUAAUUCGUCUAGUGUUGACUCUUCCAGUGUCUACAGCCACAACAGAGCGUGCAUUUUCAACCAUGAGCCUUAUCAGGACAUCAUUUUGCAAUAAGAUGGAAAAUGAGUUUCUUUCAAAUUGUAUGAUUGUCUAUGCUGAAAGAGAAAUUGUAGAUAAUAUUGAUUCAGAAUCCAUUGUUGAUGAAUUCUAUUGUUUGAAGCCGCGAAAAGUACAACUUUAAUUAUAUUUUUGUUUUGAAUCACAUUUUUGUUUUGAAUCACAUUUUUAUUUUCUAUUUUUAUAUAAUUAUUUUAUUUAAAGUAAUUAUUAUUUAGUGUAAGAUUUCUAAUGUCCUCAUCUUAUUAUGUGUAUUUUAUUUUUUUCUUAUAAAAUUUUAUGUUCACUUUACAAUAUAAUGUUUUUUAUAUUUAGUCCAAGGUACUUUAAAAUCCUGGAUAUGCCCCUGAACGCGAAAUUCACAACCCAAAACCGAACCGGAUUAUGAACUCGAACUAAACCAAACCGAAUUUGAAACCAAGCCGUAACGAACUGAAAUAAUUUCCCAACCUAUUUGGGUUGACUUCUUAAACUUGAAUGGAUUGCAAACCGAAUCAAAAACUGAAAAAAUUGAAUUGAAAACCAAAAAUCCCACCCAUACUUAUGAUUCCUUGUGCCUCUAGACCUCUUCUUACCAAAAGCAGCAUACUAAAGUGUACAGCAAAUGCUCAUUUUCUAGGUGACAUGGCUCAAGCAGGUCCAAUUGUUCGAAAAUUGAAAAUAAUCAGAUCAAAUUUGACAACCCAUACCCAUUUAUUUGUGUCAUCUUCAUAUCGGGUAAUCAGGUCAUGUCAAAUUUUGCCAGCUCUACGUACAAUUGUCAUAACUCAAAAUAUUUCACUUUCUCCUUGACAUUAUUUAUACAUCAUUUAAUUUACAAUCAAAAUUUUAUUUCAAAUGUUACCAAGAGGUAAAUGUUAUGUGGUAUACGAGUGUUUUCUGUUUUUGGUUGCAAUUUUUCAAUCUAACCAAAUGUGUAUAUUAAUACAUCUCUUCUAAUUAUCAGUAAUUCAUAAAUUAUACUAAAAUAAAGGGAAUCUAGUCCAUUGCCGAAAAAAUUAAUUGGGUUGCAUCUGCUUAUAAAUAGUUGGGAUAUCAUUAGAUAACGGAAAGGGAUAUUUUGGCCUUCCAUCAAAUCCAUCUUCUCAAAUGGGCUGUCUAAAUUGGCCCACAUUUCAAAGUUAAUUACUUGUAAUCUGUCAGCAGCAGGUAACACCAUUCUUCCUUGGAAAAUGCUAGCUACCCCGAGUCAAGGCAUGGGUCAGACUCCAAAAGCAAUAAACGACGUCGUUUCAAUCCCUUUUUUUUUCCUUCCAUUAUCCCUCAAACGACGUCAUUUUAGCUUGGUUAAGGCAAAAUCAACAACAGUCCCAAAUUGCUCUCUUUCUCUCCGACUCACAACAGCCUCAAAUUGCUUUCUCUUUCUUUUUGUCUCACAGCCCUUUUAUCCUUCUAUUUCUUUGUUUCUCUUCCCCUUCGUUUCACAACCACCAUCACACAUGCCCAACUAGUUGGAUAGUCUUCUAUUCACUGCAGAAAGCUAACUAGUUUCCCUAAUAUAUAUAAGAAAAACUAAUUUUUCUAAAUUCAAGUAAAAUUGAAGCUUCGAAAAUAAGCCACUGCCAAAGAAGAGAGGACCUUAGCUACUGGGAAAGCCACGUAAAAUCGAAACUCAACUUUCAAGGGUAGAUGCCGAAACUCAAUCUUCAGUUAGAAAAUUUUCGCAGCUACCGUAAAUGCCAAAACUCAUCCUUCAACGACAAUGCCGACACUCAUCCUUGUUCAAACUUUCCUUUUUGUCUUUUGGUGGUGCCGAUGGCUAGGUAUAUGUGAUGGAACCCUGUAUGAUGGUGGUUGUCAGGCUGAUGGCUAUCAGUGUGGUGGGUACCGAUGAUUGGGUACGCGUGAUGGUGGCUAUGAAACGAAGGAGAAGAGAAAGCAGUGGUUUUACAGAGAAAUAGAAGGAAAAAGGUUGUGAGACGAAGAGAAAGAGAAAGCAAUUGGGGGCUGUAACAAUUUUACCUUAACCAAGCUAAAACGAUGUCGUUUUAGCUUGAAUGAAAGGGAAAAAAAAAGAGAUUGAAACGUCGUCGUUUAUUGCUUUCGGGGUUUGACCCGGGGUAAAUAGUAGAAUUGUUCUUACUUAUGAGACACAAAUCUAUUAUUUUAAUUUUUCCUUAUUUUUAAUGCUACAUGUGCCAAGCUAACCAACCUUCCCUUGUCAUAUCAAAGUUCCGUAUGACACGGUUUUUGUAACAUAGCCAAACCCUUUACUUUUUUUUUUUUUUCAUGAGACUAUUGUUUAAGAGUACAACUCAUAUUACAUGAGAUUAUAACUGAUAUUUAUAAAUCAGACUAUUAUUGGGACUAGUUUACAUUAAUUUUUAUAAAUUGCUCAAGAGUACAACUCAUAUUACAUGAGAUUAUAACAAAUAUUUACAAAUCAUAUAAUUACUGGGGCUAGUUUACAUUAAUUCUUAUGAAGCACCACCCAUAUUUUUACCCUAUCUAAUAUUUAAGAGAUGUCUACUCAUCACUCAAAUUGAUAAAGGAAAUUAAACCCUCAUAAUACAUUAUGUGGAUUCCAACCUAUGACCUCACAAUUAUUAGAUUUGGCUUCUAACCAUUGGGCUAAAGCCUGAUGGCUCCCUUUACUUGAACUUAGGUAACAUGGCACCAAAUAUAUUCGCAGCCAGCCAAUUAAGCUUACGUUAAGGGCGCAAAAGAAGUACUCUAGGAUGUAAUUUCGCCAAUACGCUUAAUUUGAGUGUGGGUAAAUUUCAAGAUGCUAAACCCCAGGCGUAAUUCACACUAAUAAAAUUCAUAUGUUGUUUAUUAUGGUAUCAAAAACUCAUGCCUAUAGUCUAGGAGUGUGGGCAAGAUCACUUGAAUUUUCUAAACUAGUCUUACAAUUAAGUAAUUAAAAAAAAUAAAACCAGAAAAAAUAAAAUGUAUCAAUUUCAUAUGCUAAGGAAAGGUGAACCCUGGUAGUAAGCAAAGAAAAAGAAAAAAGAUUCAAUGGGCAAUAAACAGUAAAAAUACGAAAAUCAACACCUAGUCCAAAGAGAAGGAUAACCUUGUUGUAUGUUGUUCCUAUUGAAAAUUCGUCAAAUAAUAAGAUGAAUAUAGAAGUUAAUUUUUUUAAUCACAAUUUUACGUUUUGUCCAUUAAAUUUUUAUUUAAUUUUGUAAUAGACUAUCAAACUUUAUAGUCUAUCUAUUAUAACCCCU
rnacentral:lncRNA from 1 species